AGAAUCAUCACCUGAAUUUUAUAUAGAGCCUUUUGAUGAAAAUGAGGAACAUGGUCAUUUGAACUCCUGCCAGCAAGAUGUUGCAACUGAAAAUGAAAUGCUAAGCAAUGAAGCAAUUUGAUAUAUUAAAUAACUUAUAAAAAACUAUUAUGAGAUCAAACACAGAAAAUGAAUGUGUUGAUCUAGUUACAAGUUGGUUACAAGUAGUCUAUUUAUGGUGAUAGCAUUCUAUAUGGUAACUUGUCUAGCAAGUUAUCAGUUAUAACAAAUUAUAACUAACUAGUUUUUAGUGUAAUGGUGACUCUAUGAAGAUAAUGAAGGAUGAACCAAUAAAGAAACACAUGUCGGUAACCGAUCUUCUAGUAUCCGGACAACCAACCCAAUCAACAUCAGAAAACCUAGGAGUUGCAAAGAUGUUGAGCUGGGAAAGAAAAUUCCACAGCCAGGAGCUUGCUUUAAAAUGAACUUGUGUUGGAGUAGCAAACAAUUGACUGAGUUACUGAACAAUGAAGGUAAUGUACGAACGUGUGGUAAUGAGAUAUAGCAACCUGCCAAUGAGCCUUCUAAAUGAGGAAAUGUCAGAAAAAUUGGACCACUAUCUUGAUGGAAUUUGAUAGAGGGAUAAGAAGAAGUAUUGAUAGGCUUGCAAUUUAGAUGUUCACUAUCUGAUAACAGAUCUAAGCAAUACUUGCGUUGACAAAGAGAAAUGCCUUUCUAAGAUCUUGCAAUUUCUAGACCUAAAAAAUACUUGUGUGCCAAGAUCCUUGAUAUUGAUAGCAUUGUGAAGAGUGACCUUGAUUUUAGGGAAUUCGUUCAAACACAUUCUUGUUAGGAUGAUAUCACCUUCAUACACUAGAAGAAUAGUGAAAGAUGUGGGAGUAUGUUUAGUGAACAAAGAGUGAUCUGAAUGAGCUUGUUUGCAUCCUUGAGUAAGAAGUAAAGUUAUGAGCGUCUCAUACCAUUUCCUGCUAGCCUGCCUAAGACCAUAAAGUGAUUUCAGAAGCUUGUAAACUUGAUUUGGCUUGGGACAGGAGAUACCUUAUGGAAUAAGCAUGUACACUUCCUCUUGUAAUUCACCAUGAAGGAAGACAUUAUUCACAUCUAAUUGAUGUAAAUGCCACUUGUGGCUAAGGCCAGGGUCAUUUUAACGGUUGUGAUCUUCGCAACAGGUGAGAAAGUAUUAAAAUAGUCUAACAAUUGUGUACAUGCAAAUUUUGAAAUUAAAUUUUCACAAAUCAAAUAUAAACCUUUACAUUUUUUUUAAAAAUAAUUGUGAUAUUUAUUUAUUUAUUUUAAAUUUUUUUAUAAUAUUUGAUUUUUUAAGUUUGACAACAAACAUCUUUUUCCAAUCGCUCUUGAAAUGAAUUACUCUAUGUUGGGAAGCAAGCUUCAAGAAAGUUACUUGCUGAGUGUUGCUUUAGUGAUUAUCCCUGCCAAUUCGUUUGCAUAGGAAACACUGUUGCUUUAGUGAUAAUUCAAAAUUAUUUGGUAAAGGAUUGAGAUAUUUCUAUUUGUCACAUUCUCAGAUAAGGAAACUCUUGUGCGGAUAUUUUUAUCAAGUUAAGAGAUAACCACAUGAAACCUCUUGUGAUGGUUCAUGAGAUCUGCCUUGUCUCUCUCUCUACACUACUGUUAGCGGAUGUUGUAGGAAUAUCUUUUAUUAGAACGUUGUUUCUUUUUUCUUUUUCUUUUUCUCUCAUGUGACAAAAAAACAUAUCUUUAUUUUUCUUCUUUUGAACGUAGAAAAAAACUACUCUUAUGCUCAUGUAAAUUCAUGCACAACCUUGAAUUAUUUCUCAAAUCACGAAAUUGUUUUUUGGAGCUUAAUUCAAAAUAAUAAAAAAUCUUAGUUAUAAAUUGUAAGAUCUGUAACAUAGAACAACCUAGAGGUGUUUGCUAUUUAAAUUUAAUUCAACUGAUAUAUGUACUCUAUGGAGUGAGUGUGUGUGUGUGUGUGUGUGUGUGAAUGUUUGUUAAGUAUGAAAAUAUAGAUAACUAUGUUAUAUGACUUGAACUUUAUGGGAUGUCUUAUGCCAUGAUUUUGUGGUUUGCCUGACCUUGUACGUUUCGAUAGUUUUUGAUUUUUAGAGAAAAUAGCUUAUAGCUUUUCAUUAUUAAUCAAUGUUAAAAGGUACAUCAUUAAAAACUUGGGGACUUGUAACCAAAAAAAAAACUUGGGGACUAGAUAAGAAUAAAGCCUCUCUAGCAAGAGUAUGAGCGACCUCAUUCGCUCGUCUCCUUAAACUCCACCUUAGAGUUUUCGAAAUAAACAUUGCGGCAUCUUUUGCAAUCCUCCAAUAUUGCUCCAAAUUCAGAAACAUUGUUGCUGCCUUUGUUAAAAUAAUCUACAACUAACUUCGCAUCCAUCUCAAAAUCUACAUUUGUAAGUUGUAGUUCGUAUACCCAUUGAAUUGCAUAGAGCAGACCCAAUGCUUCCCCAAUCUCCGGCCUACAUAUGGGAUUAGACCACAUCAUCUUUGCCUUCCUGAAAUUACCAGCAGCAUCCCGUAUACACAACCCAAAACCAACAUGAUUUAAAUCUUCCGAAAACGCCGCGUCGAUGUUGCAUUUUAGCUUACCUUGCUGCGGUUUUGUCCACUUGAUAUGUGAUGACAGCAAGCUUGAUGCUCCUACAUAAUGCAUAUUUACAUCAGCUUGCUGCACAACCAUAUGUCCAGCUGCACUACACUUCUGCUUCCUCAUAUUUGCUUCUCUCCACUCAACUAACAUCUGUUGUGCUCGAGCAGAAAUAGCCUGGCAUGUUUCUGAAAUAUUCUGCCAUAUUCGAAGAUUCCGACUCUUCCAUAAACUCCAUAAAUUCAUCGCAAACUGUUCGAAUUUCUCCUUCGUUAAUUCUUUGAGUAGAGCAAGGAUGAUUUCAGCCGCUGUGUUAUGAUUAAGCAUCACCGAACUCACUUUGUCUACCAUUGAACAAUUUAACCAAACAUUUCUUGCUUUAGGACAAUCAAAUAGAACAUGAGUCGUAUCCUCGUAACAUUCCUCACACAAACCACAUAAAUAUGUGCAAUUCACUCCUUUAUCCAACAACCUGGCUUGUGUCGGUAAACAAUCCCGACAAACCCUCCAAAGAAAAUUAUUCACUUUCAGCGGAACUUUUGAGUCUCCAAAUGCUAUCCCAACUGCCUGCCCUAUGCAAGUAUGAAUUAUCUACUAUAUUAUUCACACACAAAUGGUACGCACUUUUAACCGAGUAAUGGCCGUUUUUCUCCGCCUUCCAUAUCAAAGCAUCCUCCUCCACUUGAUGAAAAAUGGGAGUUCUAAUAAUCUCCUGCACAGUAUCAUAAUCAAAAUAAUAAUUAACCAUGUUGUAAUUCCAGCCAUUAGUAUUUUGAUCAAUCAAGGAGUGGACUCGAACAUUCUGAAGCACAUCGCUAGAUUGCCCAACACCCGAAAUAACUCCCCCAUUUCUUAACCACGGGGCCUCAAACAUUGGAAUAUUUAUGUUGUUUCCAAUUUUCCAUCUAGCACCUGAUCGGACAAUCAUCUUUGCACUAAAAAUACUACGCCAAACAAAACUUGGAUUGUGUCCUACCUUCGCGUUCAAAUAAUCACUACGAGGAAAAUACCGCGCCUUAAAAAGUUUUGUUACCAGAGACUCAGGUUGGGUUUGAAACAUCCACCCUUAUUUACCCAACAUUGCUAAGUUGAAAGCCGUUAAAUCUUUAAAGCUCAUUCCACCAUAUUGCUUGUGCAGAGUAAGCUUCUCCCAAGAAAGCCAAUGAAUACCUCUAUUAUUACUUCCUCCAUGCUCCCACCAAAAAGCAUUUAGCAUUUUUUCAAUAGCAUCAAUAAGAGACGAAAGUAACAGAAAAAUGCUCAUAACGUAAGAGGGAAUGGCUUGCAAAACAGACUUAAUCAUAACCUCUCUACCAGCUUUUGACAGACAUUUACUGCUCCAAGAAUUAAUUUGAAGGUGAAAAACACAAGAAGGGGGGGGUUGAAUUGUGUUUUCUUUUUCUCUUAAAAAAGGAUUCUUCUUCUGAUAAAACUUCAGAAGCAGUUUGAUUGCUUCUGAUGAAAUGAUCAGAGUCAGAUUGCAGCGGAAAAGAACAGAGCAGAGAAAAGAAAGACAAAUACACAGGCAGUUAUCCUGGUUCCUUCCACAACACGGAAGUAGUCCAGUCCCCCUUGCACUUCCAAGGAGAUUUCACUAUAAUCACAAGAUUACAACUGCUCAAUACUUUCAAAGUAUGAGACUUCACAAAACAAUGCUCAAGCACACACGCAAGAGUCUUCCAAUGCUCAAGCACUAAGCAAGAGACUUCUAAUGCUCAAGCACGCAGGCAAGAGACUUCUAAUCAAACAAAAAUACAGAGAAUUGAGUUUGAAUUGAACACUUGAUAUACAAUCAGUGGUGUUCACAAUACAAUACAGAAAAGACUCUAGACUUUGAAUUUCUAAGAUGUAUCAAAUCAGUGCAGAAAUUCAGUGUGCUUUGUAGAAUCAAAUUGACAGAGUUUUCGCGCUUUUGAACUUAUGUAUCUCUAUCUAAAAUCUUCAAGUCUUCAUUCCUUUAUAUAGAGGCGUGAAAGAGACGUUGAGAUAAUCAGCACGUCUAAAGAGUCGUUUGAAAUCCUUUGAUUAUCCACCAGUGAUCCUUUGCCUGAUUUGGGUGUAGUCCUUUGAAGAAUAAACUUCAAAUUCAUUCCCAUCUUGAGUGUACAAAUUCUGCAGGCAUGGCUGUUGUUUUGUCUUGUAGCGUAGACAGAAAACAGAGUAGUGGUGGUAGUGGUUGUACACUUGUACUUUGUCAACUCUAUUAAUGAGAGACAAGUGCUCAGUGCUAUCCAUAUAUCCGUUGAUACCUCCCUUUCAAUUCUUCAUUCUUCUUUGAUAAGACUGAAUUGAGAAUCAGCAACUUUGAAUCUUCAGUUUGACUAAAGGAUCAAAUGUAGCUUCUGGUGAAAAUAUUGCUUCUGAUGAAAACUUUUGCUUCUGAUGACUUUCUGCUUCUGAUGACUUUCUGCUUCUGAUGACGUCAUCUCUUCAGGAGCAGUUUAGCUUCAGGAGCAGUUUUCUUCAGAUGCUCAGAAUUUCUUUUUUCUUUCCAUUGUUCUUCCAAGACCUAUUGAAAUAACUUGAGUAGCCUUUGGUCCUGUACACUUGAACAAUUAUUAGUAAUAACCAAUUGACAAUUUUUAAUACCUUGUUAUCAUCAAAACUUAAUAAGGUUCAUUGUGAAACACAUUUUGUUCCAACAAUCUCCCCCUUUUUGAUGAUGACAAACAAUAGUAUUUAAAAUGUUCAAUUGUUGUUGAUCUAAUUAAUAAGUUGACUACUGGGACAGAGGUUUGUAAGCUCCCCCUGAGUCUAAUAGUUCUUUAAGGUGAGGUUUGUAAGCUCCCCCUAAGUUCUAUUCUUAUUAAUUAAAUUUCAAUAAAAUACUUAUAAAAUCAAAUCAGAAGUAUUUAAAAGAAAUUUAGAAGUGGUUAUAGUAGGGCUCAGUGCCUUAACAAAUACUAUACAUUUACUCCCCCUUUUGUCAUCAACAAAAAGAGUAGAAACAAAAGAAAGAGUAUCAGAGCAAAACAAAACAAAAGAAUAAACAUAUAACUUUUAAAGAUAGUAUUUUCAGAAUUAAAGCUUGUAAAACAUAUUGAAGGUGAAAAAGCACAAGAUUCAGAAACAAUGAUAAUAUAUAUAGAAAGAAAGAUUAAGAUACAAAGACACAGCUACUAAGAACAAAAGUAAAAAACAAGUUGGAGUUGGGUGUGCAACUAAGGUUGGGCUUGCUUAUACAACUGUUCUAAGAGAUACUUGAUCUGAUCAUCCUUCUUCUGAAGUAGCUCAUCCUUUUCCCUCAUUCUUCGUUUAAAUCCAGCCUGAAUUCUAGCAGCCCUAGUGAUGUACUCUUCUUCUGGAUAGAAAGGAGUGAUGUCCAGCAGAGGCACAAAAUUCAGCUCUUUCUCCUUAGCUGCUUCAUGCAUAUCAUCCAAAAGCUUUUUCAGCAUAGCAGAGUGAGAUGACACACAUUUAGUUCUAAGCUGAUCCAGCAGCUCAUCAAAGCUCUUCUGUAGAUCCAUCCACUGAUCAUAAUAGUGAAUAGGAGGUGCAGGAACUGUUCUGCGAAGAAUCAGUGCCUGAAUCUCAUCACUAAGUCUGAUCAGUUGUUCCUCUAUAUACUCAGACUCCAGGAUAUGGUCAGGGAUGGGUGAAGGUUCAGUUUGAGUUGUAUUUGAUAUGGAAGGUUGGUCAGAGGUUAAGUCUAUUAUAGUGGGUGAAUCUGGUUGUUGUUGUUGUUCUGUUGUUUGGUCAGAAGGUAUAUGUUGGUCAGAAGUUGUUUGGUCAGGAGCAACUUGUUCAGAGGAAGUUUGCUCCUGAACAGUUUGCUCAGGGAUGGUUUGGGUUUCUGUUUGGGUUUCCAAGACAGUCUUUUCAGGAACUGUCUUAGAGGCCUUAGUGGGUGUUGGUUGCAUUUCACCACCUAGAUGUUUUUCUAAGUUGUGAAGGGUUGAGUAUUCUUGGUGUUGGGGGGUUUCUGAAGUAGUUGCAUCUGAAGCUACUUCAGAGGCUUUUUGUGUGGUUGAGUUAUGUGGUGAGUUUGUUGUAGGUUCUGGGUUGGGUUGAGGUUGUUGUACACUAACAGGUUCAGGAUUAUCUGGAUAGAGUGGAUGAGUAGGAGGCAAAUUGAAUUUCUCACAAAGUUUAAUUCUAUUCUUAGAAAAUUCUAUUUGAGUUUGCUCCCAGUCAAGUGUUCCUAAAUCUGUUAGUUUGGUAGGUUUGGUUUUUAGAAGCUUGUCUAUGUGUUGGCUAAGGGGUUGGUCAUCUGAUUCUGUUGAUGAUGAAGAGGGUGAAGAGGGUAGAGAUGGAAUCUGAGUAUUAGUUGGAGCGUUAGAUGGAUUACCUGAAGACUGAGCUUCUGGAUGAACUGCUUCUGGAGCUUCUGAAGCUGGUUCUGAUGAAGUUGCUCCUGAAGCUUGCUUAUUCUUCAAGGCUUGAGAAAGCAGAGUUGCUCCAUACUUAACAGUUUCUAACUCCGAUGCUAAAGCAGCAAUGUCAGGAGUAGGCACAUACCCUGCAGCCUUGAGACGUUCAUCCCUUUCUUUUUCAUACAAAAUCUUCAUCCUUUUCUUUUCUGCUAUCUUGGAUGCAGCAACCUCCCUAGUAUACUGCUCCAUUUCUUCAGUCAUUUCGAAACUGGGCAUGACUAUGGGCUCAGAAGUUGCAGUCCUUUUUGCUUUCUUAGGGCUUGAGUCUUCAUCCCAGUUCUCUUCCAGUUCUUCCAACAUUUGUGCCCUUCUUCCUUCACCUGUCUUCAGAUUUCUUGUUAAAUUAGACCUUUUCCUUUUGAUGGUCUGAAGAGCAGCUUCUCUUUUAUUUUUGGGACUUGGAGGCUUUUCAGAAGCAGCUUGAUCAGAAGCAACUUGUUCUGAACCAGCUUGUUCAGAAGCAGGCUGUUCUGCUGUUUCUUGAGUACUCCUUGUCCUUUUUCUGAUAAGAGGGACAUCUUCCAAAUCUUCCACUUCCUCAAGAAUGGUGGACAUAGCAGAUUUUACCUUCUUAGCUUUCUUAUGCUUCUGAGCACCCACCUCAGUAGCAUUUUCAGCAAGGUAUUCUUCCUUGGUGAUCUGCUUCUUCUUAGAUUUUCUGCUUUUGGCCACAGGCAGCUCACCACCAUACAUUUGGUCAGGAACAUCCUUCAAGCUGAUUUUCUGGUUAAAGGAUUUGUAGUGAUCCAUGAUAUAUGCCCUUUGAACCUCCAAGGGAUCUUGUUUACAGAUGGGAGGAAAGUCUGGGAUAAGAUCUGAUUUGGCAUCAGAAGGUUUCAAGUCAGUAGGACUCUUCUUCACAUCUUUUGCUUUAAUCAGAUGCAUAGCCCUUAGAGUCUCACCAUUGAUAAUCUUCCCUCUAACAGUUCCCAACUGUUCAUCUGUGAAGAUCUGAGCUUCUUUCAGCAUCUCAAUAAUUCCUCCCUGAUGGAAAAUCUCAGAGAGUAGUCUUCCAUAGGGUACCCAAGACCUUUUAUUCAGUUGACUCUCUCUGAGUUGAUGAACCAUAUGUCUGAAUAUGUAUCUGGGAAUAUUUGCCUCUACACCCUUUAUGACAAAGUGUAAGAGGAUUUUAUGUUCCAGAGAGGGCUGAUCACCACCACCACCUUUUGGUAGUAGGUUUUCGUUCUGAAUCUUCAACAUAACCUUUGUCUUGGUGUUCAUGUCAGAAUAGGCAAAGUCCUUUACCUUGUUGUAGAGAGUUUUGUUAACAAUAGCAUUCCAGGGGCUGUCCUUUGGCUUUGAAAUCCCAGCCUCAUGUUCUCCUUCUGCUGGUCUUCUGAUGACAAAGGCAAUAGUGUCCUCAGUGAUCCAGACACGGAUUCCCAUGAUGCUUGAUCUUAUCUGGGUUUUGGAGAAAGUUUCCAAGCCCAUUUCCGCUCUAGACUUCCCUUUGAGUUCAGGAUUGAGAAGAACUUUUUCAUCUUCUUCAAUCUUGGCGGCUUCCCUGUCGUAGAUGCUGGCUCUAACCCAGAAAUGACGAACCAGUGUUUGAUAAGUUGGUCCAUUUAGAAGAUUGAAGUACCUUCCCAGACCUUGUUUCUCGUAGUACUUGCCAAUGUCACAGUCGUGAGCGGCCAAAGAAUCAAAAUCCACCGGACUUUCUGAUUGAAUGUUUAAUUCCCAUUCCUCCAAGGACAUAGUUCUUCCUUUGAUUUCAUAAGCAGGAGUAUCUAUAUCCAUAUUCGAUGAAGAACCACCGGCAGAACUUGAAGAUGCCAUUGAUAUGAAGUGGUUUAAGGGUUCUAAAGAGUUUUUGAGAGGAUGAGAGAAUGUGCUUACUUACACAGAGGGUUGAGAAGAAAUUAGAAAGUGUUUGUUGUGAAGUGAGAAGUGUGUGAAAUGACUUAGUGUUUUUUAUUAAAACGUUUGUAAUUCAGAAGGGACAAACAAACACAGCAUUAAUGACAAAUUGGGGGCGCGUGUAAGUAUGUUAAAAAGCGAAUAAAAACAUCAUUGCCCUUUUUGUUAUACUCCAAUACAAAUAGACCACGUCAGAGACUCUUCAGAAAACUACCUUUUGGGUAAUGGGACAGCUGUUACAUAAAGUAACUGCCAGCGUUCCCACUAACCAAGCUAUUCAGAAGCAAAGAAUAACACUUCUGAAGUUUUAGUGCUGACGUCAUCUUCAGAAGCACAUUUUCCUCAGAACCUCAGUUAAGAGCUUCUGAUGAACCAAAAAUGCUCCUGAAUAAACUUCAGAACCAAACUUCUUAUUCAGAGGCAAGCCAUUUUUCAAUCAGACACAAAAUGCAUGUUCAAAUUUUUCUUAAUAAAAUCAAAUCUUUCAACAGACAAAGGUUUUGUAAAUAUAUCAGCCCAUUGAUGUUCAGUAUCAAUGAAUUGUAUAUCUAAAAUUCCUUUUUGAACAUAGUCUUUGAUAAAAUGGUGUUUGAUUUCAAUAUGCUUGGCUCUUGAAUGUAGAAUUGGAUUCUUUGACAAACAAAUAGCAGCAGUAUUAUCACAAUAAAUGGGAAUACUGUUAGCAUUGAUCUGAUAGUCUUCCAACUGAUGUUUCAUCCAAAGUAGUUGUGUGCAACAACUUGCAGCUGAAAUGUACUCUGCUUCUGCUGUAGACAUAGCAAUAGUUGCUUGUCUUUUGCUUGCCCAGGAUAUCAGAUUCUCUCCCAGGAAUUGACAAUUUCCACUGGUUGAUUUUCUUUCAAUCCUAUCACCAGCAUAAUCAGCAUCACAGAAUCCAAUCAACUUAUAAUCUAGGGAUUUCCUAUACAGGAGUCCAAGAUUAGUUGUUCCUUUCAGAUACCUGAAGAUUCUCUUAACUGCAGUUAAAUGAGAUUCUCUAGGAUCUGAUUGAAAUCUUGCACACAAGCAUACACUGAAUAAAAUAUCAGGUCUAGAUGCAGUGAGGUAUAACAGAGAACCAAUCAUACCUCUGUAUAGCUUCUGGUCUACUACUGUUCCAGUAUCUUCUUUGCUUAAGGUGCAGGUUGGAUGCAUUGGAGUGUUCAUCACUUUACAAUCUUCUAGCUUGAACUUCUUCAGAAGCUCCUUUGUAUAUUUUGUUUGAUGAACAUAUACUCCUUCUUUACUUUGGUUGAUUUGAAUUCCCAGAAAGAAUUUCAAUUCUCCCAUCAUACUCAUUUCAAAUUCAUCCUGCAUUAACUUAGAAAAUUCUUUGCAAAGAGAUGCAUUAGUAGAACCAAAUAUUAUAUCAUCAACAUAUAUUUGCACAAUCAAAAUAUCUUUCUUAAGAGUCCUUCUGAAGAGUGUUGUGUCAACUUGUCCUCUUUCAAAAUCAUUUUUAAUUAAGAAAUUACUUAGUCUAUCAUACCAAGCUCUGGGAGCUUGUUUCAAGCCAUAUAGUGAUUUCUUAAGUUUAUAAACAUGGUCAGGAUGCUUAAGAUCCUCAAACCCAGGAGGUUGUUUAACAUACACUUCUUCUUCAAUGACACCAUUAAGAAAAGCACUUUUGACAUCCAUUUGAUAUAAUAUUAUGCCAUGAUUAAUUGCGUAGGAUAGAAGUAACCUGAUUGCUUCCAAUCUUGCAACUGGAGCAAAUGUUUCAGUGUAAUCAAUGCCUUCUUGUUGACUGUAGUCUUGAGCAACAAGUCUGGCUUUGUUUCUGGUUACUUCUCCUUGUUCAUUCAGCUUGUUUCUGAAUACCCAUUUUGUUCCAAUAAUGUUCUUCUGAGAAGGUUUGGGUACCAGAUCCCACACAUCAUUCCUUUGGAAUUGAUUUAGCUCUUCUUGCAUAGCUAAUAUCCAUCCAUCAUCUGAGAGAGCUUCUUCAACAGUUUUAGGCUCAAUUAUUGAAAGCAGUCCUAUUAAAGACUCUUCUUGUCUAAAAUGUGAUCUUGUUCUUCUAGGACUAUCUUUGCUUCCAAUGAUUAACUCCUCAGGAUGUGAAGAUUUGUGCUUGAAUUUAGGUUGAAUAACCUGCUGAGUGUUAUCUUGAAAGUCCUCAGAAGCACUUUCAUUCUGUACUUUUGGGCUAGGUUCUGCUUCUGAAUUAGACUCAGCUUCUGGAGUGAUUUCAGCUUCUGGACAAGAUUCAACUUCUGUAUACUUUUCAGAAUCAGAAGGUUGAUCAGAUUCUGAUGCAUCUUCAGAAUCAGUUGUACCUGCAUUACUUUCACUUUGCUCUGAAGUUUUACUUCCAGGCUCUCUAUCAUCAAAUUUUACAUGCAUAGAUUCUUCAACACAUUGUGUUUCUGAAUUAUACACUCUGUAUGCCUUUGACCUUUCAGAGUAACCUAAAAAGAUUCCUCUUUGAGCCUUGGCAUCAAAUUUCUUCAGAUAGUCUUUAGUGUUUAAGAUGUAACAAGUACAUCCAAACUGAUGAAAGUAAGAGAUAUUGGGUCUUCUUCCUUUAAAGAGUUCAUAUGUUGUUUUCUCCAACAUAGGUCUGAUAUAGAUCCUAUUUUGAAUAUAACAUGAAGUAUUGACUGCUUCUGCCCAAAAAUGUUUAGCUAAGUUGUUUUCAUGGAUCAUGGUUCUGGCCAUUUCUUGUAAGGUUCUGUUCUUUCUUUCUACAACCCCAUUUUGUUGUGGAGUUCUAGGAGAAGAAAACUCAUGGAGAAUCCCAUGUUUUUCACAAAAAAAUUCAAAUGGCUCAUUUUCAAAUUCUCCACCAUGAUCACUUCUGACUUUCAAAAUUUUCAAUUCUUUUUCAGAUUGUAUUUGAGUGCAGAAGCUGCUAAACACUUCACAUGCAUAGUCUUUACUUUUAAUGAAUUUUACCCAAGUCCAUCUGCUGUAAUCAUCAACAAUGACUAAUCCGUAUUUACUUCCAUAUAAAGAUGCAGUGUUAACUGGACCAAAAAGAUCAAUAUGGAGUAAUUCUAAGGGUCUGGAGGUUGAUACAAUGUCUUUAGAUUUGAAAGAACUUUUCACAAUUUUCCCUUUCUGACAUGCACCACAAAGUGCAUCUGAAUGAUAAUCAAUGUUAGGCAAUCCUUUGACCAGUUGUAACUUGCUAAUUUUAGAAAUUAAUCUCCAAUUAGCAUGUCCCAACCUUUUAUGCCAUACCCAUUUUUUAUCAUUCAUUGACAGAAGGCAAACUACCUUCUGAUCAGCCAGAUCAGAGAAAUUUAUUUUAUAAACAUUCUCAACUCUCUUUCCCUUGAAUGUAAUGGAUUUGUCAUCCUUGUUGACUAGUGUGCAGUUGGUCUUACUGAACGUUACAUCAUACCCAUUGUCACAAAAUUGACUAAUGCUCAAUAGGUUAUGCUUCAGACCAUCUACUAGCCACACAUUAUUAAUUGAGAUGGAGGAAUUACCAAUAGUACCUGUACCAAUGAUCUUUCCAGUUUGGUUGCCACCAAACUUCACUUCUCCUCCAUCUUUCAUUGUAAGGGUAAGGAACAAAGCUUUCUCUCCAGUCAUGUGCCUUGAACAUCCGCUGUCUAGGUACCAUGACCUUUGUUUCUCUCUUGCCCUUAAGCACACCUGCAUUUUUGGCCAAUUCAGAUUUAGGUACCCAUAUCUUCAUGGGUCCUUUUGGGUUAGUUUUGGAGGUUUUACUUUUCCUCCCUUGUACCUUAGGGUGAAUGCUGAGUGGCUUCUGAUCAUUCAAUACUUUGGGUUUGACACCUUUUGGUAUUGUUUUCUCAGAAGCAGUAGCUGCUUUGUUCUUCUGAUCCUUUUGUUUUGGAAUUUUAGAUUCUGGUUUAAUCAGAUUCUGAUGAACAGGUUCUGAUCUUUUCAGAAUUUUAAUCUUUUGACUCUUAGGAUCAGAUUUUGUCAUUACCUUGAUCUUAAGAUUCUCUGGCUUUGAUGUGAUCUUAGCCUGUGAACCUGAAGCUUCAGGUUUUGACUGAACAGCAGUUAUAGCAUUUGUACCUUCAGGCACAAAGGUGGAUUUCAAUCCAUCCUUGAUACAAUCACAGUAGCUCUUGAGACUGUAUUCUUUGGAUUUCUCCUCAGAAUAUCCAAUCCCUUUGCCUUUGUUCUUGUAUGUGCUGUAGAUCAUAGAAGCAACUUUGCUUCUGUCUAUUCCAGCCAUAAUAAAAUCAUCCAAGGCAAUCUCAUGUUUAUUGCCUGAACCUUUAUCACAUUUUUCUUGUAGCUUCUGACAAAGACUCUUGAGUCUAUCUUCAUAUGUUGUUGAUAUGAGGUUAAACCCUUUGAGUUCUUCUUCAGAAGCUUUCAGUUCCAAUAGAGUUGAUUUUUGUUGUUUCAUCAAAUCAACAUAUUUUUCUUUUAAAUCUGUCAACUCAUUGGUUCUGUGUUCAAAUAGUGAUAAAAGUUCUUUUAGAGAAUCAACAAGUUCUUGUCUAGGGAUUUUGGAAUAUACCUCAUUUUCAUCUUCUGAAUCUGAUUCAGCUUCUGAUACUGCUUCUGAUGAUACUGUUGCCACUAAUCCAACGGCUGCCUUAGCAUCAUCAUCAGCUUCUUCUUUAUCAGAACCAGAUUCACUAUCCAAAUCUUCCCAGGUCGCCAUCAAGCUCUUUUUGAUUUGCUUUCUGAAUUUACUGGAGUUGAAGCUUGAUUUCUUGGAUUUGCCUUUAAACUUCUCCUUCUGAAGAUCAGGGCAAUCAGCAAUGAAAUGACCAGGCUUCUUACAAUUGAAGCAUCCCUUCUGAUCUUCUUUCUUGAAGUUCUUGUAGCUACCUCUCUUGCUCAAAAAUUUCUUCUGCUUCCUUGCCAGAUACUCAAGCUUGUUGGACAGCAUAGCCAUCUUUACAGAUUGAUCUUCAUCAGAAUCUCCAUCAGGUGAUUCUUCUUCAGAUUCACUGGCUUUGUAGGCUUUGGAAGACUUUGAGGUCUUUCCUUUAGAUGGUAAAGCAAUGGAUUUACUCUUCUUAGAGGUUUCAUGCUCAUUUAAACUCAUUUCAUGCACUUUGAGUGAGCUAACAAGAUCUUCAACACUUAAAGUAUUUAGAUCCUUAGCUUCCUCAAUAGCAGUUACUUUGGGUCUCCAUCUUGAAGGUAAGCUUCUCAAAAUCUUACUAACAUGAUCAGAAGCAACAUAGCUUUUCUUCAGUAUCUGCAAUCCAGAAACUAAAGUUUGAAAUCUUGAGUACAUUUCUUCUAUACUCUCAUCAUCCUUCAUUCUGAAAAGUUCAUACUGAUGAACUAGCAUCAAAGCUUUAGCCUCUUUCACCUUCUUGCUGCCUUCAAAGUUGGCACAUAGUGACGCAAACAUAGCCUUCGCAGUAGAUUUGUCACUCAUCUUCAUGUAUUCAGUGCGAGGUAUAGAAGCCACAAUAAUCCCUCUGAUUUUGUGGUGCUUCUUGUAAAGCUUCUUCUGAGCAGGAGUAUGUAUUUUUCUAUCUAUAGCAGCUCCUUCUUCAUCUAAAUCCAGGUCAUCAACUCCAUCUUCCAGUAUGUCCCAUAACUCUUCAUCUAAUCCCAUGAUAAAGCUGUACAUAUUAGUUUUCCACCAAGAAAACUCUUCUGGAUCUCCAUUAAACCUUGGAGCUUUUCCAGAGUCUGUUUUCUUGUCAGCAGUAUCAUAGUCAUGCUUGACGCUUGUGUAUUUUGGAGUAACUGAUUCCUCAUCUCCAGACAUGUUUUUCUAAUAGAUCUUGAACUGUAACACGGUUAAGUGCUGUGAUAACAGAGCAGGCUCUGAUACCAAUUGAAGGUGAAAAACACAAGAAGGGGGGGUUGAAUUGUGUUUUCUUUUUCUCUUAAAAAAGGAUUCUUCUUCUGAUAAAACUUCAGAAGCAGUUUGAUUGCUUCUGAUGAAAUGAUCAGAGUCAGAUUGCAGCGGAAAAGAACAGAGCAGAGAAAAGAAAGACAAAUACACAGGCAGUUAUCCUGGUUCCUUCCACAACACGGAAGUAGUCCAGUCCCCCUUGCACUUCCAAGGAGAUUUCACUAUAAUCACAAGAUUACAACUGCUCAAUACUUUCAAAGUAUGAGACUUCACAAAACAAUGCUCAAGCACACACGCAAGAGUCUUCCAAUGCUCAAGCACUAAGCAAGAGACUUCUAAUGCUCAAGCACGCAGGCAAGAGACUUCUAAUCAAACAAAAAUACAGAGAAUUGAGUUUGAAUUGAACACUUGAUAUACAAUCAGUGGUGUUCACAAUACAAUACAGAAAAGACUCUAGACUUUGAAUUUCUAAGAUGUAUCAAAUCAGUGCAGAAAUUCAGUGUGCUUUGUAGAAUCAAAUUGACAGAGUUUUGGCGCUUUUGAACUUAUGUAUCUCUAUCUAAAAUCUUCAAGUCUUCAUUCCUUUAUAUAGAGGCGUGAAAGAGACGUUGAGAUAAUCAGCACGUCUAAAGAGUCGUUUGAAAUCCUUUGAUUAUCCACCAGUGAUCCUUUGCCUGAUUUGGGUGUAGUCCUUUGAAGAAUAAACUUCAAAUUCAUUCCCAUCUUGAGUGUACAAAUUCUGCAGGCAUGGCUGUUGUUUUGUCUUGUAGCGUAGACAGAAAACAGAGUAGUGGUGGUAGUGGUUGUAACACUUGUACUUUGUCAACUCUAUUAAUGAGAGACAAGUGCUCAGUGCUAUCCAUAUAUCCGUUGAUACCUCCCUUUCAAUUCUUCAUUCUUCUUUGAUAAGAAUGAAUUGAGAAUCAGCAACUUUGAAUCUUCAGUUUGACUAAAGGAUCAAAUGUAGCUUCUGGUGAAAAUAUUGCUUCUGAUGAAAACUUUUGCUUCUGAUGACUUUCUGCUUCUGAUGACUUUCUGCUUCUGAUGACGUCAUCUCUUCAGGAGCAGUUUAGCUUCAGGAGCAGUUUUCUUCAGAUGCUCAGAAUUUCUUUUUUCUUUCCAUUGUUCUUCCAAGACCUAUUGAAAUAACUUGAGUAGCCUUUGGUCCUGUACACUUGAACAAUUAUUAGUAAUAACCAAUUGACAAUUUUUAAUACCUUGUUAUCAUCAAAACUUAAUAAGGUUCAUUGUGAAACACAUUUUGUUCCAACAUAAUUUUCUGCCAAACUCUAUCUUUAGUAAAGCUGAAGGUUGCUUGUUUAUUCCUUCCUACCAUAGAAGGAAACCCAGAUAUUUACCUGUAACAAGAACUGGAUAUACUCUGAGGAUUGAUGUAAUCAUUUGUUGGACAUUAUUAUCAACAUUCCUACUACAGUAAAUUUCAGACUUCGGCAAACCGAUUGCCUAACCUGAAGCCGCCUCAUAAGUGGUAAGGAUUUCCUUCAUUUUAUGUGCUUCCUCCUCUGAAGACCUGAAAAAUAAGAAGCAAUCGUCGGCAAAAAGAAGAUGAGUAAUCAUAGGUGCAUUCCGACAAAUUUUUGCUCCAUGAAUUUCUCCACGAACUUCAACUUGCGUAUUAAAGCAGAAAGCCCUUCAACACACAAAAUAAAUAAAUAUGAGGACAACGGAUCCCCUUGGCGAAACCCUCUUCCUGGAAUUAUAGGCCCCACUCACUCUUGAUUUACUAACACCGAGUAAUCAACAGUUUCAAUACACAUCAUGAUCCAAGUCACCCAUUGGUGACAAAAACCCAUUGUCAUCAUCACCUCCUUCAAGUACAUCCAAUCUAUUCUGUCAUAUGCCUUGCUGAUAGGGUUGGGAAUAGGCCAGGCCGGCCUACAGGGGCCUACGGCCUGGCCUGUUUUGGCCUGGCCUGGCCUGGACUGUUUAGUAGAUAGGCCUAGGCUUAGGCUUUUAGGAAAGCCUGUUUAGUUAAAUAGGCCAAGCUUAGGCUUCAAAAAAAGACUGUUAAGCCUAAUAGGCCGGCCUAUUAAUACUUAUUUAUUAAAAAAAGAAAAAUCAUAUUAAAAUAAUUGCAUAUAUUAAAAAUAUAAACCUCUUUUUCUCUAUCUAUUAGUCCCUUAAUAGGCUUUGUUGUUAUAGGCUUUUAUGUAGGCUUUAAUCUAGUUGAAAUUUACUUGUAGUGAAAUAGGCUUUUAAGUAGGCUUUAAGACAUGUUUAACCUAUUUAGUAGGCAAAAUGAACUAUUUGAUAGUCUUAAUGUGAAGUAGGCCUGUAAGUAGGCUUUCAGGUCAGUCCAGGCUUUUAAAUAGGCCAGACCAGGCCUAGAAAAACGACCUAUGAUAGGCCAUAGGCCAGGCUCAGGCUUGUGAUUUAUUUCGUAGGCCAGGCUCAGGCCUAUCAAAGCCUGGCCUAUUCCCACCCCUACUUGCUGAUGUCAAGCUUCAACGCCACAUUGCCUUUCUUACCAACAGUUUUCAGUUUCAUAUAAUGAAUCACUUCAAUAGCUACCAUUGCAUUAUCUAAGAUAGACCUUCCAGGAACAAAAGCAGACUGAUUUUUAGAAAUACAUUUAUCCAACACUGUCUUUAACCUGUUCACUAAAACCUUCGACAACACUUUAUAAAGCACAUUGCAUAACGCUAUUGGGCGGCAAUCCUUCAUUGUCUGUUGUUCUAUACAUUUAGGAAUAAGUGCAAUAUUGGUAGCAUUUAAAGAAGCCGGAAAUUGUCCAUUACCUAACCAAGCAACACACUCCUUAAAAAUAUCCGGGCUGCAAACUUCCCAAAAAUGUUGGUAAAAACCUGGAUUAAAUCCAUGUGGCCCUAGACACUUAUCUGAGCUCAUUGAGAACAUCAAUUCCUUGAAUUCCUCUAUCUGAAAAGGCGAAGAGCAUUCAAACUUUGUUAGCUACAGAUGCCUUAAAUCGUAAAUAAUUAAUUUUGGUUUUAUUCCAAAUCUACCACCACUAUACAACACACAAAAAAUUCUCUCUUCCCACUAUCUCUUUCCUCCCACGAAUGACUCCCACCACCACCGCCUGUGUUAAGACAUAUUCAUAGGACCGUGGUACCGAAACGAUACUCUUGACAGAUCCCUUUCUCCCAUGCGUGAUUCACCAUGAAUCGGAGAUGUAUUCUCCUCCAUCUCUCCCUCCCUCUCUCUAUCUCUCUCUCUCACUCACUCUAUCUCUCUCUCUCUGUGUAUCGGCCACCACAAAAUACAAAGGGGUGUCGUUUUUCUAAUGUUGUCGUAUUAGACAUUGUGUUAAUGUGUCAUUGACUUUCCUUGUGAGCCUGUAUAUGUAAACAUAUUUGAGAUUUGAUCAUUUUGAAAAUUUGACGAUUUUGGAAAAGUUUUGAAAUACGAAUUUUAACAGAGAUAUAUGAUUUAAAUGAGCAUAUCUAUGGUACUCCUACCAGAAUCGUUGAAAGAACGGUCUAUGAAACUCGAAUAGAUUAAUAGAUUUUCCCUUUUAGCACAUUUAAGCCCUUUUUUUCUUUAUCUCUUUGUCUUUUUCCCUUUUUACAUUAUUCAAAAACCCGUACAAUUCUUCGAUUCAUAACUAUGCUUUUGUCACUUUAAACCUAUCAGCUAAGGACCCUUUAAGGAUCAAGAUCGAAUCCUAUAAUGCCCUUGGUUUUGAUUCAAGACAUUACUUUUAUUUCUUUUUCUUUUUUUUUUAGAAAUAUAGGACUAUUUUUUUUGGUUUAACCAUAGUCAUUAAUAAUAAAUGUAUAACCGAAACUUAGACAAAAAUUCAUAAAAUAGUUUAAUUAAAAUUCUUAAAAUAAAAAACCUUUAAAAUAUUAAAAAUUACAAUCAAAUCAAAAACCAAACUUUGUCCCCCUUAAGUGCUACAAGCAAAACGUCAAGUACACAUCAUCUCUUCUUUGGUACUUAAAAUAUUGGUUGUUUGUGAGGGUUAGUCUUCAACAUCCAUAAAAUAAAAUCAAUAAUAAAUUAUAACAAGAAAUAAGAAUAUACAACCAUUAUCAAGGAAUCAUAAUAAACAAUUUCAAUUUCUUAUUCAUUUAGAAUAUUAUUCACUCCAAAUGUACUAUAAAAACAAACACAAGACUCAAUGCUAAGGCAUAUGCAUGAAAAUGCAAGUGCAUAAUAAUUUUAAUCUCUCCAUUUGGCACUUAAUAAUACAUUGAAUCGUCUCAUUUGCCACUUAAUAAUUCAUUGAUUCGUUCCCAAAAUGUCAUAGAUGAGGUGCCUACGAACAAUCUCCCUACAUCCACAAAUCCCGUUUUUGAACAUGUUGACCAACAAAAGCAUUCAAAGUUCGUUGAGGUUCCAGUUCCAGUUGAUCAGACACAAGAGCGGGUUCUUAAUGAUGAUGUCAAAUUCGUGAUAUGCAGCAAAAUAUGGGGCAGAAGUUCCUUUUACACCAUACUUGACAAAGAAACAAUAGCAACAACUUAAAAGAGCAUACCAAACAUGUUAUAAGGAUGAACCAUCCCCACUUACGAAAUUAAGGUUCUAAGCUGGAAUUCGAGAUUCGAGGUACACGCUGUGCGAUUAAGCUUAGAAACUAUGGUCACUCUGAUCAGAGGUAAAUAUGGUUGGAGCCUUUACCACCAUUUCUUAGGGAGGACUUCUUUAGGACUACUUUGCCUUACCUUUUUUUCGUUUUCAUUGGUCCUCUUGUUUAUUUUGUUUUCCUUUUUAGUUUUUUAAGUAGUUUUUGUUCGGUCCCCCCUAUUUUUUUUUUUUUUUUUCAUUUUUUAAUAAAUAUUAUAUGAGUUAGGUGUCAUAGGAUGGGAGUGUCAUGGAGGUACCAAUUCAAUUGGGAUGUAUAUGAUACCCCUGAUGUUUAUCCUUUCUGUUAAUUAAUUAAAAAAAAUUGUCCCAUUUGUCACUUAAUAUUAAUCCCCCGAUUUGGCACCUAUUCCUUCAACUCACUCUUUCUUUACUUUUUUGAAGUUUUAUACUCUCAAACCACAUGACUUGUCAAUUCACAAAAUCACUAAAACUUCAUAGUGAGCAAAAUUUCAUAAGACAUCUAAACGACAAAUCAACGAAGAGUCACUUUAAAUCAAUCAAAUCUCCAAUUUCACAUAUCACAAAUCCAUUCCUUGUUUGGUGACUUAACCAGCGUAGACACAGCUAUAGUAGUACUAUUGCAGCCAAGGUAAUGGAGUAGUGGUUGUACAAUUGUAUUAUGUCCUUUUUUUGCGCUCUUCAGUGGAUAGUCAUCCAAUGCCUUCUAAUUCCUCUGAAAUAGUCAUUGCUCUAGUCUUUUAUUCCUUCUGCAAUGAUGUGUCUUCAGAAUAACAAACUUUAACUAACUACAUCUCCUUGGCUUCAGACUCUGAUGGUCUUCAGACUCUUGAUGACGUCAGACUCUGGCAGUUUGCUUCUGAUGGUCUUCAGACUCUGUCUUGCAACAUAAGCUUCCUUUGCUAAUUUCAUUGCUCUCUUUUGUUCCUUCAAAACCAAUACUUGGAUAUAAUACUUAUAAAUUAUUUUCUAUGAUCCUGCACACUUGAACAAAUAUUAGCAUAUCCAACAAUAUACUCAUAUUAGAGGUGACGAUGGACAUUAACUUUUUUUUUGACAAAAUACAAAUCAGUGAGCUUAGGACCAAAACUCCGAAAAAUUGAAAUAAAAGGACCAAAACACAAAUUCAAAACAAGGGUAUCAAAACUCUGAAACAUUUGAAAGAGAAGGACCAAAAAUCUUAUUUUUAAAAUAAGGAGGAUCAAAACUUUAUCUUUUUUAUUUUAAAAUAGGAAGGACAAAAAUGCAUUCAAGCCUUAAAAAACUACACUCUCCUCUCCCUUAGAAAACUCGGAUCUCAUUCUCCUUAAUGUUAAAAUGUGUGUUGCUAGUAUUUUUCAUUUCCUUAAUGUUAAAAUGCAUUAAAAACAAUCAUUCAAACGAGCAUGUAUGUCUACUAUUUUAACUGUGUUAACUCAUGUAAAUUAUAAACAAUGUUUAUAUUAAAUUUUUAUUAUGAUUAAUAUGCUUAAAUAGCUAAAAAAAUAUAGUAAAUUUAUAAUUUAACUUAAAUUAACAAAUUAAUAAUAACACUAAAAGAAAAAUAUUUUUUUUAUGUGUAGUAGAUGGUUCUGAUAAGAUUAAAAGUCUUUUUGUGAUGCACCUUGUACUUGACCUAUUGACCGUUAAGUUUCUUUAUUUAAAUAACAAGAUCGGUUUGACCUACAUAUGACUUAACUUUGGUCGUAAGUCUCUAUCCACAUAUUUGACUUAUUGUAACAGUUACGUAAGGUUAUUGUGCCAUAUGUCAUCUUUAUCGUUGAUUGACACCUCAUAGACAAUAUUUUUAAUGAAUUGUUUUGUUUGACUCAAUAAAAAUAAGAAAUUUUUGUCUUUUCCUAUUAAAUUUGACUUUUUUUUUACUUUUUUCUAAAUUCAAAAUUUAAAUAUUCUAAGUGUAGUUUUGUAGUUAAUUUUUGGUUUGUAGGGGCCUGAAUUUGAACCUACAGAUUCCAUACUUCUCUGAACUUAUUAUAUGAGUCUAAACACUAGGCUACUUGACAAAAAAAUUCAACAAAAAAUAAUAUGAUAAUGUUUAUCCUUUUAUUAUGAAUAUAAGUAGAUUGUGCUAAUAAGAUUAAAAGUCUUUCUGAUGCGCCUUGUACUUUACCUAUUGACUGUUAAUUUUCUUUAUUUAAAUAAUAAGAUUGGUUUGACCAACGCAUGAACUACCCUUGGUAGUUAAUAAUAAGAUAGGAUUACUAUAUUUUUAGGGAAUAUUCUAAGUGUAAUUCGGUAGUUAAUUUCAUGGACAUUGGUUUGUAGGGGCCUGAAUUUGAACCUACAUAUUUCAUACUUCUCUGAACUAAUUAUUAGAGUCUAAACACUAGACUCAAAAAGUUCAACAAUAAAUGAUAAGAUAAUGUUUAUCCUUUUAUCAUGAAUAUAAGUAGAUUGUCCUAAAAAUAUUAAAAGUCUUUCUGAUGCGCCUUGUACUUUACCUAUUGACUGUUAAGUUUCUUUAUUUAAAUAAUAAGAUUGGUUUGACCUACGCAUAACGUAACUUUGGUCGUAAGGCUUAUCAAUAUUAUUGACUUACUUUAAUGGUUACGUAAGGUUAUCGUGUCAUAUGUCAUCUUUAUCGUUGAUUUAAUACCUCACCGUCAAUAUUUUUAAUGAAUUCUUUUCUUUGACUCAAUAAAAAUAACAGUUUUUAUCUUUUCCUAUUAAAUUUGACUUUUUCUUGAUUGUGUUCUAAAUUCAAAAUUUAAAUAUUCUAAGUGUAGUUCGGUAGUUAAUUUCAUGGACAUUGGUUUGUUGGGGCCUGAAUUUACUCCUAGAGAUUCCAUACUUCUCUGCACUAAUUAUAUGAGUCUAAACACUAUGCUACAUGACAAAAAAAUAAGGUUAACUGUUACAUAAGGUUAUCGUGUCAUAUGUCAUCUUUAUCGUUGAUUUGACAUCUGAUAGACAAUAUUUUUAAUGAAUUGUUUUGUUUGACUAAAAAAAUAAACAGUUUCUUUCUUUUUCUAUUAAAUUUGACAUUUUCAAGAUUGUGUUCUAAAUUCAAAAUCUAAAUAUUUUAAGUGUAGUUCGGUUGUUAAUUUCUUCAACAUUGGUUUGUAGAGGCUUGAAUUCGAACCUACAGAUUUCCUACAUCUCUGCACUUAUAGUGUGAGUCUAAACACUAGACUACUUGACAUUCAACAUUUAGUAAUAAUAUAAUGUUUAUCCUUUUAUUAAGAAUAUAAGUAGAUUGUCCUGAUAAGAUUAAAAGUCUUUCUGAUGCGCCUUCUUCUAAGGGUAUUGACUGUUAAGUUUAUUUAUUUAAUAAAAAGAUUGGUUUAACCUACGCAUGACGUAACUUUUGUCGUAAGUCUCUAUCAACAUAUUUCACUUAUUUUAAUUGUUACGUAAAGUUACUGUGUCAUAUAGCAUCUUUAUCGUUGAUUUUACACCUCAUAGACAAUAUUUUUGAUAUAUUGUAUUGUCUACUUACUAUAUUAUAAAGAUAAAUCCCUAUGAUUUUACCAUUUUGCCCCUAUGAGAGGCAUUUUUGUAAUUUCCUAUUGAUGGGGUGUGGUUAGUGUCACCUCAUCAUUUUUAGGGUGCAUUUCCCAUUUUGCCCCUCACCAUUUUUUUAAUUAUUUUAUAUUUUAAUAACUUUUAACUAUUUUGAAAUUUUUAUUUUUUUAUCCAUUUUUCAAUUUUUUCACCCAAAUUCAGUUGCUUCUACAUUGCCGUUGUGGGAUAUUAAGGUAUCAUUUGACCCAGCUUUUUUCCAACUUCCCUACACUUUUAAGGAGAAGUUAGGUCAAACACACUAUCAAUUAUUUUAAUUUCAAUAUUGUUUAAUCAUCACAACCUCACAAAUAUUUUUAUUCACACUGUCAUUUAAUGAUACCAAAUACUUUUAUUUCCUUUCUUCAACCUCGCAAAUAUUUACACACAUUAAUGUUUAGAGUAAUUUUUUAUGUCUGUCUGUCUGUGUUUUUGUUACGCUGAUGCAAUUUCUUUUAGUGUUGCUUGAUUGAGUGCUACCUCACCGAUUUUUUUUAACUAUUUUCCAAUUUUCAUAUUUUUAAAAACUUUUGACUAUUUUCCAAUUUUUUUAUUUUUAACUAUUUCCCAAUUUUUUCUUCCAAAUUCAGUUGCUUCUACACUGCCGUUGUGGGAGAUUAAGAUACUAUUUGACCAGUUUUUUUUUCAACUUCUGUACAUUUUUAAGGAGAAGUUAGGCCAAGUAUAAUAUCAAUUAAGUACUUACUAAAAAAAGUACUUUCUUUUAAUGCAUAAAAUUGAAUGGAAUGAGUUUUGGCCAAAAGUUGUUGAAUGCUACUUCAAAAACUACUUCUCGACAAUUUAUUUAACAAGCAUCUAUCUUAUAUUCACGUUGGGAACCUUUUCUUUUAUUUUCUAAUAUUAUAUUUCAAUAUGUUUUUUUUUCUUCCAUUUAAUUUUUUUUAGCCGAUCCAUUUAAUUUUUUUAAGGAGGUUUCAUUUAAUUUUAUUACCUUUUUUUCAAAGAAAUUUUAUUAUCUUUUUAUCACUUAUAUAUUUAAUUUAAAUAUCGUUUAAUCAUAACAACCUCACAAAUAUUUUUAUUCACGCUAUCAUUUAAUGAUACAAAAUAUGUUUAUUUUCUUUCUUCAACCUCACAAAUAUACAGACACACAUAUUAACGUUUAGAGUAAUACUUUAUGUGUGUCUGUUUUUUUGUUACACUAAUGCUAUAAUUUGUAUAAAAUUUUGAUUUUAAUUAAAAGUAAAAUUAUAGAUGUCUUUACUUCAAAAAAGGCAUAGAUGCCUAAAAAAAUUAUACUUAUCUUUUAUAUAUAUAUAUAUAUAUAUAUAUAUAUAUAUAUAUAUAUAUAUAUAUUGUCAUAUCCCAAAUUUGGACCAUUUGAAAUCUUUCUUGUCCGCAUUUUAUAUUAGUCCAGAUUCUCUUUUAUGCGUUUUUUUUACCUUUUAAAACUCGUGUUUUUCGUCAUUAAUCAUUUAAAGACUUUCAUCUGGCAUUUAAGUCCUCGCUCGCUUUUUUUACAAUAUUUAAAAUCACUUCAUUUGAAUUUUUAUAAACGCAUUUUAUAAUCCUUUUAGUCAUAACAGGCAAGUCAUUUUAAAAUGGCUAAUUGUAUUUUAAAAGGCGUGUCUUUUUAAAUCAUUUCAACCGAAAUUCCGGCAGGGAGGAUACUUUGAAGUACCUCAUGUCAGAUUCCGAAGGGACUUUUUAUUUUUUUAUUUUUUUUUAUUUGUCUUUUUUUAGUUUGUUUAUUUUUAUUUUAUUUUGUUAUUAUUAUGUUUUUUAUUUUUUUAUUUUUUUUUAUUUAAAAAAAAAACAAAGAAAGAAAGAAGACUCACGUCUUCCUCUCUUCUUUUCUUUUUUCUUUUCUUUUUCUUUUCUUUUUAUUUAUUUUAUUUAUUUAUUUAUUUAUUUGUUAAGCUUUUGUCCCCAAGUCUCAGCUGCAGGGGCAUUUUGGUCAUUGUUUUGCACCAGAGCCAACCCUAAUUUGUCACUAUAAGUACACAGCAAUCAUUGGGAAAUGGGUCCAAAAAAAAUUCACUGUUCACACGCGUCAGAGUCAGAAAACGGGUCAGAUUGGUCCCUAUCAUACCACAAACACUUUUCCCUUUCUCUCUCAUCUAAAUUCCAGAUCUAACACUAAAAAAAUCAAAGAAAAUGAUGAACAUUCAUAUGAGUUCAUCAUAAACCUUCAUUUUUUUCCAGAAAUUCACCUCAAACCUCACGUAAUCCCGAACAACAGUCACGAAUCAUUUCAUUUCACCCAUACACAAGUUGUUUCAUUCUCGGAUUUAGAACAACAACCAUACCAAAACGUAAAUCCAACCCAAACAAAACCGGUUCCAAGCUUCAAAGAACCAGAUCGGAGCUAAAUAGACCGGAUUCGCGAGAAAGGAAACGGAACGCGCACAUAAAGAAAGAACAAGAGCAAAUCGGACCAGAAACAACAACAACAAAGCAAAAAGAGGUAAAAAAAAUUCAAAUCUUCAUUUGUAGAUCUAGCUCAAAUUUCUCUACCCUUUUUAAAACUAAUACCGGAUUCGAGUAGAGGAAGGGAAGAGGAGUGGUUUGAUGUAAAAAAAUUUCGAAAAAAAGCAAAAAAAAAACUCCGGCGCGACGGCGCUCCGGCCGACCACCGCGCCGGAGCAGCUCCGGCCGCCCCUCCCCCACCUUCUUCUCCGGCGAGAUUCCUAGAGAGAAGUGGGAGCUUCUCUCUCUAGGUUUUUAGAAAGAGGUUUUUUGUGAAUUGUGUUAUGUUUUUUUUGUUAGAACUCUUUUAUAAUGCUUUCUUUUUUGUUGGAUCUUGUGCACAUGCGCAUACUGCAAUUCAGUGCUCCAUCGCGUUACAGCCCUUGGAUCUGGAUCAUUCCUUGAUCUGAGGGCUCCUGUGUAUCUUGAUUUUGGAUCAGGUGGAUUUUUUUUCUGCGUGAGUAUGGUGUGGUUUCUGUUUGGACCAUCAGAUCGUUGAUCUGACGGUCACUGUGUUUUCAGUAUAAUCCCUUUGUUUCUAUGUUGUUCUUGUGACCCUUGGAUCGUUGGAUCCAAUGGCUGUGAUGAAUCCAGUGAAUGAAUCUGGACUAUUGAUUUAAUCCAAUGGUCCAGAAUUAAUCCUGCUGAGCCAAUGUUUUAUUAUUUUUUAUUUUUAAUUAUCUUUAUUUUUUUAAAUACUGUUUUUACACUUUGUUGACAUUUUUGUGGUUAGAAAAAUUCCAAAAAAUAUUUUUUCUCACUAUUUUAAUUUUCCCUAAUUUUAAAAAUCCUUUCUAUUUGUUUUCUUUUGUGUUUUUUGUUUAUCUCUUAUAUGAUGACCUUAAUUUUUAUUUGUCUUAAUUCUUGCUUAUUAUUUCUUAUGUCUCAUUCAUCAUAAUAUUUCUUGUGAUUACUAACUAUUUAAUUUUUGUCUUGAAUCAUAGCAUGCACAUUUAAUUUUCUCAUUAUUUUAUUUUGUCAUUGACUUAGUAUGUAUAAAUAGGGAAUUGAUGUAAUUUUAUUUCUUGCAUUUUAUUUUGGCAUAAAGGCCUUAGGGUUGUAUCUAGGAAUUGAUGUAAUAAUGUAGGUAACACAAGCACCGACACAUGCACCGACACUACCACAUUUUAUUUACCGCUUUCCGUUAGUUUUUACGAUGUUACGUUAGUUAUCACCGUUAGUUUAGAAAAAACCUUUUUAUCAAAAAAAAUCAAAUAUGUCAAAUUCAAAAAAAAAAUCAUUUUCUUAGCAACAUUUUCUCUUUAUUUUCUUAAUCAAAUUCUCAAUCAAUCUUAAUUCAACUUCAACCAUUUCUUUUCAAAAAUCAAUCAACCUCACUCAUUUCUUUUAUCUCAUGCCUUGAGGCCUCUUUCUCUUCUUAAAACUCAUUUUCAAAAAAUCUUAAAAUCAACCUAACCCACCAAAGAAAUUCUUGAGUGGAACUACGUCGGUUUUGAUCCCUUCCCAAAAGGGUAUGUAGGCAGAGGACUCGUCCUUCCAAAUCAAAUAAAAAUAACCAAAAACAUACUUCUUCUCCCUCCAUUCUUUCACUUAGAUUUUAGGUAAUAAUUUUUCAAGUAAGCCAAAUGAAUUUAGCACAAGAUAAUUUAGGUAAGCGGUUCCUUCGGAGUACCGAAGUCGUUUAGGGUGCUUAACACCUUCCCUAUUCGAAACCAACCCCCGAAUCCAAAGUCUCGAAAAGGGUUUUUACUCAUUUUUUCCCUUCCCAAGAAUAAAAAUCGAGAGUUCAAAGAUCGACGAUUCAAAUCAAUUAAUGGUUUGACAUCCGAAAAUCGCGAGCACAUAUAUAUAUAUAUAUAUAUAUAUAUAUAUAUAUAUAUAUAUAUAUUGCACCUUUAUAUCGUAACAAACUAUGCAUAUAUUUUUCUUAUUCAAAAAAACUAAACAUUGCUAAAUAGAAAAGUUAUUAUUUUAUAUUGUGUCAGCAUUAGAUGAUAGGAUUUUGUAUAAGUUUGAUAAUGACCCGGAAGAUGUCUUUCCUUAUGUAGUGGGAAUAUAGCUGAUGUAACACUAUGGAAAAAAUACUCCGUAGCUUUACCAUUUACCAUCUAUUUACCUUGAGUUCUUUGCUUCCAUUUUGUAGUCAAUGGCAACCCAAAUAUAUGUAACAAUUGAUCAGGUUCGAGGCUGCUCAUCAACCUACAUCAUCCGGUUGUUGAGAAGUUUAAGACUUAGUAAGUUUGCAUUAUGAUUUCACAAUACAGUGUUAGAGUAAUUUAUUAUUUCACAAUCCGAUUUGAUUGUUUUUUGACCAUGUUUCUUGAAUUGUUGUCGUGAACUUAAUACUUCUCAAGCUCAGAGUCAAAGCUUCAGUUAGAACUUCAGUCAGAGUUCGACUUCUUCUCAACGUACUUUGUACAACGAUUUUUCCAAACUAUCUCAGGUUAGGCCAAUUGCUGAAUUUAUAAACUUAGUCAAUGUCUGCUUUUUUUAUGCACAAACAUGUUUUGAGUUUUUUUACGCACAAAUUAAAAAUACAUAUUGCAUUAUUCUUUAUUUCAUGUGCAUAAUUUGUGUUAGGAAACAUACUGCAUCACUAUUUUGUAAACAACUAAAUUCAAUCCUAACCAGUUUGGAUUGUAUUAUGACAAUUCCACCAAAUGUUCGAAGACAUCAAUGUCAAAUGGUGCUAGCUGUAUAUGCACAUGCGGAAGUGAUGCUUAAUUUCCAUUUGUUUCAAUAAUGUUAAUUGGUCAACGGGGUACAUAUAAUGUACAUGCAUGCAUUUAUCUAGACUUUAUAGGAAGAUAAUAGGAAGAUAAUUUAGAAGUCAUGCUACAUUUUCUUUAGUUUAAAAUCAGUUAUACUACCUUUAUUUUAUAAAUUAUAUGUAACUAUAUUCGCAUACAUCUUAUCCAUGUAAAUAUGCAUUAGACUAAUAUUGCAGUUAUUCUCCUAUUUAGCAUUUCCCAAACGAGGUGUCAAGAACAAUUCUGAAAGGAAAGCGCAAAGCAAUCUCUCAUUGAUGACCAGACACAGAGACAGUAUAACUGUCACCUCAUUAUCACCGAUAAAGCAAGCUACGAAAAUUACUUGGGUGGACAGUGGUUCAAUUUCUGCAGAUAACGAGUGAUGGAAGAAGGUGGUAAGCAUCUUUGAUCUCGAAAAGUCACAGAAGAAUUUACAAAUUCGAGUUGUUGCAAAGUAGAUCUUUGUUGUUGAACUAUUUGAACUUCUACUAUUUUGACGUAUCUUGACUUUGGGAUGUCAUUUGUUCUUUUCAUUUUGUCUGGUGUAAAUAUUGGCAAAAAUCCCUUUUUGGUUAGUCUAUGAAACUUGCAAUCUCUUUUAUAAACCUAAUUAUUAUGUAACGUUAAUCUACACAUUGUUGGUUCUCUUUAUUGGUUCCGAUUAGUAUCAUGUUAAUUGUAAUGUUGUUUUCCUAAUCUCUUGAACAAAAUAAAACAUGUUCUUUUCCUACAAUAAAUCUUUAUAAUGCUUUGGUAAAUGUUUUAGAAAUGUACAUAUAUAUAAGUUCUAAUUAACACUGCAGUUUGUUUUAUACCUAGCACUUCUCAAAUGAGAUAUCAAUGACAUUUCUAAAAGGAACAUGGAAAACAAUCACACUCAUCGACAAACAAGCUCAAAAAGGUAUAAAUGUCGCUUGAUAACAGCAAAGAGAGCAAGUUACAAAAAAUACUUAGGUGGCCAAUGGAUCAAAUUUUGCUGAGAACAUAUGUUAGAGGUAGGUGAUAAGUUAAUUUUUGAUCUAGAGAAGCCACCUAAAAAUAUGCACGUUCAAGUCGUUUCCAAAUAAAGAUUUGGUGUUCAUGAUCCGCACUUUCAACAUAUCACCUUAACUCUAAUCCUAUACUAGAUUAUCUUCACUCACCGAUGCUAUUUCUUUGCUUGAUUUCAUUUGAUGUAAAUAUGGCUAUCAAUCAUUUUUUGGUAACUCUAUAACAACAACACUCUUUUUUAUAAUUUUGGAUAAUAUGUAAAUUCACACAUCAUUGGUUCCUUUAUUGGUUCCAAUUGUUUUCAUCCUAAAUAUUAUAUUAAUUCCUAAUCUCAUAAACUGAUUAUAUGCUCUCUUAAUCAGUCUAUACAUAUUUUAUGAUGAAUCACAAUGUUCCAUCGUUUUACCAUCUCUUCUUUCGAAGAUUUUUUUUAUCGAAUACGUUACUGAACAUGUGUGAAGCACGAGUUUGUAACUAGUUUGACUAAGGAAAUAAGUAGUUUUUGUCUUUUCCUAUUAAAUUUGACCCUUUUCUUAACUGUGUUAUAAAUUCAAAAUUUAAAUAUUCUAAGUGUAGUUCGGUAGUUAAUUUCAUAGACAUUGGUUUGUAGGGGCCUAAAUUCGAACCUACAGAUUCCCUAAUUUGCACUUAUUAUGUGAGUCUCAACACAAGGCUACCUGACAAAAAAUUUCAACAAUUAAUGAUAAGAUAAUGUUUAUCCUUUUAUUAUGAAUAUAAGUAGAUUGUCCUAUAAGAUUAAAAGUCUUUUUGAUGUGCCUUGUACUUGACCUAUUACUGUUAAGUUUCUUUAUUUAAAUAAAAAGAUUAUUUUUUAUCUACGCAUUACGUAACUUUGGUCGUAAGUCUCUAUCAACAUAUUUGACUUAUUUUAAUCGUUACGUAAGGUUACCAUGUCAUAUGUCAUGUUUAUCGGUUAUUUGACACCUUCAAGACAAUAUUUUUAAUUGAAUUGCUUUGUUUGACUCAAUAAAAAAAAUCAGUUUUUGUCUUUUCCUAUUAAAUUUGACUUUUUUUUGACUGGGUCCCAAACUCAAAAUUUAAAAAUUCUAAGGGGAGUUUGGUAGUCAAUUUCAUGGACAUUUGGUUUGAAGGGCCCUGAAUUUGACCUUUCCAAAUUCAUACUUUUUUUUCUUUAUGUUUUGAGUCCUAACACUAGGCUUUUUGACAAAAAAAAUCAACCAUUAAUGAUAAUAUAAUGUUUAUCCUUUUCUUAUGAAUAAAAGUAGAUUGUCCUAAUAAAAUUAAAGUCUUUCUGAAGUACCUAGUACUUCACCUAUUGACUGUUAAGUUUCUUUAUUUAAAUAAGAAGAUUUGGUUUGACCUACGCUUGACGUAACUUUGGUCGUAAGUCUCUAUCAACACAUUUGACUUAUUUUAACGGUUACGUAAGCUUACCGUGUCAUAUGUCAUCUUUAUCGUUGAUUUGACACCUCACAGACAAUAUUUUUAAUGAACUGCUUUGUUUGACUAAAAAAUAAGCAGUUUUUGUCUUUUCCUAUUAAAUUUGACAUUUUCAUGACUAUGUUCUAAAUUCAAAAUUUAAAUAUUUCAUAGUGUAGUUGGGUCGUUAAUUUGAUGGACAUAAGUUUGUAGGGGCCUGAAUUCGAACCUUCAGAUUCUCUACUUCUUUGCACUUAUAAUGUGUGUCCAAACACUAGACUACUUGACAAAAAAGUUCAACAUUUAAUGUUAAGAUAAGGUUUAUCAUUUUAUUAUGAAUAUAAGUAGAUUGUCCUGAUAAGAUUAAAAGUAUUUCUGAUGCACCUUGUACUUGACUGUUAAGUUUUUUUAUUUAAACAAAAAAAUUGGUUUGACCUAUGCAUUACGUAACUUUGGUCGUAAGUCUCUAUCAACAUAUUUGACUUAUUUUCACCGUUACGUAAGGUUAUCGUGUCAUAUGUCAUCUUUAUCUUUGAUUUAACACCUAAUAGACAAUAUUCUUAAUGAAUUGUUUUGUUUGACAUAAUAAAAAUAAGCAGUUUUUGUCUUUUCCUAUUAAAUUUGACGUUUUGUUGACUGUGUUCUAAAUUCAAAAUUUAAAUAUUCAAGUGUAGUUCGGUAGUUAAUUUCAUGGACAUUGGUUUGUAGGGGCCUGAAUCUGAACCUAUAGAUUCCAUACUUCUCUGUACUUAUUAUACAAGUCUAAUAGACAAUAUUUUUAAUGAAUUGUUUUCUUUGACUCAAAGAUAAUAAAAAGCUUUUGUCUUUUCCUGUAAAAUUCGACAUUUUUUUUACUGUGUUAUAAAUUCAACAUAUAAAUCUUCUAAGUGUAGCUUGGUUGUUAAUUUCAUGGACAUUGGUAUGUCUGGGCUUGGAUUUGAACUCCCAAAUUCCUCAUUUUCUUAUACUUAUAAUGUUCGUCUAAACACUAGUCUACUUGACAAAAAAGUUCAAUAUUUAAUGAUAAGGCAAUGUUUAUCCUUUUAUUAUGAAUAUAGUACUCCAUCUUUUCCAUAAUAAUAUAUUCUUUUUAAAAAUAAAUAAAUUAUUUUAAUAUUUAAAAUAUUAUUUUAAUAAUUAAAAUAUUAUUGAAAUUACUUUAAUAUUUUUCAUCAAAUCUUAAUUUAAUAUAAUAUUUUAAUAAUUAAAUAUUUAUUAAUUAAUAAUUAAAAUAUUUUCCAUCACAUUAAAAACAAUCAUUCAAACGAGCACGUCUGUCUACUAUUUUUACUGUGCUUACACGUGUAAAUUAUAAACAAUGUUUAUAUUAAAUUUUGAUUAUGAUUGAUAUGCUUAAAAUGCUAAAAAAUAUUAUAGUAAAUUUUAUAAUUUAAUUUAAAUUACCAAAUUAAUAAUAACGCUAAUACAAAAAUAUUUUUUUAUGUGUAAAUAGAUUGUCCUGAUAAAACUAAAAGUCUUUUUCUGGUGCGUCUAGUGCUUGACCUAUUGACUGAUAAGCUUCUUUAUUUAAAUAAAUAUAUUGGUUUGGCCUACGCGUGAAGUAAUUUUGGUAUUCAGUCUCUAUCAACAUAUUUAACUUAUUUUAACUGUUACGUAAGGUUACCGUGUCAUAUGUCAUGUUUAUUGUUGAUCUGACACCUCAUUGACAAUAUUUUUAAUGAUUUGUUUUCUUUGAUUAAAAAAUAAUAAGCAUCUUUUGUAUUUUCCUAUUAAAUUCGACAUUUUCUUGACUGUGUUCUAAAUUCAAAAUUAAAUCUUCUAAGUGUUGUCCGGUUGUUAAUUUCACAGACAUUGGUAUGUAGGGGUUUGAAUUUGAAUCUACGGAUUCCCCACUUCUUUGUACUUAUAACGUGAGUAUAAACACUAGACUACUUGACAAAAAAGUUCAACAUUUAAUAAUAAGAUAAUGUUUAUCCUUUUAUUAUGAACAUAGUACUCCCUCUUUUCCAUAAUAAUAUAUUAUUUUCAUAAUUAAAAUAUUACUUUAAUAAUAAAAUAUUAUAUUAAUAAUAAAAAGUAUUUUAUUGAAAGCACUUUAAUAUUUUUCAUCAAAUAUUCUAUAAACUAAUAUUUAUUAAACAAAAAAUUGAUAGCAUCAUGAAUAUUAUUUGUCUAAAAGAAUGUUAUAUUGUUGGUGUCAUUAAAAAGAACAAAAAUUUAUAUCAUCUUUGCUAUAAUAUUUAUUUCUUAAAAAAAGUAAGUAUAAUUCCUUAUAAGACGAAUGUGCAAAAUAUUAGCCAUAUACUUUUAAUCAAAAUCAAAAUUUCUUGAAAGUUAUUGUUAGUAAUUUAUACACAUUAAUUUGAUAAAAAAAUUGAAGCUUCUCUCAGAAAAAUUGAAUAUAAUAAACUCAUAAUUUUUUUUAAGAGAGGAUGGCAAAUGCCAAAUAUUAUUUUAUUAAAAUAUAUUUCUUCUUUUUGACUUGAAUUGGAUAUGAGUAAAUAGAAAUUAACUUUUAUGAUUAAAAUUAUUUUAAUUAUUUUUGUCUAGAAAGAGUUAAUUUUUGACUGGAAAGAGUAGUAAAUAAAUAUUAUUUUAUUAAAAUACAUUUUCUUCUUUUUGACUAAAAUUAAAUAUCAAUAAAUAAUCAUAAAUUUUCCCUUUGACAAAAUACAUUUGAGAGUACUAUAUAAUCCAAGUGAAUGAGUCUUAUUUUUCCACAACACAAGAACCAGUGUCUCUUGAAACUGUACUUUUGGUGACUUUUGCCAAAGACUUCAGUUUUUUUUUUGACUCUGUGUGUGUAUCUGAGUAAGUACUGAGAAACGGUGUGGUGUGUGACAGUAAAAAAGCUGAUAUUUUCUGCAUCUAAGGUAUUCCUUUCUUCCUUCUUCAUUUCAUUUCUUUUCUCUUUCUCUUUCUUUUCCAAAACAAAUGAAAAACUCUUUUUUUCUACUCUCUACACCCUACUCUAUAACUAGCUUACUUUUUAUACGUAAAAAUAAUAAAAUAUAGUAAUUUUUAUUAUUGCAUUGAUUUGAAAUUAAGGCUUGUUGGUGUUGGUGGUUGAAUUUGUGUCUUUGUUCUAUUACAUGCACAUGUGCUGAAUUAUUUGGUUUAUGUUACCUUAAUUCAGGUUCUUCAAGACAUACUCAUCAUCAUCAUUGCUUGAAGAUUUGGACUGGUAAAUUACUAAAUCUUUGUUCUUUUUGUGUUAGUGAUUAAUUUUUUUAUUUUUUUUGGAAAUUGAGAUAAAUUGAAAAAAAAAAAAAAAGGAAAUUUCGAUCUGGGUAAUUUUUCUUUUUUCUAGAUUUGUUAUCCUUUAACUGAGAGUUAUUUUUUAUUUUUUGCAAAAAAGAUAAAGUUUUUUCCAUUUAUGUGUUUUUAACCUUAUUUAGAUUGUGUUAAAAAUGUAAAGCUGCAAAAAUAUCAUUGUAUUAUAAUUGCUGUGUUUAAUUUGAUGCUUAGAUAGAUUGCAGUAUCCUCAGAAAUUAAAUAUUCUAAAAGAUUGUGUAAUUUGAACUAGUAAUUUUCAUGCCUUUGAGUUUAAUUUUUCAGGAAUUCAUUAAAUUUCAAGAAUUUUGUAUAUUGUGUUGUUAUAAUUUUAGCUAUUCAGUCUUAUCUUUAUGAGGGAUUUGAUUAGUUGAUGAAUUCUUUAAAUGUGAAGAAUUUUUGUGUAAUGUGUUGUUUGAAUUAUUCAUUCUUGUGUACUUGAGAAUUUAAUUUCUCAGUAAUAUACUUUAAAUGUGAAAUUUUUUGUAUUCAGUUAUUGAUUCCCAGCCACUAACCAAUGUUGCAAAAUCUUGUUUUUUUGCAGGAAAAUGGCAGUAUCAUCUGAUAUUCGUGCUUGGGACGAGUUGAUCCCUGAUACCUUGGGGCUGAUUUUCACGAAACUUUCGCUCUGUGAAAGAUUCACCGUGAUCCCAAGGGUCUGCAAAUCAUGGGCCAGUGCUGUAAAUGGUCCUUACUGUUGGCAAGAGAUAGACAUAACUGACUGGUGCAGCUACUCUGAGCCUCCACAAGUUGAGCGGAUGGUUCAGAUGCUGAUUACUAGAAGUUCUGGAUCGCUCCGGAAACUCAGCGUUUCUGGUAUCCAGACUGAGAGGGUUUUCACAUUCAUUGCUGAUAAGUAAGCAUCAUCCUUUGUUUUCUAUGUUUGGUUUCAUAAUUUCAUUGGAGAUACAAUUGAGAGUCUGAAUUGCCGUUUGCCUCCAAACCUAGAUUUGAUUAGAAGUAAUAAAAUGUAGCUUUUUGGUACGAACAGUCUUCAAUUUUGUGCAAUCUUCUAAUUUCAUUGAUGUAGUGCUUAUCUCGCAUUCAAUUAUACUGCUAUAGCAUUUUGAGUGUCUCACACUAUAUGCCAUUGACUACUAGAAAUCCGAACUUCUUGUUAACUAAGUUUGUUGUUCAUUAACUCGAUGUUUGACAGAAUUUGCCAUAUUUUACUUAUGUUGUAUUUUUUUCUUUCUCUUUUGCAAGUGCGGGCUCGCUACAAAACUUACGCCUUCAAAGAUGCAACAUCAACACUUUUGCUGUUGAACAAAUGACCGGAAAGCUUUCUAAGAUUUCAAUCUUAGAUUUGAGCUACUGUCUCAAAAUCUGUAGCAGUGAUAUAGAGACCAUUGGGAAGAACUUGAAACAUCUGGAAGUUUUCUGCCGGAAUAUGCAUCCGGUAGAAACUUCGGGAAAACCAUCAGAAGAUGCAGAAGCACUCGCGAUUGCCUCUACAAUGCCAAAGCUCAAGCGUCUCGAAAUGGCUUACAAUCUCGUCACCAGUGAAGGUGUUUAUAAAAUCCUCUCGUCAUGUCCUAAGCUAGAAAUUUUGGAUUUGAGGGGCUGUUGGGGUGUCAAACUUGACACCGUGUCUGUGCAGCAAAAGUUUCCGAAACUUGCGGUUUUGGGGCCUCAAGUUAUUGGAUAUUACGAGAUGUUGGAAGAUUGCUCGGAUAUCUCGGAUUCUUCUGACUCCGAAUAUGAUGACAGCGACAUGGACGAGUAUGACUAUGAUGAUGACAGCGAUGAUGGCAUUUGGUAUCAUCUAGGAGGGAUUGAAGAGCUAGAGUUCAGGGCUUAUGCAGGAGGUGUCGAAGAUGCUGCAAUGUAUUGGCCUCCAUCCCCAUGAACUGUGUUCUUGUUUCCCUCAGAACUAUGUUUGGUUUUAUGUUUUCUGUAAUUAGUGCUUCUUUGCUUUGGACUUUCUUUAUGCUCCUUGCAUAAAAUGUAUCAAAGAAAAUGAAGCAUUUGGGCUUCUUGUAAGAACUUAAGAUGCUUAUACAUCUUAAGAUAUUUGAAAGUUUCUUAGGUUCUUAUUUUGAUGGAAUAAAGAUAAGUUUGUAUCAUAGGAAAUAAAGAUAUUUUUUUCAAGCCAUCAUAAAAUGAUCUUUGACCUCUGGUUGGGAUAAUGCAUAAUAAUAAUAAUUAAUAAUAAUAAUAAUAAUUAUUAUUAUUAUUAUUAUUAUUAUUAUAAUAAUGUAUUUCCUAUAUAGUAUUAUUUUUUUGAUGGUGUUAUUUCCUAUAUAGUCUAACAAGUAACAAACCUAUCUUAAAUUCAUCCAAAUUACAAAUAUCGUCCACAUACAGAAUUUAAUAAAGGAAUUUAUCGAAGAAAAAAAAUAUAUAUAUAUUUUUUAAUUAACAAGCAAAUGUCUAUAGCACUCUUGGCAAGACCAAUAAAUUUAUGUGAGAUUGAUGGACAAAGUAAAGACAGCUAUAAAUUAAAACAAGUUAAUGUGGAAGACUAUGAUUUCCCAGGUUAGGUAGAAGAGAGCAUAGAGUGGACAGAACAAAGGUGUAAAGCUUAUUAGUUUCACAACAAUCAAUCAACACAAUGAAUUUGCAGGAUUCAAUAUGUUGAUUUUUUGAACCGUCAUAAUAUUCCUAAAGGCUUAAAGCCCUUUAGAAAGACUCUAAGCCCUUUAAAAUGGCUUAGGUGCCCUCCAGAAGGACUCCUGAGGCCUGGGCGCACCCUCCGUAGGGCGCCGCCUAUCUUAGCUUCUAGAAACCUCUGAAAACCGCCUAAAAUACACAAAUACCCCUGUUGCUUGGGGAUCAAGCAACCGAAACCUAAGUCCAUAGCAGACUAUAAAUACCACCCUUGAGAGCAUUCUCAAGGCAUCUAAUAAUCAGUCUAAAAACCUAGUAUACGAUUUUUAACCUUAGAAUCCCUUAUUGUACUUUUUGCAAGUACACUUUUGAAUUUUUUUUGUGUCCUAGUGGAUUUUAUAUUUUAUAUGUAGGAUAUAAAAUCGAUAAUUUCCAUUGUACCAAUAUUAUUAUUUUUUUGUUGAUAAUUUCCAUCACUAUUUGAGCUAAGCAACUACGGUUGAACAUAGAGUAACUAAGUCUAUAGAGGUACUUUUGUUUGUUAGUAUCAUUGAGAUAAUGGACUUAAAACAAAAAAGUACCAUUGAGAUAAUGUUCACAAAGGACUUGAGUACUUAUUUUGCCUUAUGCCUAAUGUAGAUGUACUUGUUGAAUAACGCCAACGUAGAUGCUUUAAGCUUUAACAUUGUAUGAAUAUGUUCUUAAUAUUUUGGUUCCUCUUGCCUUCCAAUCAAAAGGUCCCGUUAAUUAGGCGUCAAAAUCACAGAGUCACCAUAGUUUUAUAAAAUUACGAUGAUUUACUGAGAUUCUGAGAAACCUAUCGUAAGAUCAAACAUGCAUUUUUUUUUUAAUCGGCAAAAUAUUAUUCAAUAAAGCAACACUCAUGCAAAAAAAGUCCUGCAUAUAUACGACAACCUUCCCAACACCAAAAGCAAAAACAGUAAAAAUACUAAACAAUGGCUAAAGGCCAAACAUGCAUUUCAUCUGAUUUUUCCCUCCCAUUUCUUUCCUUAUGUAUUUCAUUCAACCAAAAGUGUGAUGUUCAAUCUCCACUAAUAAAACAAGAGAGUAUUAGAUUUCGUUCAAUCUUCACUUAAUGCAUUUCAUCCUAUCGAUUACGUUGGAUUCAUCUUCAUGUUGUUAGAUUUUUCCUUCUGUCUUUGUUUUUACAACGUGUAACUAAUUUGCUUGAGUUAGGUUGGAUAUCUUGAUGCGUUAUAAUUUUUUGAUUAGAUCUAACUUCAAUUUCAUUCUAAUUCAUAUAUUACAUCUCCUUUUCAUACUAUUUUUUGAUGAAAUGUCAAAGAAAGGAUUAUAGAUUUGAAAUUUUAUUUAUAAAAAAUUAAAAAAAAAGAACAAAAUCACAUGCCUUUAUAUGGAUUCUAUAUUUUUAAUGUAAUUGUCUCGAUUUUCUUUACCUGAGGAGCUUCAUUGAAGUAAAAUUUUUGAGGCUUGAAAUUACUAAGAACCUAUCCUAAUUAACUCAGAAUAUAUCGGGCGAAAUCUAAUACUACUAGAUUUGUCUUAAAUCGUUAUUUAUCACUUUUUUUUUUUGAAGGAAUUUAUUUAUCACUUUUAAAAGCCAAUGCAUUGUUUGAGACAGUGUUAAUUAUUUUUGCUGAUUAUUUUUUAUUAAAUUUAUCCAGGAAUAAAGUCAAUGGAACGUGUUGUUUUCAAAGGUUGGAGUAACUUCAUGGUCAGAUUUUCAGAUUCCAUAACUUUAGAGAAUGCCAAUUGAGGAGCUAUGUCUGAAAAAACUUGGUGCUUAAUCUUUUAUUUUUAUCAAUUAGCUCACAACAAAUGAUUAAUGCAAUAUAUUUUUUUUUUUGACUAAUCUCUAGCAAAUUAGCAAUAUAUCUCAGGAGAAGAUGAAGAUUUGUAUUGAAUGAAAACAAAAUCUUCACAUCUAUUUUGAACUGAUUUGUUUUCAGGAAAUUUAACAAACCAUGUGGUUUCCUGUUCCCUAAUAUUUGGAUAGUUACAGUGAAAUCAUAGGCAUUUGUUUGUGUAUAGAAAUAUAAUAUUUUUUUAGUAGUGUAUAGAUUAAUUUUUAUUUUUUUUUAAGUUAAAUUAGUCCACUUAAUUGUGAAUCAAACUUUAAACCUUAGGGAGAAACACACUCUAAUAUCUCAAGAAAAAUAAUUAUCUUUUAUGUAAAGGAAAUUAUCUCCAAUAAUGUAUUACACACAUUAUGAGAAAUUAAUACUGGAUCUUAAAAUAAAAAGUAAAAUAAAUUCGAAAUUGAAAAUUAAACAUCACCAGGAUUAUGUGAAUGAACCAAGUAGUCAAUAGUGUAACAAUUUUGAUCCGAGUAAAUACCCAAAUUCAUCCUUGAAUUUGCAAGGACCGGCCAAAUUUGUACCACAAUUUUUCAAAAUAUCAAAUUAGUUCCUGAAUUUAACAGACGUCCAUCAAAUUCAUCCCUCCGUUCAAUCCCCCCGUUAGUGAGGUUGACGUGUCAUCCUGCAUGAUGUGCUUUGAUGUCCACGUGUCAUUUAGUCAGCCACGUGUAUAAGGACCAAUUUGAUGGAAACGUUACAAAUUUCAGUUUUAACUUUUCACUUUCAAUUUUUUCUGUUUUUUUCUCUUUUACCCCUCUUUUAAGGAUAGAUUUGAUAGUAAUUGUAAUAAUCCAGGGAUUGAUUUGAUCGAUUUCAUUGCAGGGAGUGAGUACAAAGAGGUAUGGCAUGAGAGGACUAGUUAUUUCAAUUGAGAAGUCUACGCAAACACUAGUGAGGGGUCCUGCUCCACCACAUCCAACUACUCCUAGAGCUAUUAAAAUGUCAUAUCCAAGUUAUAGGCCAUCUAGUUCUACUCAUCCCUAAUUCAUGGAGUUUAUCCCAACCCCAAGAUUUUCAAAGAAGUGAUGUUUGAUGCCUGAUUAAAUUAUGCUUUUGGAAAAUGUAAUAUUUAGACUUGUUUAAAUUAUGCCCCCUAGUUGGGUUUCUUUUUGGAUAUGUAAUAUUUAAGAACAAUGGAAUGUAUGACUUAUGACUUGUUAAUGUCCCAUGGUUGGGUUUCUUUUUGCCUAUGUAAUAUUCCUGCACUUGUAGUGUAACGACUAAAAUACAACUUAUUUGAUGGAAUGUACUACUUAUGACUUGUUAAUGACUCAUAGUUGGGUUGCUUUUUGCCUAUGUAAUGUUCUUGCACUUGUAGUGCAGUGACCGAACUAUGACUUAUUUGAUGGUAUAAUCAAGGAUCAAAUUAUGUCUUUUUACUUUUUUACUUUAUUCUGCACAUAUUUGCACCAAGGAUCACAUUGACAUCUGUUUAAAUAAUUCAAUGAUUUAUUUGAUGGUAUUUUUAUAUAAUGUAGGGAUCAAUUUGAUACUUGGGCAAAUAAUUUAGGGACUAAUUUGAUAGAAAUAUUUUGACAGAAAGGUUGCAUUCAUUCAUCUUCAACCUCUUUAAUUUUCAUUACAACAAUACACAUACCUAGUACAAUACACCAACAUUCAAGUACUCUCACAUCACCAUUAAAAAUAGAGCUUGAAGAUGAAGACCGACUAUUAUAGUUAUUUUUGCACAUACGCCCACCACCCAUCAUUUCUGAAUACCAAAGCUUGAACAAUUUUUGGGGAUUUUUGGAUUUCAAAUUCAAACAAAAAAAUUAGGUUUUGAAGUUUUUUGAAUUGGGGAAGAACGUUGUCAUCAAUUAAUGGAAGAAAUUUUAGAGAUUUUGAACUCUCAGUGACAAAUUAUAAAAUUAGGGUUCCAAUGUUAUGGAUUUGGGGAAGAAAGAGACGUUGGGUAACAAUUAUUUUUCUGCAAAAGUGAGUUCGAAUUUUCUAUAAAUCAAUCAAUUUGGUCCUUGGAAAUUUUGUCAUUUUAAGCCAAAUUAGUCCAUGUUUGUGUGGCAUCUGACAUGGCAAGCCUUGUGAGAGGUUAACAGUACACGUCACCUCCAUUAACAUGCCAACUUAACGGAGGGACCGAUUUGAUUGACAUUUGGUAAAUUCAGGGAUAAAAUAGAUAUUUUGAAAAAUUUGAGGACGAAUUUGGCUUGUCCUUGCAAAUUCAAGGACGAACUUGGGUAUUUACUCAUUUUAAUCCAUAUUAAUUAGAAUGUUUUACACAACUGUGUCUUGUCUCAACUAGUAAAAUGUUGAAAUUGCUAGAUUGAAUGUUGUAAUUGUGGUUCAAAUCAUGCUCUUUACUUAUGCGUAUGUGUUUCAAUAGUUGUUUGACAUUUCAUCCGUCUACAAAAAAAUAAUGCUUGGGCUAUGAAGGGUAGCGCAUUGGGUUGAAAUAUGACGUUAGAUUAAGAGCAAUCAUAUAAGUAAAAUUGAACAUCAUAUGAUUUGAUUUGGGAAAAAAAUAUGUUACACUUAAAACAAUGAAGAAUGGACGUUGAUCACCAAAACGUAUCUUUCCGCGCUAACCUUCUAACAUUUUGAUAAAAAAAUUAGGAUUUAUUCCAUUCAGAUUGUAACAAAAAUUGUUUCAUCAUUAAUUCAUGUAAUCAUAAUCUCUUUCUCGUAUUUUUAUCCACAUUAUGCGUCAGCCAGAAGAAGGAAAAUAGAGACAAAAAAGUAACAGAGAAACUACUACUCCCUGAGGUUUUAUUUGACUAAAAAAUACUCCCAUAGUUGUUUCUGACAAAACUUAUUGAAUCAAGUUAAAAUCAUUAUUAACUUAUCAUUAGUUAUUUAAUGAAGGGAGAUAUAAACUCAUUUGAGUUGGACUAAUAGUGUUGGCUUAAUACUUUAAAGUGUCUUACUCUUAAAAUAUCAUAUUUGAUUCUCUGUUGUGUUAACAUUGGUGGAUUAGUUUAAUUUUUUUGUCGAGUAGUCUAGUGACUAGAAUUCACUUUAUAAGGUGUCUAGUGACUAGAAUUUACUUACCUCUGCAGGCUUUCCAUCACCGAUUCACAACCACCAUCACUGAUCAAUCAUCAACUGAUUCACAUCAUCAGGCUUUCCUUCAUCUUCUUCCUUCUUCACCAAAUCAUCACUGAUUCUCAACUCUCAAGAUUUCAAUCAGUUUUCCCCUUUCCAAAACAACACAGUUUGAUAAGUAAAUAAACUCUCUUUCAUUAAUUUGAAUGUUGAAAUUGCUAAAAUAGAGAUUGAUAGAGAUUUGUUGAAUGUUGAAAACAACACUGUUUCAAAUUACAAUCGGUUUUCCCCUUUUCAAAACAACACUGUUUGUUGAAUGUUAAAAUUGCUCAAAUAGAGAUUGAUAGAGAUUUGGUUGAUUAUUAACUGAAUUAGUAAUAAUUGAUUUCUGCAUAUUUACUGUUUUGGGAGUUUUUUUUAAAAUUAUUCAAAUUUCAGUGUAUAAUUGAAUUUAUAUAUCAUAUAUGUUGCUAAUUACUAAUUAUGUUUUAAUUUUAUUUUAUGGUUCAAUCUCAACAUUGUAUGUCUAAUGAUGUUGUGCUGCCAGCUCUAUCCGCGCAUGACUUUUGGUGGUUUUGUGCAGGUUUCAUUUUCUGUCCUCUUGUUUUAGCCUUUUAGGAUUAUUGGAAUUAGUUCCUCUAUAUUUUGGUGUUAGGUGGGGGUUCCUCAUGUAUACAGUAGUCAUUUUCACCUUUAGGUGUACCGCAUAUAUACGGCACCUUGUAUUUAUCUUUUAAAAAAUAUAAAUAGAACAUUGCUCUUUUAAAAAAAAAAUACGUUUUGAUUUUAUCACUGGCCUCUUUUCAUUCUCAGAGCCGAGCCUCCGAAUUCUCAGGGACGGCCCUGAUGUUAAGCAAACAUAUUUUUUUAAAUACCUUAGAAUAAAAUUUCCAUCUUUAUGUUCAAAUGAAUGCUAUUCCUUCAACUAAAUUUGGUAAACCGGAAAGAAACACACCCAUAUUAUAAUUAUAAAAUGGUUACGAGGGUCGCCCUAUUUAUAAUAAUUUCCUUUUUUCCAUAUUUUAAAUUAAACUAAUUUUCCUUCAAAAAAAAUUAAACUAAUUUAACUUUUGGCUCCUAAAAAAUUGAUUUAAUUUUGUAUUUAUUAGCAUACAUGUGGACAUUGCACGUGGGCGAUACUUGUAAUUGACAAUUUAUGAUCCAUUAUUAGCAUACAUGAUAGAUUUUCAAAGUGUUUUUUUUAAGCGAAACAUGUGUUACUUAAAAAAAAAAACGAGGACUCCCUUUUAUGUGUGCACUUAAAUGUUGUCGUCAAAUCUUUAUGAUCAUUUACUUCAAAAAAAAAAAAAAAAUUGUGGUGGCCGGAAUUUUAACCUCAGAUCUUAGAUAUAUUAUGCAUUGUUUAUACCAACUGAUUUUAAGUUCACGAUGACAAAUUUACUUCAAUUUUGAUCACUCUCAAAGAUUUUUUCAACUCAAAAUUUGUGAUGUAAUACAUUUUAAAUGAUGUAUCAUCCGAGUUAGUGAUGUAAAAUGACUAACACUCAUGAAAUUACAAGAAAAUAAAAAAAAAAUCUUAAAUUUAAGUUCAAAAGAUUUUUUUUUAAGGAAAGUUCAAAAGAUUUUUAUUUAUUUAAUUGAAUUGGUGAAAUGUAAAUAACUAACCGAGAUAGAUGAUUUUACAUCAUUAAAUUGUAUAUUACUUCAUUUAAAAUAUGUUUCAUUGUUAUUUUUAAGUCCAAAAAUUAAACAUAAGGAUGGAAUCAAAGUUGAGUGAUUUUAAAAUGGCAGGAUCAAUUUCAUAAAUGAAUGAAAAUAUGAGAAUUAAAAGUGCAAUUAAACCUUAUUUUUUUAAUUAUCUUAUUAAUACACAUCUUUUAUAUUAUGAUUUUAUCAUUUAUGAAACUACCAAAUUAUCAUGUUGAGUUCAAUUAUCUUGAGUUCAACAAAAUCACACGACUGAUUAAUGGACCUGAAUUUGAUGUUGUAGCAAAUUUAAAUAGUUUGUUGCAGUAGCAAACCUUGAUCAUCAAUCUACGAUCUGAAAAUUCCAAAUUCACUGCAUGGAUUUCAACAAUUUAUAGUGUCAGAUCUUGAGUUAGCUUUAGCUACUAGUUAGAAGGAAUAAUUGGAGUCUUGAGCAUACUAGUUAACUACUCUACACAUUGAGCAUAGCAUGAACUGAAGUGAUGAGUACAUUGAGUUAUUCAUUUAAGUAACAAAAACAUAACGUAUAUAAUUUCUAGUAACUCAAGUUAAGAAUUUAAGUUAGUAAACUACAACAAAUACAUCUCAAAUUGAAAAUUUAACAAGCAUCAUAACAUUCGAUACCUACUAUUAACCCACAUCAAAACGUGACUUUUCUUAACAAUUUAUGCUUAAACAUUGUUCUAUAAAACUAUACAAACUCAGCCAAGUGAUACAUUUUUCUAAUCAUUACUUUCUAUAUGCAAGGCAGCUUCUGACUAUAACUACAUAAUCUUAUUAAGCAUUAAAAUUAUAAUCUAUGAACAUAGCUUCAUUCAAGUGUCAACUAUAUUUCUCAGUAACAUUUACAACAUGAUGUACAGACUUCCAUUACAGAUUUGAGUAAACAUUACAAAUGUAGAAAGUCCAAACUUAUAAACUACUCCAUCCGGUUCUAUUUAAAAGAAGUAUUUAGGUUAGUAAAAGAUGAUUUAUUUGAUUAAAAAUUUAGAUUAAAUACAUCAACUUUUGUUGACCUAAAUGUCUCUUGUAAAUAGGAUCGGAAAGAGUAGUUAUUUUGUAAGAUUUUCUUUGCUUUAUAAAUCCCUUAAUCAAUUUUGUAAAAUCAAUUUUGUAAGAUUUUCUUUGCUUUACAAAUCUCUACUAAGUAGUUUAUGCUAAUAAAAUCAACAGGAAUGGAUGAUUCUAUCUUGUAGUAACAUUUCAUUUUUCUACUAUGAUCAUUCUCACUACACAAUUGAUUAAUUAAGUCUAAUGUUUUGUUGGUGGAUGAAUAUUGUAGGGCCUAUUUUUAUAUUUGAUAUUGUAUUUAAAUUUAUUAUAUCAUAGGGAGGGUCCAUUUAUCAUGUACUGUAAAAAAUUUAUAUUAAAUAAUUAAUAAUUAUUUUUUUGUAAAAAAAGAAGAAGCAAUAUUGUAUUAAUUUGCUUACACUAAUAAAAUAUUUUAAAAAAAAUGUUAUAAAAAUGAUUUUCUAAAGAAAGUACUCAAAGCAGAUUAUCAUUUUAAUCUAUUUUUAGUUUUUUCCAAUUUCUCAAUAAAAAAAAUUAAUAAAACUUCUAAGUAUGAUUAUUUUAUUUCAAAAAAUAAACUUGUUUGCCAUAAAAUAUUUAACAAUCGGGCCAUAACAUCUAUCUAUCGUGCACUUUAUUCAGGGCUCGCCCAAGGCAUAGGUCGGGGGUGAGGCGGCCUAGGUCCAAUUUUCUUUUACGGAUGGGGGUGUAUAUAGUAAUACUGGGUUUAAAGAUGGUAUAAAUAUCAGUAACCGCAAAAACAUUUACCAGACUUAAGUCCAUCAGUCAUUUCACUCUUUUUUUACAACCCAGCAGCAUUUCAUUUUCACACCCCCAACUUAGCAUUUUCAACCUCAGCAUUUCAUUAGUCAAAUUGCAAAAUUUAGAAGCAACGCGUAAAAUACAAAAUAUCUACUACUUCCUAGAGACCAAGUUUGUUUUUUAUUUCGAGAUAUUUUUUGGUGUUUCAGAUUGAAUUUAACAUGAAUUUAUAUUUAUAUUUCAUUUUAUAAUAUGAGUUUCAAUAUGAAAGUUUCAUGUUUAGGACAUCGAAUUUGAUAAGUAACAUAUAAUUUUCUAUUGAUAAAUGAUAAAAGGUUUUCAUAUUACUGGAAUGAUAAUGAAGUUCUUUGAGAAAUUUUAAAGGUAAUAAAUCAAUAGAAUUAUCAAAUCAGAUAAUGAAACUUGUAUAAAAUUUAGUAUGUCUACUAUCGUUUUACUUAGCUUUGUUGCCUUUGGUUCGGCUGGCUCAAUUUUUUUUUGUUAUUCUUUUUUAUUAAUAAUAUAUAGGAUGAGAUGCAUUUGAUACAAGAUAUUUUGAAGUGUCAGCAUAGUUUGAAUUGUAAAACAUGUAUUAUAGGAACCAUCUUGAUUAAUGCAUAUCUCAUAUAAAAAAAUAAAAAUAAAAAUCUAUUAUAUACGGGGAUCAUUUUCUUAAACCUGGCUUAAGGCUCAUGAAAUGUUAGAAAUGGGUCUGACUUUAUUCAAAUAAACUCCACGUAUUACUUUCUUACAUAUAUAAAUGGAUUUAAUUUGUAUACACACUUCUUAAAUAUCAAUCAUGUACUUCAAAAUGGAUUAAAUUAAAAUAUAGUUUAAUUAAUUAUUUUAAUAAAUGAAAUAUUUAUUAUAAAGUAAUAAUUAUUGAAUAAAACAAUAAUGACAUGACUAUUAAAUUUAUCGACCUAGACGUUGUUAUAUGAUAUAUCAUCAAAAUUGAUCCCUAAGGGGAGAUCAAAACUCGGAAAAAAAAAAAAAAAAAAUUGAAAGUAGGGCAUCGAAAAAUAAAUUUUUAAAAUGAGUGAUAAAAGUUUAUUGUUUUGAAAAUAGGGGAAUAAAAGUACAUUUAAGUCUUUUUUUAGAUUUAUCUUAUAAAAUAUUUUUUAUUAAUAAAAAAUUUAGAUGAGUAAGGCUUCAAGGUCUUACCCGGAUAAGAUAAGUUUCAAGGUUCGACGAGAGCUAACAAAGGUACUUAUUUUGGACCGGUUAAAAGACCAAUCCUAUGUUGACACGUGGACUAUACUUACGUCGCCUUAAGGCUCAACGCUGAAGGAACACACCAACUUCCGUACACAAUGUUGCUUUCAAACACGCCUCCGCACGAGGAUCCCGCUAACGUGUCCUCUAACUGCUCUCUAAUCACACGCCGCAAAACCUGGAGACAGUUAUUCUCACGCGCGCCUAUGCAAGGGUGACUUAACUUCACCCUCAAGGUAUGAUUCACUUUUCACAACACUUUCUACACACUCUUUCACAGUUUCUUACUGACUUGAGUGUUGGAGUGCUAACGUGUCUGCAGACACAUUUCGUUCUACCGCGAAGACUCUUCGCCACUGUAAUAGAGCACAUUCCGCCACCGUUGUUUCUCAUCAAUCCUCACCGGACAGAUCAAUACUUAUAAAGUAUAUAUCAAAAAGAUUAUUAUGUUGAUAAUGAAAGGUUAAAUCAAUGACCUUGCGAGUGAGUCACUCUUUACCAACUGAGUCAACUGUGACAAUUUUUUUAUUUUGAAGGGUCAACAUUGAUUACUUGUUGGUUAUAAAAAUCAAAUAUAUAAUUAUUAGUAUUUAAAUAGAUAAAUAAUUGGAAGAAGAAAUAAACUAUUGUAAGUUCUAUAGGGACUACUAAUAAUUCAAAUAGAGAUAGGUGGGGGUAGGAGAAGCCGGAAGGAAGUGUGAGUGGGUUGGUGAAAUAAAAUGCUUAAGACAGUUGUACCCUGCAAUGGAAGUCUUCAACUUGAACAUAGUCAAUUCAAUUCAAUGCAAAACGUAACCGAAAACACAAUUCAAUAAUGCAAUUCCAUACACAUACCUUGUUGCAUUGCUUGCACGUGUGUUAACUUGGAACUUCAAGUUGAUGUGCUUUUUCCGUGUGGAAAAUUUUGAUUUUGACCAACUUUGUGAUAUUUUAUUUUACUUAUUAUAGGGGUAGGUAACUUGGUAUGGUCUUUCUAAUGUCGUCGAUAGGGGGCUAAUAUGCAAAUAACGAUAAUCAUAGGAAGGUUUGCAUGGAUAACCAUUAACCAAGUUGUUCGUCCCUCUAAAUAGUGAAAUAAAGGGGCUGUUAGGAAUAUAUAUUUUUUUAACAUUUACUCUUUUAUAAGAUGAGCGCUAUGUGGAUCAUACUACUUCAUGUGAAACUCACUUUUAAAAUACCAAACUUGCAUGAAUUUCACCCAAAAAAAAAAAUAAGUGUUGAAAAAGUAUUAUCUUUAGCACUCUUCAUAGCUUAAAUCAAAUGUAAUUGAUGAAAAAAUAGUUUUUAGGUUCAAAAGGGUUUUCAAGUUGAUAAUAUCCGCUCUAGGGGUAAGAUAUAAUAGUUGUUUGGGUUUGUUUCUUUCUUGCUCUUUUUAUUUUCUUUUGGUUUGUUUCACAUUUUUUCUUGUUUAUUCUCUUUUUGGGUUUGACAUUUCUCUUUGGUUUUGCUUCGUAUUUAUGAAUUGAGAAGGUUUUGGUUUGUACCAUUUCUUUCUUUGUUCUUAUGUACGUUAUUUUAUAUGUUUAAGGUGUUGUAGUUGGUUUAAAAAUCUUAUUCAAAUUUGUGACGUGACAAAAAAAAUUUGUUUGAUAUAUUUUUAAUAUAUUUUUUAUUUGUUGGAAAUGAUUGUUAGACCUCUGAUACCAACAUUGCUGGGAGGGAUGAAAGUCACCUAUGAAGAUUUUUUAUGCAUGAUAAUUUUGCUAUAAAAAAAAACUUAAAACAUGAUCAUAAAAUAAAAACAAGGACUGGGUUGACUUGCUCACUCACAGAAAAAAUAUAAAACUAAUGUGACAAAAUAUCAACAUAUCCACUUCCCCCUCUCAAAUAAAAAAAAAAAUCAACAUGGUCCACUUAUUUGCAUAACUAUAUCAACUUAUCUCAUCGAAAUUUACUUAUAAACCUAAUGUUACUAUUUUUAUCUGAAGCAUCAAAACAAAAUAGAUAAGAGGUACAUGAUUAAAAAAUAAAUAGCACAAACUAAAGACAAAAUAAAUUUGUUGAAGGAUUGUAAAUGGUGAAGUCAACAGAAACCAAAUUAAUUAAAUGUAGCAGACAACAACCAAUCUAUUCACCAAACUCUUUCACAACAAUCUAAAGCAAAACAAUUAGAUAUUUUGACAAUUGUCAAAGAUUAUGUCAAAAUUGACGAGGCUUGCUUUUAGUCUCAGAUUUAUCGGCUCAGCUGUGAUUAUAAGAUAUUUUAAAUAUAUUUGUUGUAUAAGAUCAUAAAUUUAUUCUUUGGAUAUAAAUUUAUUAAUAUACCAAUUGUUAAUAUUAAUACCUUUAAAAAAAGAAACAAUUAUUAUUAUUAGUUCAUUUUGGACUAUAAAAAGUGAAUAUUGAACACAGAUAGACAAUUUACUUUGAAACUCCGAUACUUUAAAAUGGAUGACGAAUUGUAUCAUGUACCGAUAUCUGCAUGAUACUUUCCGAUACGUAUCAAGAGAGUAUCCGGAAAUUAAAUUUUAUUUUUAAGAUACUUCCCAAUACGUAUCAGAAGAGUAUCUGAUAAUUAUCCUGAACCGAUAGCUCCCCCGAUAUUUGCCAAUUAAUGUUAACUAAAAUAACUUAACUCUUGAGUACUGAUGUGUUCUUUUUUGGAUAUAGUGCUUCUUUUUUGGAUCGAUAUAAUAUAGCACUAACAAUGUUCAUUUUGAAUAUAGUAUAGCACUCGUGGUGCUCUUUUUGGAUAUAUUGUGUAUGUAAUUGACUAAUUAUCACUUUCUUAAUCAUCAAUAUUAUUUAUAAUUAUUUAUGUUGAUGUGCUACGAGCCUAUUACUGGUUUCUUUUGUUUGUUAAUAUAUUUGCAUAUACAAAAAUGGUUAUAAUUAUAUUGUAUAUUUAAUUAUAUAAUUUUUUAUUAACGUAUCCCAGUCGUAUCGUAUCUUGAUUUUUGAAAUUUUUCCAUAUCGGUACCGUAUCGUAUCUCGUAUAUGGGCUUCACAGCUGAUAGUCAUAUACAGAUAAUAUGCAACCGUUCAAAAAAAAACAAAUGAAAAUAUAAUACACAAUAAUUAUACUUAUGUAACUUUAAUAUCUAUGCAUGAAAAGUGUCAAAUGAUCAUCGUGAGCUUAGUUCAGUUUGUAAGAACAAUGUAUAAUAUAUGCAAGGUCCAGGGUUCAAACCCCAGCCACCACAAAAAAAAAAAAAAGUCAAAUGAUCUGUAAUAAAUACAAAGGAAAAAUUACUUUAAGUAAAUUUUCAUUUUGCCUCUAAAGAAAAUUUUCAUAUUGAUCAAUUUUUAGUCUCUCGCAAAAAUAAAUUGAAAUAGGUCUUAUAAUUUAAAGGAAAUGGAAUAACUACAUUUUGUAAAUUUUAAUUUUCGUCAAUUUUUAGUCUCUCACAAAGAUAAUCUGAAAAUAUCAGUCUUAAGUGAAAAUUUAUGUCAAUUUUUUUAAGGCUAAAGUUACAUAGACACUCAUUUCAGCCAUACCACCCCAUACACACGCUUAGGUGGCAUUUGUUCUGAUUUUUUUUAUUUACUAAUCCAAAAUGAAUGAAAAGACCAACACACCCUUAGAUCUCACAGGAGAAAGAAACUCAAACAAAAAGCCAUCUCUGGUCAUUGUUCAUUGCCCCUAACCUGAAAACCCUAGCAGCGGAUUCAGUCUUUCUAUAACCAUCUUCGUCCACGGCCACUCUUGUCGUCUCUCCUCCCACUUUGUUGUCUCUCUCUCUCUCUCUCUCUCCCCCCUUAUCUCCCUCGUCAUCUAUCUCACCUUUGACUCCCGUAAUUUAAAACGAAUUUUUAUAGAUCUGGCGAAGCCAUGGCCAGUGGGAUCUCAGGUGGAACACACCAGAUUUGGAGAACCGCCACCUAAGAGAAUGACAGAGAGAUGCGAGAUUGACGACGAGUCCUAACAGUCAAACUUUGUUAAGAAUGGUAAGACAAUUGUUUCGGAAAAGAGGACAAUAUUUUCCAAUUGAGGAUGGUAGAGACAAGAAGGAAAAAGAAGGAUUAGAAUGAUGGUGAUGGUGUGCCCGUGGAGAGAGAGAGAGAGAUCAAAGGCAAAAAAUAAUUUUUCUUUUUCUUUUCUUACAUGGAAUAUGCAUAAUUUUUUAUUAUUAAUUUUGUCAUUAACGAGUGGUAGAAGACUGGUAAAGACACAAAAGGGUGUCCAUGUAUAAGAGCUCUUUUUUCCGCUUGCAUCCAAAGCUUUAAAAAAAAGUCACAUACUAAAAGUAAGUGAUUCACAUUUUCCACUUCACGCAACCUGCAACACACACAUUUAUACUAUGUUGAAGUAUUGCACGUUGAACUGAAUUAUCCUUUGUAGGGAUUUGGUUCUAAAGUAGCCGCCACGUAAAAAUAGAUACCCGAAACUAUUUUGUUCCAAAUUAUUACAUGUAAAUUAUGUUGAGUAUUUGGUUCCACAUUCCUCCAUCGUAACCAUCUUCACCCUAAUAAAAUUCAAUUAUUAAAACUCCGUGAGUUUUAUUUCGGGUAUGCGAAAAGUUUGAUAGAUGUAUACUUGUCUCAAAAGAGGAAUGUCUAUGGUUGAGUUUUAGUCUUUGUUAGAUUUCGUAACAUUAUAGAUGAUAAAAUUAAAAUUCAAUUAUUUAAUUAGGUGAAAAAAAUAAAAAGUAAAUAAAAAAGUUUAGAUGCAUGAUGAUAUUAGAAGAUAAAUGUUACACAAAAAUAUGAUAUUUUAUUUCCCCCUUAUCAUAUAAUAUGAUACUACAUUCAUUGUUUUCUAAAAACAUUAUUCAUUCCCCUAAAAAACUAUGUUCAUCGUACCCUCUUAGUACAUGUAUCAUCCAAUAUUUACUAAAUAGUUUAAUUAUUAUUUUUGACAGAAUUAAUAAUUUAAUUAUUAAUUGACAUUUUUAUUUGAAAAAGUUGUAUUAGAAUAAGUUGAAUAUAACAAAAAUGAAAGAAUACCAAUACAUAUGGCGUAGAAUAUAACAAAAGGAAAAAAAUACAUAAUUUAACAAAUGAAUGAAUUAUGUCAAAAAAGACAAAUGAAUGAAUCUUACUAAAAAAAAAAAAGAACAUGUAAAUCAAUUUGGCUUCGUUGCCACCUCCAAAUACCCUUUACAAAAAUACUCUUUCACCAAAUGAAAGGAUAUACGAUUUUUAAAAAGUUUAUGCUAAAGUACCUUACGCGUAGAUGUGAAAAUUGCCGUUUUAAAUUCGUGUUUGUUUCUUGUCAAAAAAAUUCGUGUUUGUUUAAUUCGUCAAUUGAUUACUGGUACGUUGAGUUAAAAAAUUAAUUUUUAACUCGUGUUUGUUUAAUUCGUCAAUUGAUUAAUUUUUUAAUUCAUCAAUUUUAGGCAUGGCAACAAAAUCCAUACCCGUGAUUAUCCACCCGAACCAAACUCAUUUUGACGGUUUCCCCGUUUUAACUAGGUUUGGGUAUGUGUUUAGGUUUUCCUCGAUUUUAAGACACGGGUAUGGGACACCCACCCCGAACCCAUACCCAAACCCGUCUCGAAUGUAGAAAAUUAUUUUAUGUUGAUAUGUAUGUUAUUUUGUUUGAUAAUUGUUAUGUUAUAAAAACUAUCAUUGAUAUUUAAAGGAGCAACUAAAUCAAUCGGUCUAACAAAUGUUAAAGUAAGCAUAUUGCUGGAUAAUGCAUUACAAAAUUUUUCUAAAGGUUGCAAAAAAUCUUAUAUUUUUUAUUAAAAAAAAUUAUUCAAUGCGGGGAUGAGGAUGGGGCGGGGAUACCCAAAUCAGUCGGGGACGGGGAUGAGGUUCAAUUUCCCAUCCCCGUUGGAUAUGGGUAGGGUAACGGGUAAAUAUAUUAAAAUCGGGUAUGAGGAAGGGGAAUGUAAAAUCCGUCCCCACCCUCCCCCAAUGCCAUGCCUAGUCAAUUCGUGUUUAUAAUUGAGUUAGGUUGGGGUAUACUACCUUUUAACUCGUGUUUAUAAUUGAGUUAGGUUGGGGUAUACUACCUUUUAAAAAAAAAAACUCAUGUUUUAAUAUGAUGUCAAAAUAAAGAAAACUUGUGUUUUAAUAUAUCAAAGAAAUACUAUCAUUUUGUCAGUUGAGCUAAUAGAACAAAAAGGAAUUUAACUUUUAAAAAAUUUGAUUAUUUUUUGAAGAGUCACAUUGGAUGUGAGAUGACUUGAAUAAAUAUUUAUAAGUGAUAAUAUACUAAUGUGAUAUUAAAGAUUUCUCCACGAUCCAUGAAACCACUUGCUCUCAAGCAUUUGUUAUUCGGCCACACAUCUUUCAUAUUCAUCACCAAAUCCAAUUGUGUUGUUUGUUAUUGUAAAAAAAAAAAAUAAUAAUAGUGUUGUUUGUUUUAAAAAGUGCGUUAAGGAUUCUACAUUUAAUGUGAUGUUUAAACAUAUGUUUAUAAAUAGAGAUUGACAAAUCGGUUUUGUAGAAUUUUGUUAUACCCAACAACAAAUUCUAAAAUAACAUUUAAUUUUUUUAUUUCUUAAAAUGUUUUCUAAAACUCUUGGUAACAUUUCUAUAUAGUAAAAUUGUCAAUGAAGAAAACAUUUACAAAAUACAAACAAAUGCAUGAAUUUGUUAACAUUUGUAUAGUAAAAUUCUCAAAGAAUAAAACAUUUGAAAAAUACAAACAAAUGCAUGAAUGAAUGAAUCUUACUACUAUUUUAAAAAAGAAAAAGAAAUGAAUGAAUUUGACUUUGUUGGUCGCCACCUCUAAAACCACACCACACUCCCCAUAAUACCCUCAAAAAAUUUCUCAAUUGACAAAAAUACCCUUCCCCCAACUACCACCACGUCUCUCUCUGUCUCUACCCAACAACAACCCCCAAAAUAACCAAACCCUUUCUUUCUUUCUUUCCCUUAUAAAACCCUCUCAUAACUUCUCAUACCCUCUCCAGUUCACGCCACCUUCUCUCAAAGCGUGACCAUUCAAAAACAUCAUAAAAUAAAAAAAACAUUCAAACACAACAAAAUCAUUCUGCAACAAACAAACAAACACAAACACAAUGUCUCUCUCUUCAACAUCUUCCACCUCUCUCAUUCCCACCAAAUCAUUACUCCAACCCACCAAACCAAACCCACCUUCAUUCCCCAUCGGGCUCAAACCCAUGCCCAAACCCAAACCCGGUUCAAUCCUCGCCGUUCACGCCGCUGAACCAGCAAAAAACCCGGUCCUCACCGAAAAGCCGAGCAAGCCUCAACCAACCACCAUCCCCCGCAAUGCAUCCACCAAAUGGACCAUUGACAGCUGGAAAUCCAAGAAGGCUCUUCAACUUCCUGAAUACCCGAGUCAGGAAGACCUUGAAGCGGUUCUCAAGACACUCGAUGCUUUCCCACCGAUUGUGUUUGCUGGUGAAGCUAGAACUUUGGAGGAGCAUUUGGGUGAAGCUGCUAUGGGAAACGCGUUUCUUCUUCAAGGUGGUGAUUGUGCUGAGAGCUUUAAGGAGUUUAAUGCUAAUAAUAUUCGUGAUACUUUCAGGAUUAUUCUUCAGAUGAGUGUUGUUAUGAUGUUUGGUGGUCAAAUGCCGGUUAUUAAGGUAAAAACUUCAAAUUCUGUUAUUUCUUUUUUUUAAAAUGAUGUAUCAUAAUCAAUCAUAUGAUUUGACUUUAGAUGUGUUGUUAAUUUGUUAUUAUUAAGUUAAAUAUUUUUAAUGAUUUGAUGAUUCUGAAAAGAAUCAAUAUUAUCCGUCCAGUUGGUAAGGAUUUGACUUGUUUGAGGAUUUGAAUCUGCGAGGAUUCAAAUUCCAAUGUUGAUGUGAUGCGAAUAUGUAAUAAACUUUAGUAAACCCCGAGAUUUUAACUGACCCUGAUGAGCUCAUAAUCUAGUUUUGUGUAAAAAAAAGAUUCAAUUUUUGUGUGAUGAUGAAAAUGUGAAAGUUGUUUUUUUAUGUGUAGGUGGGGAGAAUGGCGGGUCAAUUUGCGAAGCCAAGAUCGGAUAAUUUUGAGGAGAAGAAUGGUGUGAAGCUUCCUAGUUACAGAGGGGAUAACAUCAACGGUGAUGCAUUUGAUGAGAAAUCCAGGACACCGGAUCCUCAGAGGAUGAUCCGUGCUUAUUGUCAAGCUGCAGCUACUCUGAAUCUUCUCAGAGCUUUUGCUACUGGUGGUUAUGCUGCUAUGCAGAGGGUUACUCAGUGGAACUUGGAUUUCACUGAACAAAGUGAGCAAGGAGACAGGUAUAUUGUAACCUUCACUUUGUCUUUUUCUUAAUUUUUUUUUCUCCAAGGAAUUUGUGAUUCUUAUUUGUUAUAAAGUUUCCUUGAUAUAUUUUUUUAGUUUCUGGUUUUGUUAUUCAAAUUAGUCCUAUAUUUGUGAAGAUUUGACUGCUUUCAAUUGUUGAUAAAUUGACUAUUGAAAUUAUAAUACAUGACACAUUAUAAAGUUAUUUUAUUUUACAUUUUAGACUUUGAAUUAUGUCUAAAGGAGAUUAAUCUGAUUCUUGAAUUUUUGUUUAUGGCAAAAAGCCAAGACAUGUUUUUGUCUUUUCCACAGCCUUCUGAGAGUGUCUCAAAAGGUAUCACUCACCUUUGUUGAGAAUAUACUCGCCUAAAAAAUAUUUUUUAGAAUGGAAGAAAAUUGAUUUGAUCUGUUUUUUAAGUGAUUUUUUUUGGUUUAAUACAUGAUGAUAAAGGUAAAGUGAUGAUUGAUAUAACAAGUGGGUAUGCAUGUUUAAUGUGGUUGGCAUUGGGUUGUUAUUUUCCUCUCAAAUAAUGAUGUUGAUUGCUCACUGUGUUCAAUUUCAUGUAUAAUGAUGCUGAUACUUAUGAUGAUAAUUGAUAGUUAUCUAUGUAAAUAUUUAUCUUCUGUUCUUCAACCGUGAAAUGAAAGACUAAUAAUAAGGAUAAGAAACAUGAAAAAAGAUAAUAAUUUAAAAAAGAGGAUUCUUAAAAAUUCAGAAUGAUUUAUUCAAUAAGCUUUGUGUAGUUGAUGUUAAUAUGAGGUUUAAACAUUAAAGAAGGGUGUUUAUGUGUAGUUAUUAUUCCUUCAUUGCUUUCAAGAUAAUAGUUGAUCUCAUGGAAGUGCUAACUUGAAUCCUUUGCAACGGCUGCAACUGUUGGAUUGAGAUCUAGAUUCAACUGCGCCAAUUUAAGUCUUUAUCCAACGGCUCUGCAGCCGUUGACUUUGUGCAGCUACAACUCUUUGUUUUGUUUCUAACAUGGUCUAGUUAUGUUAAUGUUGGAUAUAUAAAUGUGAAUUUUGGUAAAUUAAACGUAUUCUUGGCAUGACAGGUACCGUGAGCUUGCUAACCGAGUUGACGAGGCCCUUGGAUUCAUGGCUGCUGCUGGUCUCACUGUUGACCAUCCAAUAAUGAGAACAACUGAUUUCUGGACUUCACAUGAAUGCUUGUUAUUGCCAUACGAACAAUCACUUACUAGGUUGGAUUCAACUUCUGGUCUCUAUUAUGACUGCUCGGCCCAUAUGAUUUGGGUCGGUGAGAGGACCCGACAGCUAGAUGGUGCCCAUGUGGAAUUUCUAAGAGGAGUUGCUAAUCCCUUGGGAAUCAAGGUUUGUACAUUAUUCUUAUCAUGCAACUUCAAUUUCGUUUUAUAAUCUCUUAUAAGUUGAGGUACUAAAUAUUAUUAAGCAAGUAAAUUGAAUCACUUAGCACAAUCUCUUAUAAUUUUUUUUAUACAUUGGCAGGUAAGUGACAAGAUGGAUCCAAAUGAGCUUGUUAAACUCAUUGAGAUCUUGAAUCCUCAAAACAAACCAGGGAGAAUAACUAUAAUCACUAGAAUGGGAGCUGAAAAUAUGAGGGUGAAGCUUCCACAUCUUAUCAGGGCAGUGCGUAGAGCAGGACAAAUUGUCACAUGGGUCAGCGAUCCUAUGCAUGGAAACACCAUAAAGGCUCCAUGUGGUCUCAAAACUCGCCCCUUCGAUGCCAUCAGGGUAUGUAAUUCUCAUCGACUCUUUCUUUUUUAGUUGGUGACAUGUUGCUUUCGAGUAUCUUUAAUAUCUUACUUUUUGAUUUACAAUCAAAUUUUAUUUAUCACCAAAUAAUGAAAUUGUUCCACUUGUGGUUCACAAUCUUUGCUAGAAAUAAAUAUCAUGCCUACUAUUAAAAGUUCUACUUAAAAUUAGAAUAAGGAAAAACAUUGAAAAAGAUUAGUGGAGAGUAAGUAAAUCUUGCUUAAUUUGACUAAUGUAUGUGAGCUGGUCCAUGAUGGUGGGCUACCAAACUUCAAGGCUUAUGUAUAUGAUUUAGAAUUUGGAGUGGUAGGUGGCAAAAGGGCCACUUGUAGAAGUAGGUGAAAUAGUUAAGUAUUCAAGAAAUCAUUUUUUUGUUCUUUGGUGACUACGAAUGUCAUUAUUGACCAAUUGGGUCUAACAUAGUUGAAUCCCUUAAUUAUGUGUUAGGAUAGGAAAAACUCGCUUUGGCGAUCUUUGUACCUUGGUACACGAUUCAUCUGUAAAUUUUGGGUGAACUCUGAAUUUCGAUUAAGUAUUCUGUUAAAUAUAUGAAACCUGUCCAGUCUCUACUGUUAAAUUGAGGGUAUAUUCCUAAAUUUUUGUAGAGAUGCCCUUGAUGAUUCAGGGUUCACCUAAAAUUGUCAUUAUGUUGCUAAAUUGUAAUUCUUUUGGGUAGGUGGGAUUAGACUUUAAGGGACCAUAUUAGUGUAAAUUUUUAUUUUUUUUCCAACUUAUAGAAAGAGACAUCAUACCACUUUAUAACUUUAAUCCCAAGAUUUGAAUUUUGUGAUUAUGAUUACCAAUAAUGUUACUAACUUUUGUUUCACUGAAUUAAUUGGACACAGGCUGAAGUGAGAGCAUUCUUUGAUGUUCACGAACAAGAAGGAAGCCACCCAGGAGGAGUUCAUCUCGAGAUGACAGGUCAAAAUGUGACCGAGUGCAUCGGUGGGUCAAAGAUAGUCACAUUUGACGAUCUUAGCUCACGCUACCACACACACUGCGAUCCUAGACUUAAUGCUUCACAAUCUCUCGAGCUUGCUUUCAUCAUUGCUGAAAGGCUAAGAAAGAGUAGAAUCAGAUCACAGCCUCCUCUUGAAUCUACUGGAUUUUGAAAAAGGAUUUGAAGAAAAACUCAACACAAUACCUUUGUUCUUUUUCUUAUAUAUUUAAUGGUUGUUGUUUACACACUGAUGUGGUGGACCUGAAACUGUUAGCUAGUUAGCUUUAUGUUGUUGUGUAUUGUGCUUGUAUUGUAUACUGCCUAGCAAUGCUUUUGAACUUGGGAAGGACUAAGAGUGCUUUAUUAUUAAUAAAGGAAGCUAAAAAGUUUCUAUUGCAUUUGGCAAAUUGAGUCUUUGAUAAUGACAGGCAUUGGCUUGCAAGUUGCAAUAAUUUAACUUUGGUGGUACUAAACAAAAUAUAUCUAAAUCCAUUAGAGGGUUGGACUCAAUGUGAUUGGACUUGGUGUGUGUUUUUUAUAUUAUGGUGGACGUUAAUAUAGACCAUAUACAUAAUUUAUUCAAUGAAUUUAAAAAAUAAAUUUUUAUUAACUUUUGUAAAAUCACAGUUGAUCGUCAUAAUUCUAACGAAUUCAUUGUGAUUCCAAACAUGGGCUUAGUAAUGAACAACCAGCCUAUGAGCUCAAUUAUUACUUCUUUUCGCAUGUAUGAAGGAAUGAAUAUGGUUAUUGGGAUUAUCCAACUUAUAAUUUUCUGCAAUUAAAGCAAAAGAAUUGUAUACCGUUACCUCGUAUGCUAGUAUGAGCAGUCCUUGUAUAGAAAUAUCAUUUGCAAACACAAAAAUACAAAAUGUCCAACAGUUUCACUUCAGUGGUGUAUUUUUAUAUUUAUUUAUGAAUGUGUAUUUUUAUAUGGUCUCAAAACAGAGUUUUAUUAUACUAUAUCCAACGUAUGUUGUCUCCUUUGAGAUCUCAAUUUCUCUCGAAAUAUUAAAUACCUAUUUAUCAUAUUAUUAUUUUAGUUUUUUAAAGAUCAAAUUAUAGACUUAAGUCUUUAAAACUAUACUCCUAAAAAAAUUCAUCCAACCUACCGUAAAUGUCGCAUAAAAACGUCUCCAGAUUCAAAAUCCACGUGUUUAACCAUUUUGAUUUUUUUAGACCACCUCUUUUUUCUUUUUUCUUUUUCUUUUUUUUUUUUUUUUUUUUUUUUUUUAAGUUUGUUCCUUUUUUUUGUCGAAAGAUAUGAGAUUUCAAUGAAACGCGGUAUAACCAAAAAAUCGGUUAAAACCACAAGUCAAGUAUAAAAACUAGUCGAUGGCACCUCCACCGGAUGGACAAAAACACCCAAACCACAAAAGAAAGAGAGAAGAUAAACUAACCCCAAAAACAACAAACAAAAAGCUAUUUCAAUAAACACAAAUACUUAUUAAGUUGGAAUCUAGCCGCAUAUGUGUUAAAUCUCUUGCGGAAGAACUUUUCUAUCCAUUGCGGUGUUAUCUAACUCAUAAUUAAUCUUUGCAAUUGCGAGUAGAGGAUACAUGAUUCUUUUUUUUUUCUUUUUGAUGGUAGAUAGAUGAGAUGACAAAGUCAUUAUAAACAAACUCACACACACAAAGUGAAGGUAUCGGGGUUCGAAUCUCAUGCACGACGUCUGGUCUAACAAUUAUUUCGGUAUUUUUGUCUGUUGAGCUAGAACUUAGAGACGAUGAUACAUGGUUUUUUUUUUUUUUUUUGUCAAGUAGUCUAGUGGCUAGAAUUCACAUUUUUUCAGAUGAAUAAAUGAGGUGUCUGGGGUUCGAACCCCAGCCUCUGCAUAUAAGGUACUUGAGCUCAAAUAUUUGAUUUGUUGCGCUCGGCACAAAUAAAAUUUGGAUUGAAAAGGCUAACAGUAACCAAGUAGUUUGAAUCAAAUAAUUAGUUUCGGCUAAAAUUGAACCGUUUGGUUAUUAUUUGAUUCCGGUCUUUAGCUAAAAUAAUACUAUUAUGAUCUCACUCUGGAUUGAUCGACGAUCCUUUUACUCGAUAAUUGGAUGAUCAAGACAAAAAAAAUUGUGCAUUUAAAAAUAGAUCAAAAGAAAACUUGGUAAUAUUCAUUCAAUAUAUUUACAUUUUUUACAAGCACAUCCAAUUAAAUAAAACUAAGUCACGUUUUAUAUUUUCUUUGAGGUGUGUGUGUCACCUUUUACCAGGUGAGAGUUACCUAGUGAAAUGUUGAUAACCUAUUAUGUUUUGUUAUUUUAGAUAAGGUAGGUAACCUAUUCUUAGAUAGCCCCACUCCAUUUUGUUCUCAGCUGCCAAAUUCCCGAAUGUAUAUAUAUAUAUACACACACACAUUAUUUGUGUUUUGAGGAAAUAUGUAUACAAUAUUUGUCACCUUCUCUAUUUACAUACAAAGAAAAAACCAGCAAGAGUUGGCAUCCAACAUUUGAAUAUUAUGUGUUCAUAACUCAUAACAGGCAAGAUUUUUAACCACAAAAAAUAUUUUUGACCAAACACUCUAAGUUGAACUAACUGAAACUUGACAAAAGCUCUAAUAGUUAGGUCUCCAAACCACCCUAAAUGCUGGACCAAUACCUCCCUCAAAUAUUUCUUACUCUAUAUAAGACCAAACACUAUCCCCUUCCUUCUCAUAAAAUCUCAAAUCAAACACUCUUCUACAAAUAUACACCUUGAUUAGUUCUAUCAAUUCAUCAAGUCAUGGCCUCAAUGAAAACAUUCAUCACAUCUUUAUUUCUUUUCGUUGCCUUGUCAAACAUGAGCCUAGAAGCUCGAAACCUUUUGCAAACAACCACACAACCCAAUUUGCCAAACAUUCCCACUUUGCCAAAUCCAACAUUGCCUUCAAUUCCAACAACAUUGCCACCUUUGCCCUCAAUCCCAACAACAUUGCCACCUUUGCCUUCAAUGCCAACAUUGCCUCAACCUCAAGGUAAUGUUCCUCCAUUGCCUACUAUCCCUUCUAUGCCUAAGCUCACUAUGCCACCACUUCCUAGCAUUCCUACCAAUCCAACACUUCCAUCUCUCAACUUUCCACCAUUUCCAUCCAAUUCACUUCCCAACAUUCCUUCAAUCUCAACCAUUAUCUCCUCCAUCCCUUUCUUCUCUCCACCACCUUCAACAUCUUCCCCUUGAAGUCUUUUUCGCGUGUUCAUAUCGUUAUUGUGUGUGAUGUAUACUGUUGGAGAUUAUGAUGAUAGUAUUAUUAUUGUAUGGUGUGAAAAGUUUGUGUAUUUUUCUUUUUUAUUUAUGAAUUUGAUAUUAUUGCUUGUACUCUUUUAUCGUAAAGACAUUGAAUUAUUACACAUUUAGUUACAACUAUGAUCGAUGUCUUGAACUUUUAAAGUCUUAUAAUAGCAAACAAUAUAACACGCCCUCUCAUCUUUGCAUAUAUAUUAUGGAGACAAAAAUGAGAGUGAAUUAAACUCUAAAAGGCAACAUAAUGGAACAUUGUGUAUGGAACACAAAAAGAGCAACAAAUUGGAAAACAUCAAAAGAAAAAUUUAGAAUGAAUAACAAUCAUGUAAGAAGAUAAUGGCUAAAAUAUGUUUUUGAUCCCCGUAAAUAUGGUAAGUUUGGGUUUUGGUAAAAAAAAAAUUUGAAAUCUAUCCCUGCAAAAUUUUUUGUUUUUUAAAAUAGUCAUUUACCCAAGUUUACUAAUAAUUUGGCACAUUUAUACCUAUGUGGUAUUCGCUGACGGAGUAACUUUGCACAGUUGGCAGCCACGUGGUAAUUAUUUUAGAUUAAUUAUUUAAAAACCUUUAUUAAAAAAGAAAAAAUAUAUUUUUGAAAUUAAAAUAAAACAUUUAAAAAGUACGGAAAUUAAUUUUUCCAAAUUUUAAAAAAUAAAAAAUUAAUUUUUAAAUUAAUUUUUUUCAAAAAAAAUUAAUUUUGAUUUUCGAAAAUUAAUUUCCAUAUUUUUUAAGAAUUUUUUUAUUUCGAAAAAAAAUGAAAAAAUCUUUUUUUUUUUGGUCAAGUCUUUUUUCUCUUUCAAAUUUUUGGAUUUUUCGUUUUUUUUAAUUCUGAAAAUAAAUAAAUUCUGUCCAAUUUUGAAAGCAAAAUCUGAAUAUAAAUUUCUAUUUGUUUUAAAAUUUUAGAAAAAUGUUAUCUAACUUAUUGUUAUUUUUUUAUUUUUUUUUAUUUAAAAAAAUUAAUUUCCAGGAAAAAAUAAAAAUAAAAACCUUUUAAAGUUCGAAAAAAACUAAUUUUUUAUUUAUUUUUAAUUUGUUUUUUCUUAAUUUUUUAAAAUUAAUUUCCUAUUUUUUUAUUUUUAAUUUUGUAAAAUUAAGUUCCAUAGUUUUUAUUUAAAAAAAUAAACUGUAUUUUUUUAUUAUUUCGUUUUUUUUUUCAAAAAUUUUAUAUCGAAAAUUAAUUUCCUUUUUUUCAAUUUUGUUAUUUUUAUUUCAAAAAUAUGUUUUUUGUUUUUUAAAUAAUUAAAAUGAAAUCAGUUACAUGCGGCUGCCACCUGUGCAUAAUUAAACAGUCAGCAAGUGACACCUAUGUAAAAAUCAGACACAUAAGCAAGAAAGUGAGCCCAAGAUCCUUUUUAAAAAAACAAAAAAUUUGUAGGGAUUGAUUUAAAAAAAAAUUACCAGGGAUCAAAACCCAAAUUUAUUAAAUUUACAGGGACUAAAAGCAUAUUUUAGUCUAAGAGUAUUGAUGAUUGAAGAUUGGACUAUUGACCUAACCAAAAGCUUAUUUUCCUUGUGUUGAGUCAAUUGUCAACCAUGUAAUUGGACACAAAUGGUUCACAAAUAUAAACUAUGGUUAAAUGCUCUUUUGGUCCCUUAACUAUUUAAUUGGUAUCGCUUUGGUCCCUUAACUAAAAAAAAGAUUGUUUGAGGAUUUUAAGAUUUUUUUAGUCUCGUUUUGGUCCCUUCUGUUAGGUUUCCGUUAGGGUUUUAAAAAAAAAAGUUAACUCCUGGACACGUGUCACCUUGUCAUUGGCUCUGAGUUUUUUUCUUUUUACAAAAAAAAAGAUUAUUUUUUUUUUAAAAUUUUAUUUUUUUUUUCAAAAAAUUAAAUAUAUAUUUUAAAAAAAUUAAAACAUUUUUUAUUAAAAAAUAAUAUAUUUUUUGUUAAAAAAAAAAAAACUACAGAGUCAAUGACAAGGUGACACAUAUCCGCACUUAACUUUUUUUAUUAAAACUAACGGAAAUCUAACAGAAGGGACCAAAGCUAUACCAAUUAAAUAGUUAAGAGACCAAAAUAGCAUUUAAACCUAUAAACUAAUGUCGAAUCAGUUGUGUAGUGAAAGAUAUUCCUAAGUAAAAUAUUUUUUCUUCAAAUUAUACUUAUCUAUCGUUUGACCAAAUUCUGAAUUGUUAACAUCCUUUUUUUUGCUUCUCGAGAUCAAUGCAUCCCACAAGGUUGAAAUCAAUUAUGGUUUGCAUUCAAUUGUCUACUAUGAUUAUGGAAACUCUUUCUCUUGUUAGUCAAUGGGUUCCUAAGAGCUACAAGACUUAAUUAUUACUGUGUUGGAUCAAAUUGUUUGUCUAUGUAUCAUCGAGACUUCAAAUUGAAAGUGUGUUUAAGUGUUCGCAAUCUGUUGGCAUCCAACACGACACCAAUUAUUUGAUCUUUCUUUUUAGAAAAGCACAUUGCCGCUUAUUAUAACAUACAUUUACUUUGGAGUAUUUUCUAAAAUUAUUAUCAGGAUCUAUGUGUCAAUAUCAAUGUUGUCGACUUUUGUGUAUGUUUUAGCUUCAUGGCGUCUAUAUAUUAGUGUGUGUGAUUAUAUAUAUAUAUAUAUAUAUAUAGUAGGGGAGGGAUAUUUUGACUCCAAGAGUAACUCUAAAGAGUUACUCCACAUUACAACCCUUGAUUUUAAUAGUAAUUAAUGGUUAUGAUUAAUUACUAUUAAUCCCUAGCAUAACACUUUUAUGAUACUUCUUCCUAAAUAGUCCCGCACCUGUGAGAGAAUUAAACGGCAGAAUCCUGGAACACGUUGAAUGCCUUUAACAUCAACUGGAAGAAUUUUCUAUUCAUGGUCUCAACAAACAUGACACCAAACAAAUUACAAAGGUUUGUGUAGCAUGUAUUGACCUACAAAUCCUAAAAAUCAUAGAUCCACAUCUACAAAACUGUACAUUCCUUCACCCCAAAAAGUUGGCUAACUAAAUAAAUCAUCACAUUCGGUGUGAUUAAUUCAAUAAAUUUCUUGCUUAUUAAAUUAUAAUUAGGCUCGAUUUUUAUCAACCUAAAGCGUUUUGUUUCAUCAAUCUAAUUAUUCAAUGCAGUGUUAACAUGAUUGAUCUCACAUGUAUUUAAAGUUUGAAGAACAACCUUCAUUUUAGUGUCAGACCAUUACACAUCUUUACAAAUCAUAUUUUGCAUUCCUUGUAGGCACCAUAGUCUCAGUGACAAGGGAUGGAAAAGAAAACAUAAAUUCAAAUAACAAUAACAAUCGAUUAACAUGUAAUAGAUUUUGUUGAUUAACAAUCCAUAUAGAUUAAUUUGUUAAACAAUUAUUUGCAAUGGAAAGCGUAACAUGUGGUAUCAAACUACGGAGACGGAGGCGUGUUGGUUUACGGACUAGUAGCAAAAUCUUACCUAGACAAUUAAUAAUAAAUUAUAGCCAUUAAUUCAUAUUAAAAUCAAUGGCUAAGAUGUGGAGUAACUUUUUAGAGUUACUCUUGGAGUCAAAAUAUCCCUCCUCAUAUAUAUAUAUAUAUUAUUUUUGAACUUGUUAAAAGUUUGGCAUUCCUCUCCUAUAAAUGUAUGUUUCAGCGAUUGUUUUUACUAUUUUGGUUUAAAGAUUGUGGUUUGGGUUAUGGGUACAAAUUCUUGAUAUGAUUACACUAUUAGUAAAAACCCAAGUUCCACAUAAAUUAAAGAAAAGAUCCAACUAUAAUUUAUAAAGAGAUGCAUCAUUCAUCUUAUAAGCCGAUUUUAUAAGAAUGAGAUAAACCUAAUGAUUAACACUAAAACAUAAUAUAAUAUCAAAUAUAUUGAUUCAGGUUACCCACCAUUUAUAUUCAUGCACCAAACAAUAUAGUCUUGGGCAUGUUUUGAAGAAACAAGUCCCACCGUUAAAACCUAAUAUACCACUUCCUCAAAAUUGUGUUCCCUUAAACAAUUGUUAAAGCUAAAUGACUUGGCCCCCUAUUAUUUUUAAAUAUCCUUUUCACCCAGCCACUCGCCUGCAACAUUUCAGUACUAUAUCGCUCCCUCAAUCAACAAAAACCUACCUAUUCUACUCAUCGCCCUCCUUUAUGCUUUGGGUAUGACCACAUUAAAAUCUCCUCCUAAACAUCACUCUAUGAAGCACGGUUACGAUGCGAGGUAUCGGAUAUGAUGAUACGUUGCUCAUUAAAAAAUAUAAGAUACCAUACAUUUAAGAUACGUAUAUAAAAAUUAAAAUAAAGUUAUAAACGGUUAAAAAAUAUAAUAUCAACGUCAUCUCCUUCAAUGUCCAUCUGCUCAUUCACCAUCAUCGGUAAAUAGAGCAACUUCUAAAUUUGAUUCAUCAAGAGACAAGGAUGUAACUUCAAGAGUUCCAACACCAUCAAAGCUUUCCCAUGCAUCUCCACCAAUGUCCCACAUCUUAGUAUUCUCUUCUUUGUAUUCAUCACUUUUCCUACCCAAAAGCCUCAAAUUUGCAUGCACAUAGAAGGUGUUUCUGACAUUAUGUUGCUUCUGCUUCUAGAUGACUGGUUUGAAUCAAGGAAUACUCUACUACCAUUUCCUUCAAGGUGGGUACUCUAGUAGUGACUAGUGAGUUUGUUUGUAUCUUCUAUAUAGUUGUUUGUUCAGAAUCGGUAAUUGUGGCAUAUUACAUGCACAACAGUGAAUUCAAUUUGCAAAGUAAAAGAAUUAUGAGAAAAAUAAACAAAUUUUGAAAAUACUAAAAAUUAAAUGGGUGCAUCAAAAUUUACAUGCAUCAAAAUAUUAGUCUAUCCUUGGAUUCUUGGAAUCGGUUUGUUUUAGAGUCUCCUUCUAGUGAACUUUAAAGUCUUAUUUUUUAUAUUUUUGGUGAUUACAUGCCUAGGAAUCGUGUAACUUAAUUUUUUUUUUGGGCCACAAAUCCUCUCUUGUACCAAAAAAAAAACUACAUGCAUCAAUUAAAGUAGAGAAAAGGUAAUUAAAGUUAGAGAAUAAUAAUUAAGGAAGGGAUAAAGAGUCAUGAGAAAUAUCUGAGGACUAUCAGAGUUUUUUGUAAUUAAAAAAACUAUGAUACUCCUUCAAUGCAUAUUGACAGCGUAUCAGAACGUAUCAACGUCUUGGACACGAUGCAGUGACAAUCCUCACAAUACUCACUAAAAACCUUAAGUAAUCUCCAACUCUUUAGGUAUGUGUUAGUUUCCCUCUAUAGUUUUAUAUCUUUUGCGAAAGAAAUCUCACUCUUUAUAUAUACCCCUCCAUCCAAUUCAGCACAAAUUCUCAACAGCAAAAAAAAUUCACCACAUACACUCUUUUUAGCUUUGAAUAAAUCAAGAUUUCAAAUUAUAAUCAUUCCUCCACACAAUUCUUGUGAGGACAUGACCACCCAAUUUGAUUUUUUAUUUCCCCACAAAUUUAAAAUUUCAGCCUCCUUAGUUUUUAACCCUCCUAAUGACAUUACAGGGAAAACUAUAAGUCAAGCUAAAAUCCUAAAGGAUGCUUUAGAGAAAACUAGAUUGGAAUAACCUACUCUUAGAUAGUCCAACUCCUCUUAACAAUUUGUCGCCUUUUACAUACAAAACAGUAAGAGUUGGCAUCCAACAUUUGAAUAUUAUGGUUUUAUAACUUAAUUAUACAGCCAACCAUAUUAGCUGCUUGACCACAAAAAUAGUUUGAUCAAGGAAGUUGAACUAACUAAAACUUUAAGUUCCAAAAAAGAAAAAAACCAACUUAAACUUGCAAAAGCUUUUAUAGUUGUCCAAACCAUUAUAUUUGUUGGACCAAUAUCAUAUAUCUUACUCUAUAUAAGACCUAGCACUAUCCCUUUACUUCUCAUAAAAUCUCAAAUCAAACACUCUUCCAACUUUCAUCAAGUAAGAAGUCAUGGCCUCAAUGAAAACCAUCAUUACAUCUUUACUUCUUUUUGUUACCUUGUCAAACAUGAACCUAGAAGCUCGCAACCUUUUGCAAACAACUACACAACCCAAUUUGCCAAGCAUUCCCACUUUACCAAAACCAACAUUGCCUUCAAUUCCAACAACAUUGCCACCAUUGCCUUCUAUUCCAACGUUGCCUUCAGUCCCAACAACAUUGCCACCUUUGCCUUCAAUGCCAACAUUGCCUCAACCUCAAGGUAAUGUUCCUCCAUUGCCUACCAUCCCUUCAGUGCCUAAGCUCACUAUGCCACCACUUCCUAGCAUUCCAACCAAUCCAACACUUCCAUCUCUCAACUUUCCACCAUUUCCAUCCAAUUCACUUCCCAACCUUCCUUCAAUCUCAACCAUUAUCUCCUCCAUCCCUUUCUUCUCUCCACCACCUUCAACAUCUACCCCUUGAAGUCUUUUCGCGUGUUCAUAUCGUUAUUGUGUGAUGUAUACUGUUGGAGAUUAUGAUGAUAGUAUUAUUAUUGUAUGGUGUGAAAAGUUUGUAUUUCAUUUCUAUUUAUGAAUUUGGCAGUAUUGUUUGUACUUUCCUUCAUCUUAUAGAUGUUUAAUUACACAUUUAGAUACAAGUAUACAACUAUGAUGUCUACUUUCUUCUUCUGAACUCUGUCUUAUAAUUGCUAUAAAAUAUUACUAUUACUAGCCUUAUUAUCUUUACAUAUAAUGGAGAGAAAAUGAGACAGUGGAACACCGAAAGCCAACAUAACUGGAACAUUGUGUUAUGGAACAAAAAUUAGCAUCAAUAAUUGAAAACAUGGAAUCCACAUGCUUAUAGAAUCCACAAGCAUUAGUCUACUUUUCUUUUAAUUGUUUUUCUGAUUAAAUUAGUCUCUACUAUUCUUCUUUCCCCUUGUAUCAGUUUCAAACUGCCACAACUUGCUUUACUUAACAUUCUCCUUAUUGCAAAAGCUCAUGAGAUAUUACAUCUUUACAAAAAGGUACUUGCAUCUCCAAGUUCCAAAUUUUGAUCAUAUCCACAAGUUUAAAAGUGUGAUGGAGGAAGGAAGAUCCAAAAAGUACAUAAGGAAAUUGAGUCCCAACAUAUAUGAAAACUAUUUAAUAAUAACAAGCCAUAUAUACAAGUGAAGCUUGAAAUAUAAACAAGGAACUAAUGCACUAUGAAGCAUAGAUAGAUAAAAAUACCGGACACGACACUAGUAAUAAUUUGAGAAUAUGGAAAUAAUUUGGACAUAACUACAUGUGUUUGUGUCGGACAUCAGAUACGUCUUCAAUCUGAUGUGUCGAUGCUAGAUAGCUUUAGCACCCUCACAACAAAUAAUAGCUAAUAUUUGUUCAUGAAUACACUUAAAGAGGAGGACACAUAAAAUCACCAAAUGUUUCUAUAUCUUCAAGAUCUGCAUCAAGAUCAAACUCAUCCAAGUCCAUGCUGCCUACACUAAGAAGUCCACCAAUCUUAGGGUUGUUAAGAGGUUUUCUUGCCUCUUGUAGAAUGGACAGAACUUCAUCAACACUUUGUGAUGGAUUAUUUACAUCAUUGCUUUGCCAGCUUCCACCUUCCAUUAAUUCUACUGGUAAGUUCCUUAAAAACCAUGGAUGGUUUUUUAUUUCUGGUAUUGUUAUUCUCUGCAAAAAGUCAUGAAAGACUGAAUGAUAUUCAAAAGGAGGAAGCUACAUGCAUUUCAAGGGAAUAUUUUCAUCAACAUGUCCAAAAUAGAGGAAAGCAACACUUAAACAUGCAUUGGUAAGAGAAAUAACUUAUACGUAAGCACUUAUAUGAUAAGUGUUUAUGCUAUAAGCGUUAAAUUGAGUUGUUUUUCCAAACAGGGCCUAUGUCUUGUAGCUUUUAGGAAUUUAUCAACAAAGAAACUAAAACUAGAUUUUCAAGAUCAAACAAACUCUCUACCUUUUCAGGAUUAGCCACAAAUAUUUGAGAUAGAAGAUUUAUACAUUCCGGUGAAACUCGUACAAAAUCAGGAACUUUGUACUGAACACUAAGUAUCUUCUGCAAUAAACCAAGAGAGGUCCAAUUGAAACAUCAGAACUGAGAAUUCAUAACUAAACAAUUCAAUUUUAUUUCAAGACUUCAUACUGCUUAGGAAUUCAAUAAGUUUGCAGUUAACAACACUCACGGAAAUGGUUUUCUUAAAGUCCUUUGGAUCCGCAGGGUCUUCAAAAGGAUAAGCGCCGACUAACAUCACAUAUAAGGUGACUCCACAAGACCAAACAUCUGCAAUCUAUAGCUUUCAAUGAAAAUAUAGUUAGCAAAUAAAAACAAAAAAAAACUGCAUACAAAAAGGACCCUCUUCAUUUAAAUAACAAAAAAAAGGUAAAAAUUUGAGACAAAGGAUAAGUAAGGAUUUGCGCUGUGUGCAGUCACAGCCUCGUGAUUGCACGCAGUCAGCUACAUUUGGACCGUCCGACAGCUUUCAAGCACGGUAUUUUAUAUUUAUAAAAAGACAAGACCUGCAUUGAAAUUUGGACUCAUGCAUAAUCCAACAGCUUUCAAGGAUGGUCCAGAUGUGGUUGACUGCAGCCACACUGCUCAUAAUCCAAAUCCAUAAUAAGGAAGAAUAAGACUCCACCUUUCCAUCAUAUUCUUUCUUCGUCAGAACCUCAGGUGCAAUGUAAGCUGGAGUUCCUACUGUAGAUUUUGGUUGUGAAUGCAACACAGAUGACUAAAGAACAUGGUAAAAACAAAUGAGCAUCACUUGACAAAAGGAUUCUGGAGCAGUAAUCUUUUGUUAACAUGUUACCUUUGAGUAACCAAAGUCGCAAAUUUUGACUCGUGGUGCAGUGCUUCCGUCUAAGAGUGUGUUUUCAAGCUUCAGAUCUCUAUGGCAUAUUAGCUGCAUAAAACUUCAUUUUAUUAAGAAUAUCUAUUCAUUGCAAAGAUACAAUUUGAAGAUUCGUCAUGAAGUUUUGUUUAGUUUCGUACCAUUGAAUGACAGUAACUGACUCCUGAUAUCAAUUGCUGAAAGAAAAACCUUGCCUGAUAAAGAAAAAUAUUAAUGACUGAACCAAAACCUAUGAAUGUAACAAUGACUAUACGAGCUUAACAGAAACAAUUAGUAAGAGAUGGACUUUGAGCAUGUUCGGAUUGGCUUAUUUGAACUUAUCUAUUAACAUAAACUAUUGUUAGACGUUUUGAGAGAGCUUAUGGAAAAAAGCUUAUGAUAUGUUCAUAAGUUGUUUUCAAUUUUCAAAAUAGUUAGACUUGUAUGAAAACGCUUUUAACUUUAUUUUAUCUUUUGUUAUAGAAAUGACUUAUACGUAAGCACUUAUACAAUAAGUGUUUAUGCUGUAAGCACUUAAAUACCUGUAUCCGAACAGAGCCUUUGUUCAACCUUUUCAUCAAAAGGGCAACUUUACAGAAGACAGAAUAAAUACAUAAAAUAUUUCAUAUAGUAAACUCUAGUUUCGAAAUUACCUCAUCUUCACUAAAUCUACCAGCACUACAUAUCCUCUCAAACAGUUCUCCUCCAGCAGCGUACUCCAUUACAAUGGCUAGAUGUGUUGGUGUUAGCAGGACCUGCGAUGCAAGUCCAUGCAUCAAAACUCAUGCAAAAUUGACUAGAGUAAUAUUUCGAUAGAGGUAUGCAUUAAUAUAACCACUAGCACAAGGUUCAAUAUCAAAUUAAUUCAAAAGGAAGAAAACAGAAAAUUAACGAUACUUCCAUGAAACUUAACCAUAUGAUAACUAUAAAUCAAAGAGCUUCGAUAGUAAGGUCUCUAAGUUUCAUGAAUGAACUACAUGAAAUAACUGUUAUAUGAAUCAUCCAACCAAUCUCAAAUCAACAGUCGAGAUUAAUUUGUGUGUAUAAAUACAUGUGUUUUCUAAUGCAUGGAACCCAGAUCCAUCAUCCCCACCACCACACUAAAAAAAUAUCAUACAAAAACGAACAAGUAGGAAGAAAAUAACUUUAAUACCAUUUCCACGUAAGUUUGUGGGGAGCAAUGUAUAAUUUUAAAUCCAAUUCCUACUUUUAGCCCACUUUAGUUAACUAUAGAAUACAUAACUAUAAUGUUUCCACGGCUAACUUCCAUCUUUUGUGACAGUAUUGCUAGCUAUGAAGCACAGAUACAUACACAGACACUAGACACAAUACUGAAACUGACACAGACACCGGUAAAAAGUUAUGAAAACUAUUGAAUAUAACUGCAUGUAUUGGUGUCGCGUCGGUAUCCAUAUCUACGUGAGUCGGACACCAGACACGUCUUCAAUAUGAAGUGUUAGUGAUACAUAGAUUGGUGGUAUUUCGUAAUUAUUUUCCACACACACACACACACACAUACAUUCUAUGUUUUGUGACAGUAUUGGUAGCUAUGAAGCACCGUUACAUACACGGACACUAGACAAUACUGAAACUGACAGACACUGGUAAAAAGUUAUGAAAGCGAUUGAAUAUAACCACAUGUACUGGUGUCAUGUCGGUAUCCAUAUCUACAUGAGUCAGACACCAGACAUGUCUUCAAUAUGAAGUGUUAGUGACACAUAGAUUGGUGGUAUUUCAUAAUUAUUUCCCACAACCACACACAUUCUAUGUACAGCUCACAAAACUCAAAUGCUCAUGUAUGUUACUUUUCUGUGAUACUCACAUUCCCAAUCCAUAAGACAUUGAGUUUUAAACCAAUAAGCUAGAAGACUACAUAAGCACAAAUUAACAAAACAGAAAGCAGGACCGAUCCAAUAAUUUUCGAUAGUAGGUGAGGCCUAAAGCCAAUUUGGAAAUAUAAUGAAAAAUAAAUUUUUGUUGGUGGGUCUAAACUAGGACUUUAGUAGCCUUACCCUUGAGUCAACCCUGACAGAAUGGAAACAAAGGAAGUAGGAGUCUUGAAAAGCAAGAAUCAUUGCCAUAUUUUUGCUGAGUUUUAUACUGUUUAGCAACUAAAAAGAAAAGACCCUUCAAUGAUUAGAAUCUUGAGUGUACUAACUAACCUCUUUGAACCUAACAAUAUUAGGAUGCUUCAAUGAUCUAUGGUUCAUGAUUUCCCUUUGGACAUUAUCAUCAAUCUGCAUAAGUACACACACAUCUCAAUAGUGAACCAAAACACACACACACAAUACACAAAAAUGAAACUGAAAUAUUGAAAGGGUUUGAAGGUGAAGUAUAUAUAUACCUUUUGGCCUCUCUCAAUAAACUUAACAGCAAAAAGCUCUUUGGUGAAGAUAUCCCUAACAAGCUUUGCAACAGCAAAAUUCCCAGAACCAAUAUCUUUGACAACCUCAUAGCGAUCCAUGAUCUAUUGCAAGGCUUUUGAUCACAGAAAUUCUACACACUUGUUUGUUCUGUUCUUUGCAUGUAAUAGUAAUAAGAAGGAAUGAAAAGUAAUAAAGCUCAGAAUAACUUGGAUGAAUUGUGAUUCCUUUUUAGACCAAACAAGAACAAAAGUAGGUUCUAGGGGUUUUUGAAAAGCCCCCAAAGUCUUAAACUUUACCAAUACGCAACCUACUAUUUGACUCUUAUGAAGGGAACAUAGUGGAAAUGGAUUCUCUAUUAUUUUAUCACUUUGCUGAUUUAGUAUGUCGGUAGAAAUUUUGAGGCAUUCUCACUGUUAGUACAUUUAUGGUCGUUGAAUUGAAAUUAAACGAUUUAAAUUUUAUGUUUGAUAUUUUAAUUUAAAAGGAUUAACAUUUUUAUUUUAACUUCAACCGUUUGAUCUUAAUUCAAUAGUUAAAGAUAUGCUAAUAUGUUAAAAUUUUAAUAGCAUGAAAUCUAAAUUUGUAUUUUAAAUCUAAAAGUGUGAAUAUUAAUUAAAAUAAACAUUAAACAAAUGAUAAUCUUCCAUCUAAGUUUUAAAUAUGGUUAUCAAAAGUAUAAUAUUAGUAGAUUUUCUUGUUAAAACUAUGGUAUUUGUCUCUCUCUUCUUUGUACUAUUAAGUUUUUAGGUAAAAAUUGUUUUUAAAUCUAUUUCCCAUUGUAGUGAAUUGUUCUUAUCCCAUGUGAUGAGGUAUGACUCAUCUAUCUAGAGAGUUUCUUAAUUUGUUGAAACUUAUGUAUUUAAUAAUACAUUGGAUAAAAAAAAAGUUUAAUUGGUUGACAUUCCUAACUCAACUCAUAAAUAACAAAAUUAUUAAGUUGUAUGUUGUAAUAUUUAGGUUUGAACCAGCGAUCCUUAAUUUGUGUUGUAAAUUUUCAAGUGAAUGUCUAUCCAGAAAAUUUCAAUUUGACAAAAACUUUAAAUAAAGUAUAUUUUCUAUUUUAUUUUUUUAAGGAAAAAGUAUAUUUUCUAGGUUAUGCUGUUAAAAGAAAAGUAUAUAUGUAUUUUUUUUUUCAAGUAGUAGCAUGUUAUCUACCAUGCCUAAUCAACACGUAUGUGUGAACUUCCAACAUCUUCAAAGGAAUCAAUACGGUAGAUUUUGAAUUAAUUGGUCCUGCAUCCCAUGGCAACUUGGUUUCUUUUUCUUCUGUCUUAACCCUUAAUUCUUUUUGUAAAAUUGAGAAAGAGGCAUGAUUAUCCGAAGUCUAGUCAAAUAUUAUCCUACAUUAUCUUCUGUGGAUCUCUGAUCAUCUUUCAAAGCUCACUAUAGGAACUAUUAUAUUUUUUUUUAAAGAAUGAACUAUUAUGUCUUAAGAUUCACUAAUAAACAAUAUCAAAUACAGGUGUUAAAUAUAUAAAAUAUGACAAUUAUAUUUACUAAAAUCUUUUUAAGUAUUCCUUUUUUUCUUAUGGUCCCUGAAUUGUUCCUUACUUUUUUAGAGAAAUAAUUAUUCUUUACUUUACACGCCGAAGCAAUGAAUUAUAAAUAUUUGUUGAAAAAGAAAAAGAUAGUGGAUGAAAAAGCUUUGACGAAAGAAAUGAAUGCAUGAUGUAACAUGCAUGAACUUACAUUUGGUAGUGAUUUUUGGUGUCAAUUAUAAGUUAGAAGUCUAACUUGGUUGAAGAAAUGAAGGUUGACUUGAGGAACGUACUCUCUUCAUUUCAAAAUAUAUAUUUAAUUUUUACAAUAUGUAUUAUUCAUUUGACUUACUUUGAUAUACUUUUUAAUUAAUGUAAAAAUACAAAUAUUAGCAUGUAAGAUGUUGUUUGAUUUGUCUCGACAAAUAUUUUCAAAAUAUUAAAUUUUUGUAAUUUUUUACUUUAGAUAAUUAAAGAUAUUAACGGUCAAAAUUGUGCAUUGACAUAUGUGAAGUGGUUGACUUGAACAUGUAUUUUAAAACGGAUGGAGUAUAAGUUGGAAGACCUACAAAAUAAAUAUACUUACCUUUUUAAAGAUCUUGAGUACAGAUGUCGUAUUAAGUUCUUUUGUAUGGUUGGAUUGAUGUUUUAGAAAGGGAAUGAAGGAGAUGAUUUUUUUAUUUUUUUUUUAAUUACAGACAAUAUAUAAAAUAUAUUUUUUAAAUAAAUUAAGUGUGAUUAAAAUAUUAUAUGAUCAUUUAUUAUAUUAAUGUUUUAAAUUUUUAAAAAUAUUUUAUAGUAUUCGUAAUUUAAAAAAGAAAAUAAAUCUUUUCCUCUCUUCCAAACCAUGCAUCUUCCAAACACAAGCAAUUUGCAAAUUUUCAACACCAUAAAUCGAUUAUUAUUAAUUCUAGUCAAUUUUCCAAAAAAUUAAAGUACUCUUCCUAUAAAUCGAUUAUGCUAAUGAAUUUCUACAGCCAUAAAAUUGAUUUAUGUGCCCAAAUCUAUUUUAAACUCAACAAAAAAUACAUCAAUUAAUAUAAUUCACAAAACAUCGAGAUUAACAAACAAUAAACACAAUGAUAAAGAAAAAUAGUUAGAUUUAUUUUUUUAAUAAGGGCAAAAGUAAGCAAUAAAGGUAAGAGAGGGCAUGAACCCUAUACAAAUAGAGGGUACACUUAGGGGUGUUCAAAUUCAAACCGAUCCAAACUAAAACCGCAAACCGAUCCAAAAAAAUCGAAAACCGCAAAAAACCGAAUAUAUUUGGAUGUGUUUGGAUGUUGUUUUGUAAAAACCGCUAAGAUCGGAUCGGAUUCUGGAUCACUUUUCCAAAACCGAACCGAACCGCAAAAAUAAAUAUUAAUACUUAUUUAUUCUUUUAUUAGUAUUAUAUAUUGCAUUAUUAUGUUGUUUGUUAAAUUUUAAUCUUAUAUAUUGCACUAAUUUAAUCUAUAUUAUUAUUACUUCAUAUGUUUAAAAAAUAAUCAAUAAUUUUCAUACUAUAAUUUUAUCUUUUUUAAUAUAUUUUGCAUCAAACCUAUUAUUCUACCAUGUUUGUGUAAUAUUAAUAUUAAUAAAGAAAAAUUAUUCCUUAAAAAAGAUUAAAUAAAAAAAUAUAUUUUGCAUUUUUGACAUCCAAAAACUGAUCCAAAUUAAACCGCAUAUAAUUGGAUCGGUUCGGUUCGGAUUUUUUUAGAAUACUCAUCCAAACCGAACCGAACCGUAUGUGAUUUUUAUUUUGGAUCGGUUGACAUUUUACCUCAAAACUGAUCCAAACCGCACCGCAAACACCCCUAGGUACACCUGAGGAAGCAAGCCAAGACUAAUCCUAAGAAGCAAAGGAACUACAAACAUCUAUCUUGCUAAAGUUUUGCUUUUAAACGAAAGAAAUUAAGCUGCCAAACAACAGAACAAACUACUAGCACUUAUUAAGAACCAUCUACAUGACAGUCACAAAUAUUUAAGAUUACUUUUGAUUACUUGUGCUAUUCGGUGAAACUUGUCUAUUUAUCUGCUUUUUUGCUUUAUGGUUAGAUAAGAGUGUGCAUCAACCAUUAUCAUGUUUAUCCUCAGUCUUAUUAGCUGAUGCUAUAGGAGUGUAGGACGUAGUUUUUCUUUGCUUCUUUUUCUUUUUACUUUUUUUUUUCGUUCUCUCAUGUAACAAAAAAAAAUGAGUUUGGAGGCCCUUACUACUUGUAUUAUUUGGUGAAACUUGUCUAUUUAUCUGUUUCUUUUGCUUUAUGGUUAGAUAAGAGUGUGCAUAGAUUAUAGAAAUCUGAAUCUAGCUACUUCUAAAGACAAUGAUGCAAUGCAAGUAGCCAAUAUGUUAGUCGAUGUUGCGACUAGCCAAGUAAUUUUCACUUAUGGAUGAAUAUUCAGAUUAUAACUAGAUUUUUAUAUUCAAAGAUGACACUCAUAUGACAAAAUUUCAGAUGUCCUAGGACCCUCAAAAUAUAUAAACUUGUUUUUUACAUUGUUUCUUAAAAGUCAAAGGUUAGUUAAGUCCACCUUAUCACUUGAUUUGGUGAGAGCUAAUGAGCUAUAUAAUAAAAGAGCUAAUAUAUAUACUUGGCCUCUUAAAAAAAAAUUCCUUUGAAAUUAUAUACACACACUUAAUAAUUUAUACAUGGUUUUCAUCACUGGUUUGAUCACUAAAAUCAUAAUCAUCAUACAAGGUUACAAUUGAAGGUCCAAAGUAUGGCGCACCAUGAACAACUAAAUCAUCAGGCAAUGGUUUCUCCUCAAGCAUGGAAUAACCUGUGAAUGAAUCAAUCAAUGGCUCAAAUUAAACUGAAUUGAAAAACAUGAUGCAUAAAUGAAUGAAGAGUAAUUAAUGAGAAGGUACAAAAUGAAAUUAUACCAUUAAGAUAAGGGAUAGGAAUGUCAUAGUAGUAAGUGGAGGGUCUUCCAAAAUCUUCACAGUAUGGUGGAGACAGCACAUCUAGUAUUGCACAUGGAGUCAACGCUCUAAAAGAAUGAAUAUUUCCACCACUUCUUGGAAAUAAUAUGGACGGUUCAUGUGGUGCUUUCAUCACUUCAUCUAUUACCUUACCCGCCAAUCCUACUGCAACCACAUAAAAAUUGUCUAUUUGAAUUAAUUAAGUUUGUGUCAUAGGUCAGAGUUUAUUCUAAUUCGUUCUACUAUAUAACCUUUAUGAUAUAGACCUAUGGAAUCCGGAUACGGACACGGACAUCGGACAGGACAUGGAUACUGACAUGCUGAUAUCGUUAAUAAUUUAAGAAAAUUGCAUAACGUAAUUAUAAAUGUCGGUGUCGGACGCAGUACAUGUCUGAUACGGAACACGCCUAAUCAAAGAGGGUACUUCUUUGCUAUAGAUAUAUAGACUCUAGUUCUUUCCAAAAAAAUAUAUAUAGACUAUAGUAAUUAUUCUUACUUGUUUGCUCUUUGGUACUAUCAAAAUUGAUCCAAUCAUAAGCUUUGACAUGGACAGAUCCAUAUAAAAGUUUGCUCAACACUGUCAUUUCCGGGUGAUCAUGAAGUGGAAAUUCUUUUCCUGCUGGAAGACAAAACACCCCUAUCUGCAUAUAUUCAUAACUUCAUUAAGUUUGGUCACUUGGUUCACCAUAGAUAAGGUUUAAAAAAAAGUAUGCAACCACGAUUUGAGUCACGACAUCAAAAAAUUUAAUAUGUUUGUCUCGUUUUAUUUCAAUUUUCAAAAAUUAAAGAUUAUGACGUGACUGUAUUUGACGUAAUUCUCAAUAAUAUCAAAGAACGUGACGAGAUUAUAUGUAAUUUAGACGAAGUUAGCUACAUUAUACAAUAAACAAGACUAUAUUUUUUUUCUUAUACGUACAGAGAAAUCGUCACAUUCAUGAAUAUGAAUGUAUGUUAUUUCAGAGAAGCUUUGUCCAUAAAGCAAUCCUCUCCUAGCACCAUCAAAAAUUGCAUCUGAUGUAGGAGAAUCGCAAAACCCGAACUCGUCGAUUCCAACAUCUAUUGCUUCAAUUUUGUCUGCAAAUUCAUUCAUCUUAAACGUAUGAAUCAAUAUUUUUCAUUAGCAUACUGUAUAGAAUCAAAUAUAUGCAUAAAAGUUAGGAUAAAAAUAUAAACACAAACAAAUCAUGUGCACUUAUCAUAUAUUCAUUAAGAAACUCACCUAGUAGAUUUUUCAGGUAAUGGAUUUGUUGAAAAUUUGGAAGUCUUCCUUGAGAAAACAAAACAUGGCAAGUAUCAUAGAGUACUUGUAUUUUGUUCAUUUCCAUUUAUUUAUUUUUUUGAAACGGCAAAAUCCAUUGACUUAGUGUUAAUUACUAGUCCUAUAAUUGAGUUGUGUGGAAGAUCAACUUUUAAAGCAUAUCAUGUAAAUGGACGGUGACACUACCAAUAAAGGAAAGGACAUAGAAUAACUGAAAAAAGGGGACUGUGUAUAAUGUUUACUAAUUAAACCUUGGGCAAAAUCUUAUAAUAUUACAGUGGAUUAUUUUGUUUCAAUUGUUUCUCUUUUGGGAAAGGGAAAGAUUUUGUUAUUAGUUAAGGUGGGGACGGAAGCUUGAAAUAGUCAAUAUUUUGAACAUUGCUCCUGUACUGCCCAUGUUUAAUGAUAAAAUAUGAGCCCUUAUCCACAAAAAGUUAAAGAUAAAAGACUAUUAUUUUUCCCACUCUGUUGCCUUCUUGCGUGUCUUGUAAAAUUUUCAAAAAUACCUCUUGUCUGAAUUAUAUAUUCCGGACCAGAUUGUUAGUGAUUUUCGGAAUACGAAAUCCAGAUCAGAUAUUAUGUGUUUUUUUGUGUCUUUCUUUGAUGUCAAGGGUCUCUGUUGACCGUUAUAUGAACCCCACACAAGCUGCAAUGCAUUGCAAUUGCAGGGUUCCUAUGAACGGUCAACAAUGACCAUGACACCAUCGACACCCCUCAAAAAACUAAAAACAUUUGAAGAAAAUGGAAGAAAAGAGGUGAAGUGAAGAAUGAAGAUAUUUGUUGAAGAUGGAAGCCUAUUUAUAGCCUAAAACAAGUCCUAUGUCAUUAAUACAGUCAAUGAAAACGUGUUGGUGGUUGUAACCGUCCAAACCCACAUUAAUGGCUCUGAAUCUUUCCGGAUUUUACAUUCUGGAAUGUCCUUAGCCCUAUAGGAAGUGCCAAUUUUUCCCUCGUUCACCAUUAUCGCAUGAAUCCGGAUAAUAUAUUCCAGAAAACAGAUGUGCAUUCCAAAUUUUAUAUUCCGGAAUGCAUCAGUCAUGGCCGGUGGUCUGCACCACACGUUUUUGUCGAUGGUCAAGUCAAAAAAACGUGUUUUACCACGUUUUUUUGACUGCAAUUAUGGUCUCCCAACCGUUUUUGACCCACCCCUCCCUAUAAAUAGUCUUCCAAACCCCACCAUUUCUCACACCAUCCUCUCCCACCAUCUCCUCCUCUUCUUCCUUCUACAACCAUAGUUUUCCAUCGUUGGCCUUUCAUAGAUAAGGACCUCGUUGAAAACUUUCAGGGUUUGUAUGAACGGUCAAUGAGGAUGGAACCGCGCUGCAACGAAGUACGGUUCAUCUGAGGGUCAUGUGGGUCAGUGUGGUUCUUAGCUUGGCCUGUCUGGGCGUAAGUUUGAGCACCCCCCACCUCCCUCAGGGGCAUUGUUUUCUUCUUCCCGUCCUCCUGUUCCCUCCUCCUCUGAUUUUCCUCCAAUAGGCAAACUACUGUUGUGUCCUAUCACAUAGCAAUGGUUAAGCUCUUAGGAGAUUAGAAUUAGGCUCUUAUGAGAUUAGAAAUAGAUUUAUGAUCUUAUGUAAUAAGUUUAAAAAGCUUGAAAAUUAUUGUAAUGUAUUGUUCAUAUAUUAAUAAAAUUAGUUGUUUUUAUGUUUGUGUCUUUUUAUUUCUGUUUUUUAUUUUACUUGCAUUUUAUUUUACGAAUUUUAAAGCUUAAAAUUGUAAAAGUUCUGCAAAAACACUAUUCCGGAUUUUAAAAUCCGGAUACAUCUGUAAAAUUAUAACAAUCUAAUCUGGAAAACAAAAUCCGAACCAGGGGUAAAAUUGAAAAAAAAAUAGGGCGCGCGAGAAAAGGCGUAAGAUGGGAAAAAUAACAGUCAAGAUAAAAUCCGGCAAGUGUCAAAAAGAAACGGUUAAAAAUAUUUUUAAAUUUUACUAGGAAAGGUAUCAUAUCAUAUUUAAUUUCCAUCAUGCCAAAAAGAAAUGUUAUUACCUACGAUGAAGGAUACCAUGGGAGGAAAAAAUACCGACUAUAUGGUUGAUUUUCUACGUAAACGUAAACUCACAAUAAGAAUACACUCUCCAACACAUAUUAAUCCGAUCUCAAAUAUUAAAAAAAAAAAAAAAAGUAAAUAAAGUUGAUAUACUAUAUUUGGUUAAAAAUUGAACGACCGUAUAUCUAUUUUUGUUUGAUCUUUUUUCUUUAUAUUCGAGACUAAAUGGAGUAAAUUCAAACAUAUAUUUAUUUUUUCUGUCAAGUAACAUAUUCUAUUAGUUAGUAUUGAUACACAUCCCAAUAAUAUAUAUAUAUAUAUAUAUAUAUAUAUAUAUAUAUAUAUAUAUAUAUAUAUGUAACAUGUAUUGAUAAGUGGGAUCCAUAUAAAUUUAGACGAAGAGAAAAGUGAUGUUUGUGUUAGAGUUAGCGCAAUUGAUAAAGGAGAUUGUAUUAUAUAGGUCAAAUGUAUCUAAAGGUUCUUUAAGUUUUUCGUUUUUUCUAAAGUGGUCUUUUAAGUUUCAAAAGUCUCAAACAAGUCCUUUUAGUUUUUGAAUCAUUUUAAACAAGUCCUAUUGUAGAUAGCAUAGUUGGUAAUUGCUUCCUUGAACUCAUAUUUGGUACCAAAUCUGGCUCCUAACAUCCACUUCAAAUUAGUCAUCUUUUUAGGCAUUACAAAUCGUGGAUAAUGUUCUUUGUUGCUAUCAUCUUAAUCAUCAUCCUCUAAAAGGACUUGUUUGAAACGAUUCAAAAACUAAAAGAACUUGGUUGGGACUUUUGAAACUUAAAAGGACUUGUUUGGGACUUUUGAAACUUAAAGGACCACUUUGGGAAAAACAAAAAACUUAAAGGACUUUUAGAUGCAUUUGACCUAUUAUAUAUGUAUGGGUUAGAGUUCGAACCCCAUAUAUCAAAAGGAAAAUUUUAUGGUACACCCAAAAAUUUGAGUGUAUUGGUACACCCAAUCAACAAAUUAAUAGUUAAAUGUGUUAUUUUUUGAAGAGAAAAAUUGUUUUCCAUCACCUAUAAUUAUAAUAAUUAAAUUUUGGGUAUGAGGAAGGAGUAUGGAGGGUUGGGGGUUAAGAGGUUGAGGGAGUUUAACAUUGCUUUGUUGGGUAAAUGGUGUUGGAGGUUGUUAUUGGAGCAGGAUGCGUUGUGGAGAAAGGUGUUAGUGGCUAGGUAUGGCGUGGAGGAUGGCGGUUUGGAGGAUGGGGGCCGGAGUUGUUCUUCGUGGUGGAGGGAGAUCGUGAGGAUUAGAGAUGGGAUAGGUGAGGGUGGAGGGGGAUGGUUUGGGUCUUGUGUUAGGAGGAGGGUGGGAGAUGGUGUAGAUACUGAUUUUUGGCGUGGAGAUGUUCCUUUGUGUGUCCGGUUUAGGCGCCUUUUUGACUUGUCUGUUCAUCAAUCAGUCUCAGUUAGGAAUAUGUUCCUGCUGGGGGUGGAUGUGGGCGGAGAGGCGUUGAGGUGGCGUAGGCGGUUGUGGGCCUGGGAGGAGGGGUUGGUAGAGGAGUGUAGGGCUUUGUUACUAACAGUUUCUUUGCAGGAAUCAGUGAUAGACAGAUGGCUAUGGUUACCUAAUAAUGAUGAUGGGUAUUCUGUACGUGGAGUCUAUGACAUGCUGACAUCACAGGAGCAGAUCCAGUUACACCAUAAUAUGGACUUAAUUUGGCAUAAACAGGUUCCUCUCAAAGUAUCUAUCCUUGCUUGGCGACUUCUGAGGGACCGGUUACCCACAAAACUUAAUUUGGUAAACCGUGGCAUUCUAUCUAUGGAGGAGCGGUUAUGUGUUUCUGGCUGUGGGAAUGUCGAAGAUGUUUCUCAUUUGUUUUUGUCUUGUGCAACUUUUGGAGCAUUAUGGCCGAUGGUGUGGGAUUGGUUAGGAGUGGUAGGGGUCGACUCUCAAUCAACUUCAGAUCAUUUUGUGCAAUUUAUUAAUUAUGUCGGUUGUUCGAGAGGGCGACGGUCUUUCUUCCACUUGAUUUGGUUGCUUUGUGUUUCGGUGUUGUGGAAUGAAAGGAAUGAUAGGCUUUUUAGAAAUAGACAGAGUACUUUGCCACAAUUGCUAGAUAAAGUGAAAUCAACUUCUUUGUGGUGGUUAAAGGCUAGUAAUGUUGUAUUUAGUUUUGGCACUCAACAGUGGUGGUCGAGCCUGCUUUUAUGUUUGGGUGUUGACUGAUUUGAUUGUAAUUUUGUUUGGACCCUGACAUUUUUGUGAUUGUUUGGCACAUCUUGUGCGGUAACAAUUACGGGGUCCGUUUUAAUAUAUCUCAUUUUUGCCUGUUCAAAAAAAAAAAAUUAAAUCUUAUUAACCAAAAACGUCGACGAAAUAAAAUUUAAUUUUUCUGAGUUUUUAGUACUCAUAAUAGAGAAUUUUGAUUAUUUUUUACAAUAAAAUGUAAAAAAAUUAAUAUGAUUUUUAUAAACAAUGAAAUGACGUUUUUUUCUUAUAAAAUGACAUUUUCUAAAAUAUAAAUAUCAAUAAAUAACUCUUUAUUCCAUAAAAAUAAUAGUUAAUUUAAAUUUUUUUGAAGUAGGAAUACCGGUACACCUUAAUUUGCAGGUAUACAAUAGAAAUUCCCAUAUGAAAUUCUAUUAAACUAUUUGGCAAGAACUAAAAUGUUUGUGUUAGAGCUUAGUCAUGUCAAGCGCUAACAAACAGUGUUGCUCUAUUCGAAAGAAAGAAGAAGAAAAACAGCGUUGCUUGAACAUAUUAAUUAACUAAGUUCACUAAUCGCCUGUUUUGUUCAUUCAUGCGGCAAAAGAUAAGAUCAAUUGAGUAAGAUUUACUUCCACUCUCCAAAGAUGCUAAAAAGAGCAAAAUGCGCACGUUGAAAUUAGUGAUGCUGACUAAAAUACUAUCAAAGAAUAAUAAUGUAAUCACUAUCUAGCAUAUUGUGGAUUCUUAACCUUGUAAAACGGAUUAUUUUGUUUUCACAUAGUGAUGGGGUUUGGGAAGUGCAUUAGAAAUAAUAAAGGGAGUUAAUUAAUUUGUUCUUGAUCUCAUUGGAUUGACUUCUUACAUUUGCACCCUCAUUUGUGUCAUGGACUGAUCUUAGAGUCUAUUUUAAAUUGAUGAUAUACGUUCAUAAGUUGUUUUGUGUUUAUUAUCAUAAUUUUUUUUAGUAUAGAUUAUGGAAACAACUUAUAUCUAAUUUAUACAAAAAUAAUUUGAUUUUACUUUAUCAUUUGUUAUAGAAAUAUUUACACGAGUGUUUAUCGAUUGUCACAAUUUGAUUAUUCUAAUUAGAAAAAGACUAAGAAAAAAAAAAGAAAUAAAAAAAUGGUGAAAAAAAAAUCGGUGUGUGAGAUUAGUUGAUUUAGCCAAAAGAUAUUUAAAAAAGACAGCUUUAAGCAAUGAGCCAUUGACACAAGCCAUAUCAUACAUCUGCAAAUAAAGGAGACUCGAAAAAUAAACGUGAUGUUGGUUCUUCAUUUCCGCAUUCUCCUACACACUAAAAAAAUUCCUUGAUCAAUGGCUCCUCUUUUGAAAAAAGAUUACUCCUUGUUGCUACUCUAUUUUGAAAUAGUUUCCUAACUAAGCAUGAAACUUUUAACGGCACUGAUUUAUGUCAAGCCUUCGACCGUAUGGGAUCCAAAGAGCCUGACAAAUUAGACAUCAACCCCUUAUACCUCUUCUUAAAUGAAUAUACAUUAUGAGACUCCACUCCCCCAUAAUCUAUGUUGCAAAUGUCUUUCCACCAAACAGAAACUCCUCUGCUCUCUACUCUAAUAGACUCUCUAUUCAUACCAUAUUUAUUUUAUAAAGCUUUAUACAACAAACCAUUGCUUUUUGUACUAAUCUUCCUCCCCUGUUCUCCUACGAGAGCUAGAUUAAAAAUCCUCAGGUUUCUAAUUCUGAGACCCCCCAUCUUCCAAAGGUCUACAAACCUUAUCCCAUUUAACCCAAUCUCUCUCUCUCUCUCUCUCUCUCUCUCUCUCUCUCUCUCUCUCUCUCUCUCUCCCCUCAUAAAAAAGUUUAAAAAGUGCUUCAAGUUUAGAGAUUAUACAUGUCGGGGCCUUGAAAAAGGAUAGAAAGUAGACCGGAAGCGCAUAAAGACUGAUUUUAGCGUAACAACUCGACCUCCAAUGGACAACUGUUUAUUCUUCCACUUUGACAAUCUUGAUCUUGCCUCAAUCACAAGAUGCCAUGUAUCUAUUCUCCUUGGAUUUGCCUCGGUUGGUAGACCAUGGUACUUAAAGGUGUUGAUCCAAUCUUACAAUUUAGGAUAUUAGCCACCUCUUUGAACCAAUUCUGAGAAUUAUUGACUCACACCAAUAAACUUUUAUGAAAAUUUACUAUUAAGCUCGACAUUACUUCAAAUAAUAGUAGAUUGGCCUUAAUGAUUAUGAUAUUCUACCACUUUUUUUCACCAAUAAUCAAUGUGUCGUCUACAUAUUGUAAGUGAAUUAAUCGCUCCUCCUCCGUAUCGAAUUUGAAUCCUGAGAAAUGUCCUUCCUCCACCGUCUUCAUCAUCAACAUAUUAAAAUCUUAUGCAGCUAAUAGAAAAAGAAACGACGAUAAAAUAUCUCUUUGUCUUAAGCCACGACCCAUUCCAAAUUCUUUUAUCGGACUAAUUGUUUACUAAAAGUGAAAUUAUUGAUGAUUUUAACCAUUUUGAUAUGCAUUUCCUUCACUUCUCAUGGAACCCCAUCUUCAACAUUACAAAAUUAAGAAAAUUUCAAUCAAUGAGUCAUACGUCUUCUCAAAAUCGAUUUUAAGCAUGCAUCACAACUUCUUUGUUCUUGCUCUUUGUCUCAUCCACAACUUCAUUCGCAAUUAAUAUCCCAUCUACAACAUGUCUGUCGGAUAUGAACGUCAUUUUCGUGUCUGAUAUGAUAGUUCUGAUCACUCUUUUCAAUCUAUUUGCCAAAGUCUUCAAUAUGAUUUUAUAAAUUCAUCCUAUCAAUGAUAUAGGUCUGAUAUCUGAAAUUUUCAUUGGAUUUUUCUUCUUUGGGAUUAACACCACAAAUGAACAAUUUUCCCCUUUGACGAUUCGACCAUUUGUAUAAAAUUUAGCCAUCACCUCAAAAAAUCAUCUUUUAUAUCUUCCCAUAAUUCUUUAACAAACCUAAAAUUUACUCUAUAUGGCGCUGGACUUUUUGAGCUAUCACACUCCCAUACUGCUCUACGGACUUCUUCUUUUGAAAAUUCUCUAACCAACUCUUCCCAUGAUCUCCUUCAAAACAAUUCAUUCUCCCUUCUUCUUUCUCCAAUAUCAAUUUUCCAAUGUUCGUUUUUCAUCUUCAAUCGUGUUAGCAAGAACCACAAUACCGUGUCUCAAACCAUGAUUCAAAUUUAUACGAAUGUGGUCAUCUUAUCUUUGUUAAAAACAAUUGAUUAUUUGAAGAAGGGAAGUGUCUGAUAGAGGAGUUAAAAACAGUUGCAUUAUUGGCAACGCUAAUGCUGAAAUAUGAGUUGAGUUGUGUAAAUUUCUAAUUAUGUAUUGGAUUUAAACUGCAACUAUAGUGGUUGAACUAUCAAUGCUUCACAUACUCGAUUGGAAAAGAAGUGGAUAUGAAAUCUUGUAAAUUAAAACUGCUCCAAGUAUUCCUUCUCACAUAACAUUGGUUAAGUCACAAAACAUCAUCUUUGGCGAAUGUUAUAGAUUAUAAUACCGUGUACCCACAUCAAAAUCGUAUGAAAAGGAUGAAUGAUAUUUAUACAACUGUUUUUUUAAAUAGUCAUUUCUCUCUCUCUUGUUUAGGAACAAAUUUAGGAGGGAAGAAAAUAAUAAUAUAAUGAGUAUGGAAAAAUGUUGUUUCAAAAUAUGUAGUAAAAUAAUUAUAAAAAUAUCAUUUCACGUUACAAAAUGAGCUAAAUCUCAUUAAACUAUGCGAGACACCUAUGUAAUGUGUCUAUGGUACGACCAUACUACACCAGCUAAAGUCUAUAAUCAAGGUGAUGUUCACCUAGCAUGCUUGUGAUCCUUAAAUGGUUAUCUAAAGUGAUUGAACUAUAAUUCAAAGUGCUGGUUCAACCUUCCUCAUUAUAUAAAUGUUGGUUCAACGUUUUUAAUAAGAAAGUCCAAUCCAUUUUUCUUAUAAAAGCAUUUUUUUAUGAUUUUUUUUAUUUUUUAUAGGUUUAUAUGUUUUUUUGGUCCCUUAAGUAUUUAAUUGGUAUCGCUUUGGUCCCUUAACUAAAAAAAAUUUGUUUGACUACUUUAAGUUUUUUUUAGUCUCGUUUUGGUCCUUUCUGUUAGUUUAUGUUAGGGUUAAAAAAAAAGUUAACUCCUGGACACGUGUCACCUUGUCAUUGGCUCUGAGUUUUUUUUUACAAAAAAAAUUAUUAUUUUUAAAAUAUAUAUAUUUUUUAAAAAAAAAUCCCAAAGCCAACGACAAAGUGACACGUGUCCCAGAGUUAACAUGUGUCACCUUGUCAUUGGUUCUGUGAAUUUUUAAAAAUAAAAUAAAAUAUAUAUUAAAAAAUAUUUUUUAUAAAUAAAAUAUAUGUUUUUUUGUAAUUUUUUUCUCAGAGUCAAUGUCAAGGUGACACGUGUCCACACUUAACGUUUUUUAUUAAACUUAACGGAAACCUAACAGAAUGGACUAAAACGAGACUAAAAAAAAACUUAAAGUAUUCAAAUAAUUUUUUUUAGUUAAAAGACCAAAGCGAUAUCAAUUAAAUUCUUAAGGGACCAAAAGAGCAAUUAAGCUUUUUUAUAAAAGUUGAAACCAAUUUUCAAAACAUUGAUGAUUAUAGGUAUCCCCUGUCAAAAAAAUAAAAAAUACAAAUUGAAAAGAAUAAUUUUUCAAAAUGGAAGGAAUAGUAUUUUCUCUUACAAGUUGCAACAGACAUAUUCAGUCACCACGCAAGUGCGCGUGAGUCACACCUUUUCUGCCAACCAAAAAUCAAAACUCUCGUGCUUGACAGCUAUUAUUCCCUUCGUUAGAUAGUACUUGAUUAAUCGAUGUAAACAUAAAAUGAACUAAACAAAUAUAAAAAAAUACAAAACCACUUGCAAAAAAACAAGUGAACACAAAAUAAAGUCAAGGCUAUUCUUGUCAAUAAGACUAUGAAAAUAGAAUCCAAAGGUUCAAAUCGCGCGUGGAAAAAUAAUUGGUGCGUCACAAUCAUCUGUUUCAGAAUAGUAUCAUAGCACGAGCCAGCCAAUCCCAGCCUUUCAAUGUCCCCAAAUUAAUUUAAUUAAUUAGUUAAUUAAAAAUAGUCUUUUUCACAAAAAUAAAUUAAAAAUAUUCAUUAAAUUAUUUAAUGAACAUUUUCAUCUUUUUUUUUUUAAGGAAGGAAUAAGACCGUCUUAUGAUUGACGAAUGAGGAUGGAGUUUAGUAUGGGACAGAGGAGUUGUUUUCCAUUAUGGAAAAGUAAAUCUUAACCAUUAAAUUAAAGGGAACAUUGAUUUUAUUAUAGUUUCUCUACACUAAAUUUAUUCCCCUUUAUCUUCAACCUUACAAUCAUCAACCAACACAAAUAAAUCCCACCAGCACCAUCGAUUUUGGCAUUAACUCUUCAUUGUAAUUGCUUGAAAUUACCACAACAAACCAUUUUUGUUCUAAUGGAAUCAACAAUAACAUUCCUUUACUAAAACAAGUAAUUAUGGCAAGAUGAGAUGAGACAAACCUUGGCUGGUUACCAUUCCAACAACUUAAUGAGACAAAUCUUCACAAACAGCUCUAAAUAUUUUUCUUCUCUCUUCCUACAUUCUUUACUUCAAUUUUCUAUGCUAAAUGGGUCACUAUUUUCUCUUCGUUUUUGUUUUAUCUGUAAAUCAAACUUUCUCUGAAUCAAAUUUUUUUAUGCUUUUUUGGUAUUUUUUUCAAUUAAGUUUUAAUAAAUGAAUUAGUUUGAAUAAGUUUUUUUCUAUAAACAGAAAACAAAAAAUGGCGUGAAUUUAUGUGUUGUUUCUAUGACUGAUUUUUAAGAAGGACUAUGAGUGAUUUUUAAUGUCAAUUUUAUUUCCAUUUGAAAAAGAAAGAAUGAAAGUGAUGGGAUUCAUCUGCUGGUGGCAGUGGGUCAAGUUCAGUGCCAUGGAGGUUGAAGACAAUGUGAAAAAAAUACAGUGGAGUGAUAAAAUUAGUGUUCCUAUUUAAUCUAAUGGUUUAAACCAAACUUUCCUAUGGUGGAAAAAAACUAGCCUUUUCCAGACUAAAUGACACCACGAAUGAGUGAUAUAACUAUGAGAUUAAUCCUCACCAAAAAAAAACUAUGAGAUUAAUUUUUUAAGUGAUACAAUUCUAAAGAUAAUUUAUUAGUGUAAGAAGAUUAAUUUCUUUAUAAGUGAUAUCACCGAGACUAAAAGUACAAUUGUUAUAGCUUUUUUUUUUUUAAAAUAAUAAUCACUUUUAAUUUUUUUUAAGAAGUUAAAUUAAUCUACUUAAAUUGACUUUAAGGAAAAUCGAACUUGAGACCUCGAGAAGGAGUACACAUCCAAUUUCCAAACCAAUACCACCAGACCAACUUAAAUUGGUUCACUUUUAAGAAUAUUAUAUACAUUUGUUCAAAAAAAAAAAAAUUAAAUCAAAACCUAAAAAAAAUAAAAUCUAAAAACACCUUCAAAUUAGAAGUCAAUAAAAGUAGCUUUUUAAAUAAAAAAAUGAACCAAGAGAAAAAAAAUAAGGGUCAAAUGAUUGAACCAAGUUUAUAACAAAAAUUUGUUUUAUACAAUUGUAUUCAAACGAAAUGAAUAUUAUUUUUCUAAAAAAGUAAUUUUUACUACGAUAAACAAACACAAAGUAGAUUAUGAGGUUUACAAAAUAUCUAAAAAUUAAUCUCUAAAUUAUUAAAUGUUAAAAUCACUUUUAUUUUAAUCCGUAGUAAACGAGUUCUAAUUUAUCGAUUAAGAGAAGAAUCAAGUUCAUCCACAUACGCAAUCCAACUUUUUAUUGUCUAUUUACAACGUUUAAAGGAUGAAGAUUUAGUUUGGUAAUUUAUAAUUUUUUUUUCAGCCCAAUCUAAUCAUUGAUAAAAAUAAAAACUACAGUAUUGUUUGCAUUUUUAUACCGUUAUAAUAAAAAAAACUAAUUUAUCUUUGAUAAGAAUAUGAUAGAAAUCACUUUAAAUUUUAUUUUUAAAGUCAUUGAUUUGAAUCGCAAGAAAAUUGUAUAUAAUCACAUAUAAAGGUGAAAAUAGGUUAGGUUAAACGGCAAGGCCCAAGUCUAAUUUGUCAAAAAUUUAAAACCGUCUUAAUUAACUCAUAAUGAAUAAUAGGUCUUUUACCACUUUAAAUUUUAUUUUUGUCCGGCUGAAGCAUGGCAUAAGAAAAUUGUAAAAAAUUAAUUCAGGUCUUCACUCUUCUUCUUUCAAAUUUUUUUGUUUGGGUCUUCACUCAUAUUCAAAUGUAUAAUGGCAAAUCCGUACAAUUUAGGGGGCAAAUUUGUGAUUUCCAGAACUAAAAAUAGUUAACCCACACCGUCCACUAAAACAAAAAACUGCUAUUUCUUCCUCUCAUUCACAUCCACCCUUUACAACAUUUCUCACACACACUCUCUCUCUCUUCUCUCUUCUCUCUUCUCUCUCUCACUCACUUUCUCUCUCUUCCUUCAACCAGAUUCAUCCAUGGCAACAGCACCAACACCACGUGAAGAGUUCGUCUACAUGGCGAAACUCGCCGAACAAGCCGAACGUUACGAAGAGAUGGUCGAUUUCAUGGAAAAAGUAACCGCAGCCGUCGAAAGCGAAGAACUCACCGUCGAAGAACGUAACCUUCUCUCCGUCGCCUACAAAAACGUCAUCGGAGCACGACGUGCUUCGUGGCGUAUCAUCUCUUCCAUUGAACAGAAGGAAGAAAGCCGUGGUAACGAUGAACAUGUUACCGUGAUUCGUGAUUACAGAUCUAAGAUCGAAGCUGAACUUUCCAAUAUCUGUAACGGUAUUCUUAAGCUUCUUGAUUCUCGCUUGAUUCCUUCUGCUGCUUCUGGUGAUUCUAAGGUUUUCUACCUUAAGAUGAAAGGUGAUUAUCAUAGGUAUCUUGCUGAGUUUAAGAGUGGCGCUGAGCGUAAAGAUGCUGCUGAAAGUACUCUUACUGCUUAUAAAUCUGCUCAGGUCGAUCUUUUUCUCUGAGAUCUAACGUUAUAUUUAUGGAUCUGUUUUUUCAAUUAUUUUUUCAUUUUUGUCUUUAUUUUGUUGUUAAUUUCAUUAAUUAUUUCAUUAAUUAUUGUUAAUUUGAUGAUUUAUAUUCCAUUGUUUGUUUGACAUAUUGCGAUCUAUAACUGACUUUAGGUUAGGAAAAUUUAUCGUAGUUGCUGUGAUUUGUGUUUUUUGAUGGAAAAUGAAUAUAAUUUGUGUUAAUUAGGUUUUUUUUAUGCAAAAUUUUUGUUUGAGUGAUGUGAUUGGUUUGUUUUUUUUUUUAGAGAAAAUGAUGUAAGCAUUCACUUGAUUUAACGAUUUUCUUAAUUAGGUUAAAAUAAAGGAAUCUCUAUGAUAAAAGUGAUUUUUGAAAUGAGUUGAAAAUAGGGUAUCGUUUGUUUUUGGUUUAAACUGAAAGUCUUGUAUGAUGGAACGUGUGCUAGUUUAUUUUACUUGUUUAGAAUAGUUGAUUAUGAGAUGUAUAUUUAGUGUUCUUGUUUUGUUUGAAGCGUUUAUAGCUUUUGUCCUAUCAUGUGCAAUGUAUAUUUGGUUUUCGAAUCUCUGUAGACCGACACCUCUAAUCGACGUGUCUGGUGUCUCUAUGUUCAAUUAAUUUCAUUUUCUCACCUUUUUAACUGGUGUUGUUUUGUUAUUGUUGUGUCCGUUUGGAUUUGAAGAUUUGCGAUCUGAUGUUUUAAUUUGACUCUGCUUGUAGGACAUUGCUAACUCUGAGCUACCACCAACUCACCCAAUCAGGCUUGGUCUUGCUCUGAACUUCUCAGUGUUUUACUAUGAGAUUCUUAACUCUCCUGAUCGUGCUUGUGGCCUUGCAAAGCAGGUUAGUGUUCUAGAUACUGAAUAAUGGGAGAUGAUUUUCAUUUGGUUUGUUGUUCCUUUCAAUUAAAGUUUGCAGUGGAUUUUGUGAGUAAGUAUUUGAAUUCUGUUUAAUGUGAAUUAGAUCAAUGUUUUAGUUUCAUUAAUGUUGAUGUGAAUUUGUUAGUUUCUGGUAAAAUACAUAGGAAACUUUUAAUUAUUGUUCUUCAAUAAGUUUAGUGUAUCAUGUAUAUGAUUCUGUUCUGUUAUGAAUGGUGUGUGCGCUAAUGAACUAUCCCGUUCUUUUUGUGUGCUAAUGAACAAUCCUGUUAUUUUCUUUAGGCUUUUGACGAGGCUAUUGCUGAAUUAGAUACAUUGGGAGAGGAAUCAUACAAGGAUAGCACUUUGAUCAUGCAACUUCUCCGUGAUAACCUCACCCUUUGGACCUCUGACAUGCAGGUAUGAUAUUUUGUAUCUUGUAAUCUCUUAAUUAACUUUUUUACUUACAAAUCAUAUUCUGUUUAUUGAUUUUGGUUUAUAUUUUGUUUGGGUUUCAGGAUGAUGGUGCAGAUGAAAUCAAAGAAGCCGCACCAAAAGGCGCCGAUGAGCAGUAAUCAUAUCGUAUUACUGCUAGUUAGUUAUUAACUUCUCCUCUAUAUCAUGUUUUGAAAGGGGAGAAGGUACUGAUUGAAAAUGUUGAUGCUACAGAGAUUUUAGGCAUUCAUGGUCUAUUUUAUGAUAUAUGGAUGCACUGGGCCAUUUUAGUUUGUUCUUCCAUUUGUGUACGUGUUUCUGAAUUGCAUGUUUUCUUAAUGUCACUGAAAUUUCUAUCAUAUGAAAUUGGUCUAAUAACAACUCUAUUAUAGCAAAACUUCAGCUGAUUUUUUUAUUUUUAUUUAGGCGAUGAUGUGAUCUUUAUUUGUGUUUAUAACAAAGCUCAAAAUAUACGUUGGGCUUCAUUUCAAACUCUUUACUCUUCCGAAAGGGGUUGAGCGCUGUUUGAAUGCAGUACUGUUUGAUUUUAAAAAUAUGAUUUCAAAUUUCCAUACCUUGUAUGGUACGUUGAUAUUAGCUGUUGCAUUCGUAAAUAAAUAGUAAAUGAAUGGAUAUUAUGGGGAAAUUGGAGAUGCAGUCUUAGCCUGUGUGAUCCAUGAUCAUGACUAAAUUUAAAAAGUUCAUUUUCAAUAAAUCUCCGUUGAUUGCAAAAAUAUUCCCCCUAAGAGUUCAAUGACAAUAAGCUGUUGGUAUAAUAUGCCUCUAAUUUGACAUUCGAUGAGAGGCCAAUGGCCAUACAAAAAUCAGGUGAUUAGAAGUAUAACCUGCUGAUUAUAAUCUUUUGUUUGGGAGGUUCAAUUAAUGUAGGUACGUAAUAAAUUGUUAGUUAAUUGCUUAUAAAAUUGAACAAAACUGCUAGUUAAUUGAAAGUAUAGCCAACAGGAAAAUAGUCGAGACACAUGAAAUCUAUCCAUGCGAGUCAAACCUUACAAAGCAUGGGUCAUUGAGUCAUCUCUAUUAUUGCGCAAGCUGGACCUUGUACUCGAACAUUGAUGACAGGUCAUAAAACACCGAUAAGCAUAAAAACAAUGAAGAGAAAAAAAGGAAGAGAGAAUAAGGGUAUAAUGUGAAUAUGAAAAAAAAUAUUUGUCAAAAAAUUGUCUUAAAAUUAUUGUAUAAAUAUCAUUUUUUUUAGAAGAGUAAAUAAUAACGUGGUCAAACAAAAACAAGAAUCAUAAACUUUCUUAAGACCAUAAAUUGCCACCACAUGUGGUUGUAAAGUAGAUGCUAUGAAUGUCAACUGACGGAGGGGAUCAUAAAAGAUGUCCACCACAUGUGGUUCUAAAGUAGGUCACUCUGCUUGUCAAAACAAUUCAUGAUGAGUACAAAUACUUUUAUUUUCGAUCGUGUUUACAUCUUUCGUAUCUUUUUUCUGUUUUAACCUUUUGUGCGUUAAUCCACCAUGCUUUAAUUCUCCAAGAGCUUCAAAGUUAGAAACUAUUUUGAUCAACGGAGUGCACAAUAAUAAACUAUUUUAUGAUUUCUCUAUAUUUAAGAAUUAUUGUGCCUAUUUAUUACACAUUUAAAAACGAAAAUGAUUAUUUGCCCUCUAAUGUUUUAUGACGUUCCUACCAUCAAUAAUAAUGAUAAAAAAAAAUAAAAAAAAAACUAAUUUCAAUGGGUUAUAGGCUUAUAGCAAACAAAUAAACACCAUGAUUUCAAGAUUAACAGAUUAAACUUAAGUAUAACAAGAAACAAGAAGCUCCGAGAAUCAUUUGUUUGCUUUUAAACAAGAAAAAAAACCGUAUUAAAUUUUAAAGGUAAAAUAUCACCCAUUUCUUUAAUAAAAGAUGAUAUAAAAAUUUUAAAUUUAAUGUACUAAACUUUAGUUAUUUUUGUCAACUAUUUUAAUGGUUGUAUUACAUUUUAGGGUGCUGCUAACCGGGGCACUGGUUAAGAAGCAAUAAAUGAAUAUAUUACAUUUAUUUUACCUUAAUUAAAGUGAUAAAUAAGUUAAUUAAUUAAAAUAAAAGAGAGUUGUAUUUAAUACUAUAUCAAAUUUCCUUUCCUUUAUUUUUCUUGUGAUUUUAGUUUUGGUAAUUUUUUUCACGUGGAUUUUACUUCCUUAUCCUAUUAAAAAUAUGAUUUCUUUUCCUUUAAAUAAGUCAACUAAUUAAAAUAAAAGAGAGCUGUAUUAUUUUUAUUUCUUAACAAUUUUUUUUUCACUUUUUCCGUAAAUUUUAUAUGAAUAAUUUUUUUUCUUUCGAACCUCCGUGAAUUUUUUAUGAAUCGUUUAAAAAAAAAAAAAAAGAUUCAAUGCCUGUAUCACAAAAAAGGAAAUUUGACAACAUAUUGAAGGCACAUUUUCCUUAUUUUAAUUAGUUGAUUUAUUUCUCACUUUAAUAGAGGUAAAACAAGUGGGAUUGAUUCAUUUAUUGCUCUUUAACCAGUGUCCCCCCCCCCCCCCCGGGGGCACUGGAUAGCAUUGCCCUAAAUUUUAAAGGUAAAAUAUCACCUAUUUCUUUCUGGAUUUUUCUAACCUAUGCAACAUUAUAGGAUAAGGUGUAGCUAAUGUUCCACUAUCUUUAACAUAAACAAUCACAUUGAUUAUCCUUUUCUUGAAAAAGGAUAAUUUUCUCUAUCCUAUUAAUCAUUCAAUUUUUUAUUUUUUAUAACUUCAUAUUACAAAAAUAAAGUCUACUUAUAAUAUCAAAUGCAUGGAAAAAAUGCAAAUGGAACGGCAUUUGUAAAACAAAAAAAAUGAAACUAAAUGGAUAGAAAGUACAUGAGCACAAAAGAAGAAAAUUGUUACAUAUAUUAACGUAGAAGAAGAUAAGACUUUUUUUUUGUUAGUACAAGAAGAAGAUAAGACUUUAAUUUCAUGAUGAUUUCUUUUUGGAGUUCUAUAUUAACGCAGAAGAAGAAAAUUGUUACAUAUACUUUCACACAAUUUUUCAAAUGGAACCAUGACUAUUCUAUUUUUGUCCAAUUGCCAUAUCUUUGAAGAAAAAAAAUUAAAGCAGAAGAAGAAGAAGAAGAUUGUGUUACAAAUGCCGUUUCAAAUGGAUGAGUUUUGUCACCUAAUAUAGAGAAUCAUGUUCCAAUUUUUUGUUGUUACAAAUGUUGUUCCAUAGGUAAUUUUUUUUGUUAAAAAUAAAAAAUAGAAUGAUUAAUAAGAUUGUGAAAAUUGUAAUUUUUUUAUAAGAAAAUUAUCAUUUUUCAUAAAAAGGAUAAUCAAUAUGAUAGUUUAUGUUAAAAAUAGUGAGACAUUUUUUAUGUGAAAGAGAGCUUUCAUUAAACUACGUCUGACAUCAAAUUAAAAGAUGAGACGCAAUACAAGGUGGUGAUUCAUUAAUCCAUACAAAAUCAUCAUUUUGAGUUGCAAACUUUGUUAAAUAGUGAGCAGUUUGGUUUGCUACCCUUCUUAUAUGUAGGGUCUGUUUGGUUAACCCCAAAAAAGAGCUUUUAGCUUAUAGCUUAUAAGCUCUUUUGACAAAAAAAACUCUGUUUGGUAACACUUUUUCACCAUGAGCUUAUAGCUUAUUUCACGAGCUUAUAAGCUAUUUUUCAGAAGCUAUUCCAAGUAGCGUUUGAGCUUAUAGCUUAUAGCUUCUCACCUUUUCUUCCAAUUUUACCCUUAUUACUUUCAUUUAAAUUGUAUUUUUAUCCAUUAUAAUUUUUAUAAUAAGCUACGUAAUAAAGACUACUAUCCCUUUAUUCCAAUUUUUGUAUAUAUAUCAGCUGAUCUUUUUUUUUUUUUUGAAAAAAUAUAUACCUUCGUUUUUUUUACGAAACAAAAUACUAUUAUUCUAUUAGUGUUACUUUUUUUUUUUUGAGAUAAAUGUUAUUUUCUUUAUUCUCAGUUAUUAGUAUUACUCUAUCAGUGCACCUUUUUUUUUGUUUUUGAGGUAAAUGUUAUUUUUUUUAUAAAGUGGAAACACUUAAAUGAUAAUAAAUAUAAGAUAAAAUUUUAAUGAAUAAAAUUUAAUUUAAUUUAUAAUACAUAGGAUAUAUUAAAUUAAUAAAUUUAAAGUAUUUUUAAAAAAAAAAAUUAGUUUACAAAAUUACAAAUACUUAAAUUAAUGAUAUAAUUUUUAUUAUGAAUUAAGAAUAACCUUUAUGUCAUUUUACAUUUAUCAGCUAGUUGAACCGCUAUUUUUACCAAACACUUCAGUUAGUUUAUCAGCUAAAAGCUAUCAGCUAGCUUAUCAGUUAUCCGCUAUUUUUACCAAACAGAACCAUACUAAUUCUAAUGAAUUAAAACUAGGUACCAGCCUCAUACAAUCAGCGAAAAUGACCUCUAUAUAUGAAAAAUUUAUUUUCUUGACAAUGAUGCUUUCAAUUGCAUUAAAAGAGUCAGCUUCAACAAUUAGAUUAAGGAAAAGCAUAUCUCUUGCGUUACUAAACCCGGUUUCCAUACAUUUAAUACUAUAACUACACUCAAAUAUAUACAAACCAAUUAUAUGCUUCUUGAAUUACUUUUGUUUCUUCCAAAAUUAAAUUCAUACAUACUACUGUCUACUACUAUUAGUCUUCUUUGUUAAUCACACCCACACAAAUGAUUUUUGGAUUUGUGACAAUUGCGUCACUCUGAAUAUCUGACUUGAUUGAAGAAUGAAACUGGAUAUCAAACUUGUGAGCAUGCAUGAUCUGAAGUAAAAAAAUACGACAACUUAAUAAGUGUUAAAAUACUCGUAUGGAUAGAGUUCUAGGAGGAGUUGAUCUCAUUGAAUGUGCCAUGCAUAUAUGACCUGUUGUAUCUAUAACAAUAGGAAACAUGAAAUUGGUGAUCGAAGAUUGGAAAUGGAACUGGAUACCAAACUUGUGAUCGAGGAAUAGUUGGACCCAUUGUAUAAGUAAUAUAAAAUAACAAAACAAAAUUUAAACUAAUUAUUUUAUGCAUGUGAGACUCCUGUAUAUGGAAAAUAAUGCUGGAAAAAUUUCAACUAAUUAUGCUUAACUUUUCACAUUACCUUGGAUAUGCCAAGGCUUGAUUGUAAUUUACUUGACCAUUGUUGCUACCUAUUCGAUCAGUAAUCUGAAAAGAACAAUAAAACAACUUAAACAUUGUUUUCAUUGAAUUAGUAAAAAACACAUAUAUUAGUGAGAAUAUUUUUUUUCUGAUGAUUUAAAAAUAAUAUUCACGUAACAUUUUCUUUUUGGUAUUUAACAUGUUAUUAGAUGUCUAUUUUGAAUGUGUUAUUGGAUCAUUCAAUGAAAAUAGCUCUUGUGAAUUCCAAUUAUAGGGCAAUCAUAUACCAAAAUUCUAAAAGACAAGUGAUGAUUUUGUGAAUACAAACAAUGAAAAAUUACCUCAUAAGAAAAAUAUGAAUCAUGAUGAAAGAAAAGAUACUCCUUUUCUUUUGAAGAAUUAGGGUGCGUUUGACCCUACUUUUUUGAGGUUUAAAAAUUACUUUAAGAAUAAAGUUAAAAAUUAAAACUUAAAAGGGAAAGUUAAAGUUGUUUGCUAUUUGUUGUUUUUUUUUCAAUUUUAUUAAUACUUUUAAGUUGGCCCUAAUUUUAUAAAGUUUUUUUCUUUCUAUUUUGGCCUUAUUAUCAACAUUGUUAAUAUGUAACUAACUAAUCACUUGUCAAAAAAAAAAAAAAAACUAACUAAUCAAAAGAGGAAAACUUGGUUAGUGCUUCAAAACUCCUUGGAUAGUCCCAUUAAGAGUUAGUUGACCCAUUGUAUGUGAUAUGAAAUUGACAAAAAAAAAAUGUACAAAAUAUUCAAGUAAUGAUAAAAGUUUUGGAAAGAAUAAUUGAGAUUUUAAAUCAAUUUAAGGAUAAUUAUGGCAAUGCAAUAAAAUUCUAAAGAAAUUUUCUCCCCUCUUCUUCUAUAAAUUGAACCAAACACGCCAAAUUUAAAAUAUUCACUCCUCUCCCCUCCAAAACUCUCGAACCGUAAAACAAAAAGUUGUUUUUGAUAUGCAUGUGAGACUCCCGUUGUUUUGAAAAAAGUUAUCAUAUAUAGCAAAAUAAUUAUGAAAAAAAAUUAAACUUUAGGUUAAUUAUCCUUAUUUGUUCUUCAAAAAAAUUAUCAUUAUUUGUCAAGAAAAAGUUAAUUAUAGAUAACUUUUCACAUUACCUUGCUGACGAUGAGAAUAGAUUGUAGUUUAUAUUAGAAAUCGUGGUUGGGCCUAACACAACCCCACAAAACCGGCUUGUGAGGUGAGGAUUGCCCUCACUUAUAAACAAAUUGUCAGGCCAACUCCUAACCGAUGUGAGACUCUUAACACACCCCCUCACGCUCAGGAUUGCACAUCUGAAGUGUGAACAUAAAUGACGGGUGACCCGAUAACGGAAACCUGAUAACAGGUGGCCCAAAGAAUCGUGAAGAGGCUCUGAUACCAUAUUAGAAAUCGUGGAUGAUGUUAGAUAGAGGGAGAAUCAAGUUUUUGGAGAGGAGGUCUGCCUCCGAAGAAAGUUGUGAAGAUCCAUAUGAUUGGGUACACAGAAGUUGGCUUUGGGACUGAUUUUGUUCCUCUCGAGGCAAACUAACACAAACAUAAUAAAAUUAGUUAUAUAUUGUUCAUUGAUGUAAAAUAGUUAUAGAAUUUUCAUGAUAGCAAUAACAAACCUUCCCUUGAAUAGAUUAAUCUCAUGAAUGUCCUCAUUGAUGUACAACUUUGUGAAAGUAUAAGUAUUUGAAACACUUAGUGGGAAGCGUCCUGUUAUAAGUUUGAACAAUAUAAGUUAGUAUUAUAAUAUCAGAACUACAUGUAGGAAACACAUAUGGUGAUAGCUAACAGAUGUAGGGGUAAAACCUUCUUCCUUGAUCUUGGUAUACUUCAGCAUCACAACCACGGAUCCACCUUCUUUCCUUUCACUAUUAUAUUUAAUGAACUGUGCAGCAUAUUCUUCCCAUAAAGUGCAGUUAAUCGAAAUGUCACUGCAUGAUGAGAGUAGUUAUGUUACUACCAUUAUAAUGUACAUAGUAAAGUUUAUAAAAUAGCAGUGAUAUUUAUAGUUUUCAAGGGAAAAUGUCAGUUGACAACCAAAAUUCCUCACCUAAGGUCUUUCAUAGUAAAGUUGACCUGGAGUUUUUUCCCAGUACCUUGGUUCAGUUGACAAAAGCCCAUUUCCUGAACAACUCCAAUGGCAUCUUGAAAAAAAAAAUAGGGCAAGAUUCUUAGAAACAAACAAAUAAAAUAAAAUGAAUAAUAACAAUUUAUUAUAAACAACAAUGAACUCACUAACUAAAAUAUCAGGUUUCCAUUUUCCAGAUAUAAUUUCAGCAAACGGCUUGAAUUUGGUGUCAGAUUGAGGAACAUCAUGAACAUUGAUGUCUUCAGCAGUAGUCCCACCGGUUCAUUUCAAAAGAAACUUAUGUUCUAAGGCUUUGAACACUAAAUCAUUGCUAACCACUUGAAAGUUGCAUAAAGUGUAAGUAGCGUUUUCUUCUAAGAUUUUGUCAUAGGUAGCUUUGUAUGUCGUAGGAAUAACAACUUGUAUGUCCCUACCCUGAGAAGGAAACAAACACACCAUUAUAUGUUAAUAAAUUAAGAGUGAAUAAAUUAGUGAAGCAAAGAAAUAGUAGCAUGAAUGGAAAUAUAUAAUAAGACCUUAACAUCAACAAUAAUCAUCUCCAGAUGUUCCUUGCCAUCCUUAACAACAGUCCACUUGUCUUUGACUCUAACAGUUAACUUCCAAAAAUCUGACUUAUCUGUGACAUCACCAAUAAACUGGCAUGGUCUUUCCAUUUUCAGAUCUACUUGAUAAACAGAAGAUUGUCAGUAUGUUUGGCAAACUUAAACAAACACAACAUAUGUUUGAAAGAGAGAGAAAAAAUUGAAAACAGAUAAUAGAGUAAAAAAAGCAGAUGUGAGUAUGGAAGGCAAACAUACAUAUAAAAGAGUAUAAACAGAAAACCUAAUAAAAAAUAGAUCAUAAAGUAAAUGAAUCAUAGAAAAACUUUAGAUAGGAACAUGUAUCAUUGUUUUAGGAAGAACCAAUCAACUAAAAAAAUAGAAGAGUAGUUUACCAGAUUCAAGAUGAGAGAGGGGCGUGAAUGACAAUGUUUGGUAGUAGUGUUAAAGUAAGAUAAUAGUUGAAAGUGAGCUCAUAGAGUAUGUUGAUUGAUUGCUAGCUGUUAAAUGGAUAUUUGAACCAAAAAAUGUACUUUUCAAAUUUCCCUUUAAAAAGUAAUGAGUUCAGUUUAGUUUAGUUCUAAUGGUAUGGCAAGUUAGAUACAUCUCCAGAUAAAGUAAACCAACUGUUAUGUUUCAGUUAGAUGUCAUCAGUUAUCCUUAAGUGAUGUCAUCCAAUUAAAAAUGUAAAAUAAUAGACCAUAUUUACCCCUAAAUUUGGGAUUUUUACAUUAAAAGAGAAAAGAGCAUAUUGAGGUUUUCCACAACAUGUUCUUUUCUUAUAUUAAAGGAGAUGUUGAUGCAUAAACUUAUUCAAAAAAUAAAAAAAUACACAUAACCUAACUAUAAAACAAGGACGAAAAAAGUUUAAAAACUAAAAAUUGAAGAAAAAUUAAAACGAAAAAUUGAAAUAUUUAUAAUUUUCAUAGAUAAAAAUAUAUUUGUCCUCGUAAAAAGAUAAAAAAUAUAUUUAAUUUUGUUUUUGAAGGAAAAAAUAUAUCUAUUUUAAUAAAAGAAAUAAUAAUUAAGAAAUAUGAAUGACACCUUCUCGAGUCGAAUACAGCCAGCGUAAGUUCACCAAACAACACAUUCUGUGUUCUGACCUUAUAACUCUUCACUCCUGUUGAACCCAGCCGCCCAACCAAAAGCUUCUUUCAUCAAUGGCGGAAACUCCCAACAGCUCCCAAACUCUCGCUGAGGUAUCAAUUUCUCUUCCUUUUACUUAUCAAUUUCCAAUUCUACUUAAAUACCUCCAAGGAUCUUUGUUUUAAUUCCAAUCUAUUUAUUUUUCGAAUGAAAAAAAUUAUAAAUUGAACCUUGAUUAUGUUAUUUUGGUGCAAUUCUCAGUGAUUUCUCCUAGAUCUUGAUUAGCUUCAAUUGAUUUAGUUUUGUUUUUACACUUCUAAAUGUUGGCAUGAAAAAUUAGAAUUAGCUUAGUCUAUGUAAAUUUGUAGUCUUUGUUAGCUAACGAAGAUUCUAAGCUCAGAUCUAUAUCAUGGACGCAAAAUAAAGUCCAUUUUGUUCAAUCAAUGAUAUCUAUGCAGCACUGACACUUCUGAUUGAAGGCGUGUUGAGUUGACCCAUGUAGUUAUAUUCAAUCAUUUAUAAUUUCUUCAAUUAUUUUCGACGUGCUAGUGUCGUAUCUGGUAUCAGUGCCAUCUGUACGAGUUAGAUAGUUAGAAUGAUAAGAGGAUUGAAAUAUUGAUACUAAUUUGCAAGUUUUAGUGUGCAACUAGAUGAGUUGCUAUUGUUAUUUAUUUUGGAUGUGAUAUUGUUUUUAUGAAGAAUGGGUAUGAUGCGGUGCUAGAUUUUGUGUUUUUUGCUGGGUAGUGUGUAGUGAUAGAAUUUUCCCUUGAUUUCCUCGGCUUGAAGCUGGUUUUCUAAUGUUAUGUAAGAUUUGAGAUGAAGAUAGUGACAAAAAUGUUUUUGGUUUGUAGGAAUACUAUGUGAAGGACAAACAAGAGAAAAAAGAGGUAGCUGAAAAACCAGUUGCUGUCGAAAAACCUGUUGCAGUCGAGGAAGUUGAAAAGCCAAAGGAGGCUACUCCUGUGGAAGCUGUUGUUGAGAAAACUGUAGAAGAAACAAUUCCUGCUGCCCCUGUCGUUGCUGAAGAAAGCAGUGAAGUCACCCCUCCUGCUGCUGAAGAAAACGCUCAAGAGGAAAGUAGUGAAACUGUUGUCGAAGAAAAUUCUGGUGAUCAAGAGGAAGCCGAAGAGAAACCUGAAAUUAAGGUGACAUUUAUUUAACUGAAUCAUCAAUCUGGAAUUGUUGCUUGAUUUCAUCAUAAUUAGAGUUGAUGCUCCUUUCAAUAUCUUGAUAUUUGAGCCAUUAUUUUUCAGCUUGAGACUGCUCCAGUAGAUUUCCGUUUCCCAACUACUAAUCAAACAAGGCAUUGCUUUACCCGAUACAUUGAAUAUCAUCGGUGAGUUAUGCACCGUUUUUAUUUUUAUGGAGAUUUUAACAUACACUGAAAAGUUUUACCGUUCUUAUAUUUUAACCGUUGAAAUUCAUGUGCAGAUGUGUAGCUGCAAAGGGAGAUGAUGCACCAGAAUGCGAUAAGUUUGCUAAGUAUUAUCGUGCUCUUUGCCCUGGCGAAUGGGUAUGUAUUUCGAUAAUGAAUAUUUUUUAUCAUCUGCUAGGCACUAGGAUCUGCUUGUCCAACAAGAUUUACUUACAGAUAUAUCGUCUUGCUAAUGUCAAAUUUCUAUCUGUUGAUUGUCUAUCUGGACUCUUACAUGGAAAUUGAAUAGCAUCAUUUGCCUUGUUGGUAGUAGUAUAAUUCUUAUGAAUAACUUGCAUCUUGUUUCCUACAACUUAGUUUUUCUUUUGUUUUUGACCUUUUGUUACAUUUAACAUGAUAUCUGACUUUAUGCCAAAUCAUAAACUUUUCUGCAAAAAAAUUGCAAUGAAAUAAAAUUUUAGUUAUUAAACGUGUUGGCUUUUUUAUGGGGAGGAAAUUCUUCUUUUAAGGCUGUAUAGGGAGACUGAGCUCUUAAGCUGCUAAAUAUUCAUGUAUAUCAAUCUUUAACUUUCUUCAUGCCUUCAACUCUUGUGGCUUAACCACUUGGAAUUAGUUUAAUUUUUGAGAUGGUUGAUGCAUACUCAGGGCCCAAAAUUACUAAAAUGUGAAAAGGCAUAAACGGUGUGUCACACAUGACCACUGUUGUUAAAUGGCUGCCAUGGCAGAAUAGCUGACAAUCAGCACAAGAAAUUUGUGAAGGGAUACCUGCCAUGGCGCCGCCAUAAGCCGUAACGGCGUGUUUCUAUUGUGUAGUUUUGGCAUUCUUCAAUAUUCUGCUAUCCGCCAUUCACAACUAUGCAUAUUACCAAAUUAGAGGCGAUGGAACAGAUCAGAUCUAGGAGACAGGAUGGCACUAUUAACCGCCCAGUUCGCAAUAUUAGUGGGGAGUGUGUGUAGGUGUCAUUAGAAGGUUUAUGUUGGGAAUUACUUGGGACUGUUUGGCGAGAUUGGGCACUCUCAAAUUGCCUAAGCAUUUUAAUUUCUUAUUUAUGCAUUUUCUUCUUGUUGUAGAUCCUAGCAAUUGUAUUACCUUGAUACCAACCUGAAUUUUCACCAUUAAUACAAUUUUUCAAGUGCUUCGCUUUACCCACAUUUCUAGUACUUAUCAUACGACAUUAUACUCUAUCCCCAGAGCUCGAAUGGUCAUUAUGCCUGCAACAAUGGAAUCCUAAGUCGAGAGUUUUGAGAGUGAAUACUUUUGGAAGUCUGUUACAAAUAAAAGUUCUGAAAAAGCUGUUACAUGAAUUUGUAGUCAAGGUCAAUCUUGAUGAACUUCAACAAGGUUCAUGGUAUGGACAAAGAUAGGAAGGUUAAUCUCUAUUGUAUGGCAAGGGGAAUAAAGGGGUGGUUUGAGUCUUCACUUGAGGUAACCACUUAGGGAGGGACUGUUCAUGUGGAGAGAUGUUUGAAGCUGAAUUUGUGCAAGUUGAGAAGCUUGACUCUCUUGUAUUGCAUUGGGGAUUGAUCAUUGAAUUGGUAUAAAUGGUCUGAGGAACAGUCGUAAGGAUUAGUUAGGAGGAGUUCAAUGGAGCAGUGAUUCACCCUUUAAACCUGGAUAUUCUAGAGUGCCAUUGGACGGUUGUUUAGUAUAAAAAACAAUCUCACGGGUGGAGGAGUAUAGAGGGAUAUUUGUAAUAGCUUCUGUUGCACUUCAUGUUGAAGGGCAUUUUCCUAUAUGGUAUAAUGGAAGAAAUCCGCGCAGAACUGAAGUUGCAGGACACAAUCUUAGAUAGUUGAUGGUCUUAGCAUUGCUGCGUGAAGAAAAAAACUCUGCUUCAAGACGUGGACCAGAGAUUCACCAUGAGAGAAGGGCACAGAUUCAGUGGAAACCAAACCAUUGAUGGAGUUAAUACAGAGAAUAAAUUGUGUUGGUGUUAGGGGAUUGACGCAGAUGGUAAAUUUCAUGAGAAGUUCAAGGAGAAGUGGGGCUUACCAGUUAGUGCUGGUAUAUAGGAUGCGCCACCAUAUGAGGAUGUCGGGAAAUGUUUGAAUUGGGGAUAAGACCUGUUUCAUAUCCUUUUGAAGUGAGGAGGAGCUAACUUAUAACCAAUCCUUUAAGACAUGGAGAAAUUUUGGAGAAAGGUGGGGUCUAGGGCUAUGGUAGGGAAUAAGGUAUUUGCAAGAUUUAUGCAUGAAGAUACAAGGAGUGGGAUUCGAUCAGAAUUUCUUUCUCCUGGAGUUAGGAAGGACUUCAGUAGUUUUAGGAUUGGAUUGGAUAUAAAGGGGGUAAGAUGGUGAUAUGAGAACAAUAGUUUGGAAGGUUUAUGUUAGAAGUAAGGGAAAUAGGCUGGGGGUUGACAAGGCCUGACUAGACCAGAUAGGAGUUAGGCAGCAGUUGAGCUGUCCUUGAGGAGAGUCCAGAGUCUCUAAUUUCUGUUAUAGCUCUGAUGUAAAUGGUUGUAAGCAUUCAACCUUUCAAUACUCACAUUGUGUAUAGUUCGGUAAUCUUGUUCAUUCAUUCAAUAAAGAAGAGUCAUUUUCCAUUCUUCAAUGGUGCUACUGUAACAUAAGGUAUUGUUGAGAGGGGAUUUUCCCUUUGCAAGAUACAAGCGAAGGAUAUUAUAUAGCUUAUAAACACGGAACAAAAGAAAAAGGAGAGUGACAGGAGCAGUUUUCCACAUUUAUAGAAAAAUAUCAGCUGAAUUUGAUGAUGUUUCUCAAUAACCAGAUGGCCUACCACCUAAUGCAACUUGGGUGAUGCAAUCUCAUUGGACUGGACUCAAAUUCUCAAGAUUCGUCCCUAUAUGUACCCAUACUACAAAAAAUAGGUGAAAAAAUUGUGAAGGUGAUGCUUUUUCUGCCUAGCACUAGCCCCUUUGGUAAUCCUAGCAUAUUAAUUAAGAAAAGAUGUUUGGUGGAGGGAUUCGUGUAGACUAUUUGGCCCUACACAGCAAAUGAUUCUCGAUAAAUUUUCAAUUCUCAUCAUAAUUGUGCUAAAAAUGAGUCCGGGGGUCCAAUGAUCAUUUCUACCAAAUAGGAUCUCAAAUUAGGGUACCAUCAGAUUCGCCCGAGAGAAAAUGACAUUCCUAAGGCAGUCUUUAGGACUCGUGAAGGUCUCUAUGAUUUUCUAGUUUGAUUAUCAAAAGAAGUUUCUAGGUAUGCCCUUUUGUUUAACUAAGCAUUGGGCACAUUACCAAAUUAUACUCUAUGUGAUGCGCCUGAUUUAGAAGAGAAGAUUACUGGCUAAUUGGCAUUAAUAUUUGUGUGCGGGGAUCUGUGUAAUGAGAGAGUAUAAGCAUGACUGUAAUGGGGGGAGACAAGUUAGGGAUAAUUAGUAAGGACUAUUGGGAGAGUCUGGGCCCUCUUGAAUCGCUUGGCCAUUUUUUGUUGCGUUUUCUUUUUUAGAAUCCAGAAACUGAAAUCACCUUGAUACAGGCCUGAAUUUUCUUUUUAUUAACUUUUUUCUCUCCUUCAACCAAUGUUAACAUUGAUCUCAUGUCUAACACUCAGUUUUCAUUGAUUUGCCCAUGCAUCAGGUUGACAGAUGGAAUGAGCAACGCGAGAAUGGAACAUUUCCUGGCCCGCUGUAAGUGGGAAUAUGUCCGAGAUAGAUGUGCACUUCACUUGCAGUAUUACAUUUAAAAUUGCAAGAGACAAACUUCCAAACACUUCAGGGAAUGUUCAAUGUUACGCAUUUGGUUAAUAAGAAAUUUUGCUUUUGUAUUUAAACCAGCUUGAGUUGUAAAAUUGCAGGAAAUGCUUCUGGUGAAAUGUCCAGAUAUGUGUCUUAUUAUUUACUAGAUUCUUAACAGAGGGAUUGUUGUUGGGUUUUUUAUGCCCCCAAAAUAAUAAAAGUUCCCCAAGUUAAACUGGGGAAUACCUGAAGACUCGGUAGGGACGUUCAAAGAACACUAACCCAGAAAUUGAGUUUAAACACAACACCACAAUAUACAAGGACAGUGUCAACCUCUAGAUCUAAUUCUUGUAACAAGGCCAUGGCAGUCUCUAGAUCUAGUCUUCAUAAAUCAUAAUGAUACAUGGUAGCCUCCCAUGUGUUGUGUUGCUGCCCAAAUGGCACUGUUGCACCCUGUUUCCCUUAUUACAGAAAUCAGAGCCUCAUAUGUUGUCUUAUUUUCCGCACCACAUUUUUCAGAAGUUUCCGACUUUUUUUUCUUUUGUUGCAAAUUUUGACCUUCCAGUUAAUAUAACCGGAUGAAAUUUGUUCGGAUUCUACAAUUUGAGGUUUAAAAUGCUCAAUUCAAUUUUUUUUCAAAACUUUUACACCUUCGGAUUGUUUAACCUUGAGAGGGUAAAAAAUCUGUAAAAAAAAAAUGAUUUUGGGUUUUUCUGUUUAAGAACUAUAGUGGGGAAAAUUAAGCUCUCUUUGAUUUGUCGAUAUUGGGAUUUUACUUUUAGAUCCGAACUCUGCUGCCCAGUCUUAUUUAGUAAAAGUAGAAAAUGAUUUAAUGUGAAAAAUAGUACUUUCAGUAAUAAGCUUUAAAAUGAUUUUCUUGAAGAAACCCUAUCACCAUCAUCAGUUCCUCAUUUUUCAAGGCAAACCAUUAACAUCAUUAGAAUAUGGAAGAAAUACAGAGGAAUAUAAAUGGAGAUGAUCUUGACUCGUAGGAAAGGGGCUCAAACAAGUUUAUAUUCAUCAAUAAGCUUAAUCAAGAGCUUAAUGAUUUGUCAGAUGUUGGCAUCUGUUGUUGUUGACAAAAAUAAUGAAUAAAUGAGAUAAAUAGGAGCCAGUGUAACAAUUUUCAAGAUGAUUUCAUCCAGCUUUAGCCACGCCUUAGUACUAAAAUUGAAGAUCAAUUAGUGUUUUAAAAAUCAGACUAAACCAAUAAGUUUAAUCAUUACAAUCGAAAAUUGGUUUGUUCGUCGGUUGGUUCAAUCUUGUUCAAGUCGAAUUGAAUUGGAGUUGAAUUAUAAUUGGUUCAACCAUUUUUUUGUUGAAUUUUUAAUAUCUAUUAUUUAUUAAUUAUUUGAUUAAACUAUAAUUGAGCUUAUUUUUCAUAAAAUAAACCAAUAAAAAAAACUAUAAUUGAACUGAUUGAAUCAUGAACUGAUGGUCUCAACCGUUCAAUAUCCUAUUUACUAGUUUUGAAAACAUUGAAAUGAAUAUUCAAGUUGGUACUGUAGUCUUCUAAAAUUUUGUUAGUUUUCUUUGCACCAUCUUUCGUAUUAUUUGUUGAACACUCUAUCUCAGCUAUCUCCAAAGCUUGAACCAUUUUAAAUAAUUAAUACAGGUGAGAGUUUAAUGUUGAGUUUUAUUUUAUGUCAAUGGAAUAAAAUAAAACUAAAUAUCAAAACAAUAGAGUAUAGCAAAUGAGUGAAACUCUGGUCCAUUCUUCAAUAUAGGUUUUGCUUCAACUUUUUCUUUUGGCAAGAGGUUUUGCUUCAACUUAAUUAGAAGAGAUAUGGUUUUAUCUCACUACAUAAGCAUAAGUAAUUGCAUAGAAGCUCAACAUUUUUUCGUUAAAAAAGAAAAAAGUCAAAACUUGAAAUUGAAGGUCUGUCCUGGGGGAAGAAAGUGAGCAUGAUAUUGUACUCUAUUUUUACAACUUGAGUUUGGUAAUGUCGAUCUUCUUGCGAGGAUAUGUAUAUGCCUCAUAGUUAAUUUUUUGUCCCAAGGUACUCAAUUUUGUGAAAGUGGUUAUCAGAUCAACCUGAGAAAGAUAACAAACCAAAGAGAAUUACCAAGUGAAUUUUUUUAACCAAACGAAAGUUUCAGUAACUGCUUUGCUUCUCUUGCAUAGAGAGGGAUUCAUAGUUAAACUUACCUCGUAGUCGGUUCGAGAGACAGUUUCGCGGCUCCGUUGGUAUUUUUGUACCCAUGGAGCAACAUCUGGAUCAGAUGCCAAUAAGGUUUCUGUUGCAUCCUGAUCAGGACCUAUGAAUGCAGACAACACAGCCAGCUACCCAAAUAGACAGAACAUAAUUAGUAACAUUCAAUGUUGUCAAUCGUGGAUCGCAGAAAAUUGAGGUUUGUACAAAACAGUAUAUCGCAAAACAAUAACAAUUUGUUCAACUGAAAUUGUAAAAUGAUAACUGAGUUCGGACAAGACCAUUUCGCUAAAAAACAUUAAAUGGAAUGUAGGGAAUAGUUUCUUAGAUGGAAUAGCUUUAAUCAUUUUAUAGCGACACUGGAGAGGGGAAAAUGCUUAUGUCAGUCUAAGUUGAACUUUGUAGCAUAUAUACCAAGAUUGCAAUUUCUCUUCUAUAUACAGGUGGCAUCUUAUAUAUGCCUUUCAAAAUUUCUAUAAGAAAGAUCAGGGUUGUUAUAUAGCGUGAUAGCAUAGCAAAAUUUGAACAAUCACUAUUGUGUCAUGAUCCGCUAUUUAGUACAAUGUUGUCAAAUAGCCGUUAUUGUGGCGCUCUAUAGUGUCAACAAACACACUAUAUUUUGCGCAUCAGCGAUCGACAAGAAUGAGCAAAAAUAGUGAUAAAAUAUGGGAAGUACCUGGCGAGGACCAAAGCCUACUGCAGAAAAUUUAUCUUUCAUUUCCUGAACACUUGCUUUCUCCCAAAGUGGAAUUCUCCCCUCUGGAUCUGCCUCGUCAGUAUCAGUCCUACCAAAUUGCCUAUCGAACAAACCCCACUGAUCCAAAACGAAAAUUGGAUGUGUUCCAUGAUCGUGUAUUCGUGUUAGUGAAGGGUUAUUUAGCAACAUCUUGUGAACAUUUCCAACCAUGGAUCAUUUCAUAAAGUUUUUGUAGGACAUUAUUCUGUGUAAUUAUUGAUAAAUCAACACAACACAUCUUUAUCCAUUUUUCACUUGAAGAGGUGCAGAUUGUGCUGAUAAUAAGAUAAAUCUUACCAAUGUACACUUACUAAAGUUUGAAAAUAACUAAAGCAUAAUAGAUCAAACUGACAUUGAUCUAGAAUUCAUUUUGUAUAUAGAUGUUACUAAAAUAUAGAUGUUAGAUAGCAUUUAAUGUAUUCAUUUUGUAUAUAGAUGUUACUAAAAUAUCCUAUUGUGUAAAGAUGUGUUAAAUUUGGACUUUUCAUCUUCUAAGACAAAUUCGUAGUAUAAAUAAGGGAUAUAUUUUGAAAAAUAAUAAUUAAUCUAUCUACUCUACUAAUUAAAAUGAGGUUUAUAUUUAGCGAUUUUUAUAUAAACGGGGCUUAUAAUUAGAGACAGAGCUAGUAUUAACCAGAUUUUGGAUAAGAGCUUAAGUUCAAAAGAAAACCUGUCCAUUUGAUCCAUAUGCAGUGUAUAGUAAAUUCCCUUUCUCCUCAUUUCCACCGCAUUUGCGAAUUGCAGAAGCUAAAAAUUGAGCCUUUGUUGCACUUUGUGCUACAAAAAUGAAGACAAUAAAGUCAAUGGAAUUUGAAUAUAUCCCUACAACUUCUAGCAAAUUCUUAAUCAAAAUUGAUUUAACAAAAAAUCGUCACAAUAAUCAACAGACAUUUAGAACAAGUAUGUGAAACAUGUAUUGUAGAAAAUGCUCACAAUAAUCAACAGAUAUUUAGAAUAUGCAUGUGAAACAUAUACUGCUAAUAAGCUAUGAAUCGUGGACACAGACACUGACACGCCGACACCGCUAAUAAUUUGAGGAAAUCACAUAAUUUAGUGUAAUUAUAUGUGUCUGUGCUUCAUAGGUAAUAAGUAUUAUGUUUCAAAACGGGGAUGAAAUGUUCAACCUGCAUACUGGAUGAGAUCUGCAUAGGAAAUAGGUCCACCUUUGGAAUAUGAAUCUAUCUCUUUUUUUGCUUCCUCUAUAAAAUUCAAGGCUGCAGAAAGCCCCUUGUUUUCAGGUCUACUUAUUUCUGAGCUUCACACAGAAUUAUUAAAAAAAACAGAAAAAGUAUUAUGAUUAUUGGUAAGCAAAAAUAAUGCAUACAAGCAAAGAAAGAGGAAAAAUUUUCAUUUCUGAAGAAAUUGCAAGUAAAAUCAGAAAUUUAAGAUAUACUGACAAGUAAAACUUCAAAAUUUUAUUACUUUGUACUAUCACCUAUGGCCUAUAGAGAGGGGCAUAAAAAAGACAACUUUCAAUGCAAUAACAAUCUUAGAGUACCUUAUUUAGAAGACUAACUGUUUCUAAAAAGAAUUAAAGACUACAUCUAUGGUUAUACUUAUACAUAUGUUAACAUCAUUGGAUUUGAAUGUUAAUUACAAAAAAAAAAAGUACCUGAACCGGAUAGAACCAUUUGGGCCACCCGUUUUCGUUGCCUACAAACUUAAGAAGAUUCCAAUCAAUACAGAUGAAAUAUAGAUAUAUCUGUUCAUGCAUGUAUGUGGGUGCGAGCGCGCGUCUCUCACCUUAUCAUAAGUCAAAGCAUCAUUUAGAGCCAGUGUUAGAAUGGAUGGAGUAAGAUCAGGAUUUGCCUGAAGAGAUAUCAAACGUCGAAUAAGCUCAUAUCCAAAUUGGAAAUUCUAUUCUCUAGCUGGAAAAGACAAAUGUAUAAUCCAUAACCAUUCAGUAAAUGCAAGUCAGCAAACUAUACCUUUAUUGCUGUAUAUAGCGUCCCUUUAAUUUGAGCUGUAAGAACAGAAAGUUAGAACUCUGCUAAAAUGAAAGAACCAUUGAGUUUGACAUGAUUAAUGAUCACAUGGAGUUGUAAAACCUAAGAAUCUUACACUGAAAAUCAGAGCGCUGUCUGCGUUCUAUUAGAUCAGCAGCAUUAGCGGUUCCAAGGAGCGAUCCAGAGCUUGAUAUCGACUCCUACAAACAGAUGCAACUGACCGAAACUCAUCAUCAAAUCAAUCUUAUCCACUAAAUACAUAUCCAAUAAUAAUAUAUAAAAUAUUUCAGCUCAAAUUUUUGGUUGAUCAAGAUGAAAAUAUGAUGGUGUGCAUUGUUUUAUCCCAAAGUUUCCUACCUGCACUACUUUGUGAUGAUUUCUCAGCAUAAGAGGUCUUUUACCAAACUCAAACAACACUAAAUUUACAUUUUAUAAGGAAAUAAAAAUAAAAAGAACUAGUAAAGACGUUGAUCAACCUUACAAGAAAUACAUUUGUUACCAACAAUUCAAAAUAAUGACUCUUACCAAACCAAUGGUCAACCCAAUGCAUUUAAGAACGUCUCUUCGCCUCCAAUGGAAGAACUGUUCUUCUUCAUCGCUAACAUCAGUCUUGAUUUUUGCACAACAAAUGGACACCUAAAAACAAAACCAAUGUUAUUUCAAAUUCAAAUUAUUCAUAACUAAGCAACAAUUGCAACCAAUAUGAUUGAGUGAAUGCUUGGAACCAUUGAGCUUGAUGAAAUCACAGUGACACCAUGAUUUUGUUAAAGCUCCAAAGUAUAACUUAUGAUCAAAUCAUGAUUCUAUCAAACUAACUGUCAAUCCAAACAUACAUUGACUUUAUCUAUUUUUUUUAAUGCAAAGUUCCAAAACAUAUUAUCAUCAUUCAGAAUUCACAUAAUAUGUACAUCUAAGAAAGGACAUUGUAAUGUAUGUAACAAAGACUUACUGAACGAGGUUGGUGUCUGGUUGAAGUUGUUUUUGGAUAAUGAGAACCACCAAGUGGAUGAAGAGAAGGAAGAGUUGAGAUUGAGAGGAAAGAGACACCCAUUGCUACAACCAAAUUGUUAUUGUUUGGUGUCUUUCUUUGUGUUUGGAAGGAGAAAGAGGAAAAAGGUUCAUGCAAUGUCAGAUAUUUUGUUUUGUGGUUUUGUUGCAAGUCAUUUAUGAUAAUAUACGUUAUCCACUUCCAUCUUUUGCUAUUGCUAUUGGAUUCUCUUAUUUCUGCACCAAUCCUUAGAUUUCUGACUUCUUGGUAGGGUACUCAAUUGUGUCAAAAGAAAAAAGAUUUUACACCGUCAGUGUAUAAUAGUUAAAUUACGUUUAUUUAACAUCUAAUUAAAAAGUCAUGCACCACUUACGAUUGAGACUGCCAUUGAACAUAUUCAUGGAAUGUGGCUUGUUAAUCUUACCAAGAAAAACAUUACUAACAUUAAUUAUUUUAUUAUGGGUUUUGUUAACGAGUCCCCUAAAGGCACUCUUUAAGGAUUUCUAAUAAAGAAAUUAUUCUUUAAAAAAGUUAAAAACUCUAAUUUCCAAUGCAUUGAUUUCAUAAACUUUGACAAAAACUUACUAUUUAAAGUUACUAAACAAUGCCCUAAGGGCAUUUGUUAACAUUUCACUUUUAUUAUUUAUUAUUGUAUCAUAAUUAAAAACUAAAAAUGGGGAGAGUGCAUGUUGAAAUAUGUUGUUUUACCAUCUAAACAGUAAUACACAAUAAUUUAAGAUAAAUUAGGCAAAAAAUAUUAAUAAUCUUAUUUCCACUGCUUCCAACAAAAGCUAUUUUAAAUCCUUUUUUGUAAUAGAAUUCCAAAUCCUUCUUCACCAUUCAACAAAUUUAUCCCAAAAAUAUACUGUAAAGAGUUAAAUUAUAAUAUGAUUUUUGAUGCAACACUUAAUAGUUGUUAGCAUUAGCUUGCACUUGUUAGGCAGACUAAAUGCUUCUUUCUUAUUUACAAGAGGCAGACAAAAGGCAAAAUGCGAAAUAAACAGUCAGAAUAUUGUUGCAAUUAGGAGGUAGUUCGGUUACUGAGUUAAAAGACAUCGAAUGAAUUUUAAACACGAGAUAUAACUUUCAAACCCAAAAAAAAAUUAACAUAAUCACUAACUUACUAACAUUUGCCUAUAAAAAAAAGUUAAAAUACUAAAUCAAUUAAAUAAAAUAAAUACUACUUAAGGGGAACUAUGUAGGAGUUCUCAAUAAGAAAUAAAAUAACACGUGAGACUGAAUCCCUGGCCACAUAUAUGAAAACCUUGCCUAUAUAAUUGAAUCCAGUCAUCUUAAAGCUCCAUCCUUCAAGAACUUCUUAUCCCAGCACAUAAUUGUGUACCUAUCAAAACCUAGUUAUGGGUUUCUUUUCUGUUUUUUUCUUUAUUUUUUUUUCCUUCCCAAAUUAAUCGGUUCAUGCAGAACGCCUUUUCAAAAAAUAAAAAUGGGUAAUGCAAAACCAAUUUCGAUAUUUACACUCUUCCACUUUUGUACUAAUGAAUCUUUCAAAGGAACAAGUGGGUUAGUAUCUGAUCUACUUGAUAAUGUCAGAGAUGUUUCGGGACGGUGGUUCUGUCCGGCAUAAACAAUCAGGUAAGGGAUUAGCAUAAAAGGUUUCUUCUGAGCGAAACCUGUCCAUGCCCUUUGUUCCAGAAAUUGGUCCUUUUCUUUUCCUGGGGGAGCCAAGUCUGCAACACAGCAAUUUUAAAAUCACAAGCAGAAGUUUAAUAUGAGAUCGUCGUAUAAGAAUGAGUACAUUAUAAACUAGAUUUUUUCAAUAGAUGAAACAUAAUGUUGACAUGGAAUUGAAAUAUGGCCAAAGUAGUGUUUGUAAGACUUGGAUAAUCCUCAUCUCUUGAGCUACCUUUGGGAGUUGAGUUAGGCUUAGGCCUAAGAUGAUACCAAAAUUUUCACGACAUGUACGUAACAAAAUUUACAAUUCCUCCCAAAAAAAAUUAAAAACAAAAUUGGAGAAGUUAUUUCUAGUAGAAAUUAUUAUCUAUUAGUGUGGCACUAAUGGCCAAAGUAGUAUUUAUAAGACUACUUUGGGAGUUGAAUUAGGCUUAGGCCUAAGAUGAUACCAAAGUUCUCACGACCUGUACAUAACAAAAUUUACAAUUCCUCCAAAAAAUUUAAAAAACAAAAUUGGAGAAAUUAUUUCGAGUGGUAGAAAUUAUUAUCUAUUAGUGUGGCACUAAUGGCUAACAACUGUCUCCAGCAGGGAUUUGAACUUCGUUCUUUAAAGUUACAGGAUACGACUCUUACCACCUUGCUGACAACCACAUAAACAAUUUCUCUGCAAAUAAAAAAGAAAGAAAAGUAAACUUACCGUCUAAUGUGGAGAUCGAUAAUCCUAUUUGACAGUUUUUUCCCCUCAGUCAUUGUUCCCUGAUCUAGUUUAUCAAAGAGACGAACAAGGGCUUUCCUAUUUGAAACAAGACAGGACAAACAAAACAACGUUGUAAAGGGUGAACUAGAAAAAGGUAAUUAAACAAAUUUUAAAAGAUAAAUAAAUAUGUGCUCCUUGGGUAAACAACAGCUUACCUAUCCGGAGAUAUUGAUCGACCACGUCCAAGAAAACGGCGAUGACCUUCAACAGCCCUUGCCAUGUUUCCAGAAUAAGAGGGUAUAAAUACAUCACUCUCGAUAGAUACAAUAUAGUCAAGAGCAGCCAUUUGAGAAGCAUGAUUAAAAAAGGGUUCAAGCUCCUCAAUGGAUGCCAACGUUUCCUGAAAUUAAUCACAUGAAGGUUAAUACACAUCAUACCAAUGCUUCCCAUCAUUCAGCUAUAAUCCCAGAAAAGCAGUUUUUAAGCUAGUUGAACGUAAUAUUACUCCCUCUGUCUCAUAAUAAUGGCCAUUUAAGGUAAUGCAUACAUAUUAAGAAAAUGAUUAAUUAUACUAACUCCCAAUGCAAAAUAAUGUGUUGUGCUCCCACUUAUGAUCAGAUAAGCCCACCCUAUACUAUGUAGUCAAUCGUGGUCAUAGCGGUCACUAUAGUGCUGUAGCGUUGGAUAGCGGCCUCAAGACACUAUAUGAAACCCCAUUGCGUUUUUGUUUUGUGUGGCGGUUGAAGCAUCGCCUAUAGUGGCGCGACCAGACGGCGGCCAAAUAGCACUUGCUGUGAUAGGAGUUUAAUUGGGCCGGAUCCUAUUGAGGGCUGGUGGGCUUUAAAAAUGAGAGGCCUAAAGUGUGGAGGGUUUACACUAGAAAAAAGAAGAAAAAUAAUGUGGGGAGCGUGUGAGUGGUGAGCUGGCAGAUAGCAGUAGAUUCCCCUAAUAAGGUGUGUGAGGGGAAUCAGAAAGUGAGGUUUGAGUUUGUUAAACCUGAUAUGGUUAGGCAGUAAGUUUCUCACUGAGGAGGAUUGCUUUGGGCUGCAUUUUUGCAGAUUGUUCAUCCAUUUCUUCACUCAUUAAUAAUGGAAAUUCAUCCAUUUCAUCUAUUCACAUUGCUUUAUUUUACAAUCGUUAUCUCUGCUCUAUCAUGCUGCAGCAGCUACAGUGAAACUUCUGUAAAAUAUUUGCAUUUUUUGGACCUUUUGGUCACUUCACCGUAAAAUAGCCGUUUUUUACCUUCAACUUACAGCCCUCUUUUAUUUAGGACCUUUUGGUCAUUCAACAUAAAAUUUUGAAUGCCGACAAAAUAAGGCACCCUCCUCAGCUCUUACCUUGUCUGGCUUUCCAGCAAUUCUUUUGUGACUUUCUGGCAAUCAUCCUCACCUUGGAGAUUGUGAUUCCAUUAAGGAAUCACUUGUAUAUGAUUCCUUAUGUUAACCUUGGAGGCUAAACUUAUUUGCCUUAUAUUGGGUUUGAACAGCAAUGAACUUUGAUUAUUAGUUGUGAAUAUGUCAUUAAUCUUGCGUGUUCUUCUAUUGCGUUUAGCUUUUAUGUGUAUGACAAGUUUCUUCUAUUAUUUCCUUAAACUUCAACGUAACGGCUAUAACGCUACCCGCUAUAGCGUUUUGGGGGUCGGCUGCUACCAGCCACUGACUACAUAGACCCUAAGUUGCAACUACAGUUUACACCCAUUUAUCCUAGUCUUGCAAUACAAUACAAACUACUUUAAUAAAUAAAGAUAACACUGGAAAAAAGUAAUAAAUACUUAAGGUUUGUUUGGGAGUUUAGGAGGGGAAGGGAGGGUUUCCGGAAAAAAAGGGAAGGAAAAAGUAAGGAAGGAUAGAACCCCAACUUGAAUGGAGAGUUCAUUUUUCUUCCCCCCUAAUUUGGGGGAACUAAAAGUAUGUACUGGAGAGGAUUUUACAGGGUUUAGAAAGAGAAAAAAAAAUAUAUUUCCAUGUUAUAAUACACUCAAAAUUAUAAAUACACUUACCACAAGUAUUCUCUUAUCAUUCUCUACAAAAUCACUCUCUCCAAUAAGGUGAAAGAUUUCUUUCUCUUCCUUUCCCUUCCCCUAAAGCCCUCCUUUCCUCCAAACUCCCAAACGGAGUCUUAAUAUUCAUAAGUGUGAAAUAAUGAGUUACAAAUAUUUCAAACAAGAGUUUUAUAUGAGUCGGCAUAUACAUUAUCUUCCGUUUUAUAUUUUAAUUUACUGUUAUUAAAAUGUAGGGAUCAUUUUUCAAUAGUUUUGGACUAAGGUCUACUCUAGAAGUUGUUUUCUCAUAAUAACUGAUAACUUAGACACUGUAAUAUAAGUGAAGUACCUGCCAUUCAUAGAACAUUUUUUCCUUUCCUUUAUAAUAAAAAAACCUCUAAUAGAAAUCAUGACUUGACAGCAUAAUGGGCCCCAUUAUGGCAGAGGAUAAUAGGUGAUGAAUAUUUUAGAUGGAGAGAGGGAUAAUUAUAGGGGAUGGACAUUGAAAAAGAUUUGAAAAUUAGGCAUUGGUUUGGGAUACAGAAAAUACUAAUGCAUUAUCAAACUUCAUUUUCUAGAGAUAUAUUGAAUAAAAAGCCCCCACCAUGCAUCAACAACAUAAAGCAACUAAGAACUGCAAUUAUUACCUUGCUCAUUAACAAUGGAUAACGGGAUCGCAGUUCAGCCAUAUGGGACUCACCCCCAUAAAUCUCUCCAGCAGCAAUAUAUAUCGGCGUCUUUGAUGGAUAUCCAAGAGCAGUAAGAAAAAUUCCAACUUCCUUUGGUGUUAAGGGGCAAAACCCUUUGGACCUCUGUUCUACGGGAUCAAUAUCUUUUACUUUCCAAUAAGAAAUGUUCUCUCUACAAGUUUAACAAACAAUAAACAUCACAAACCAUGUAUGAGAAAAGACAUGACAUUCAAUUUAUCCUUCUUAAGAUUCCACAGUUCCAUACCUGAUAAUCCGUAGCUCUUCAGCUUCAUCUAGAGAUAAAUCAUGCGUACACCCACUAAAUGCAAGCAUAUCCUUCUCAUAACGUAAAUGCAAGGCAAUAUAUGGACCCCGUGACCUCAUUCUUUCCACCAACAACUACAAGGACCCAAAAAAAGUAUUACAGAUUGAGAAUAAAAAUUAAUACAGGGGUCGUGGAAAAGUAUUAGAUAGAAAACAAAGAAACCAAUCAGUUGAGAUAUCCUCAUAUACCUUUCCUAUUUGUUCAAUACGAGGAGAGAAACGGAGUGCUUCAUAGCAAGCUCGGCAACGAAGCUUUUGAAUGUCUGGAGGUAGAUUGUUGUUCGCUAGCCGUGAAUCGGAUUUUGAAGCACGAAUAACCUGAAGUUAAAAAAUAUUAUGGGUGCAUAAUAUGUUAGAAAAUAAUGGCAAAAAAAAAUAAAAAUAGAAUGGUAACAUAGAACGGUAGUAACAAUAGAUUUUCAACAUACAUACUUCGUGAUCUUCCCACAAUCUCGCAAUUUCAUUCUCAUAGUAAUCCAUGCCAGACCAGCUUCUGAAUUGCUGCUUAACCAUUCCGGUUUCAUUAACCAUUACCAGUUCAAUGGGAAGCUUCUUAAUGAUCUUUACAUCGUUAGCUAGAGAAUUAAUAAAAUGCUCUUCAUCGAAAACAUCAGAGAAAUUGCUGAAAGAAAAAUCAUAAAACCAGAAUUAAAAAAAAAAAAAAAAAAAGUCUAAGAGAAACUGAAACAGAAAUAAUAGCAAAAAAAAAAAGGAAUUAAUUUUUUUACCUAGUAUCUUGCCAAAAUGAUCUUUUAUCAAGUUCUGGAAUUACAAGAGUAGCAUUUAUGAUACGAGCUACAGCUACCAUAUCACAUAUCUGCACCAAAGGAAACAUAUGUUCAGUUUCUAACAACACUUGAAUAUGACAAGUUUAAAUGCGAUGGUCCUUCUCAUUCACAAUUUGUCAUCCAACGGCAUAACAAACAAUUUUCAAGAAAAAUGUUCAGCCUCAGACGAGUCGGCAUUAAUAAUAACAACAUGCAUAUGUGAUUAACAAAGAGAAAAGAGAAAGAUCAGACCCCAGAACGCAUUUGGUUGAGCCCACCAUUUGUAUGAACUAAAAGAUAUCCACGUGACUCAGCAGGAGCUGAAUGAACAUGUAUUAAUCUGAGUAAGUACCAAACUAAUUCAUACUUGUAACUUGUAAUGAAAGUCUAUGUUUAAGUUUCUUACCGGUGUAAUUAGGAGUAGGCUUUGUACAAGGAAGAAACCCACGAUUUGAUGGAGGCUUCCACAGCUUCACGUAAUCAGAAUCCCCUCUUAAACGAUUCAACUGUCAAACAGAAAGAGUCAAAUAAAAAACACUAUAGGUGCAUAUCUUUACAUAAUUUAAAUAUAUCUAGCUGCAUACAUGAUACACCAAUAUCUCUGCAGAUAUAAUACAACUAAACCAAACAAGUUUAAGGUCACACAAUACAUGAGGUGCAUAAAUACUACAAAUGAGCAGAAUCAACUGUCCCACCCACUCGAUAGGGAAUGGGAAUGGGAAUAGGAGAGGAGAUUCACUAAUGUAUUAAAAUACAUGUUUGCAAUUAAGCUGACGUUCGAACUAUAAUUAUUUGGAUUGACUUCUUUGAGCUUACCUACUGGCAAAAACACUUGUCGGACUAUUUGAAAGAACUAAUGGAAACAAUUUAUCACAUGUCCAUUAACUGUUUUCAGGUAAUUUGAUAAGCAUUCUGGGAUAGAUUAUAAAAGCUACUUAUAGCUUAUGAGUUACGUAUAGCUUAUAUGAAGACAAUUCAACUUAAUUAUAUCUUCUGUCAUAGAAAAAACUUAUACAUAAGCACUAAAUUAAGUUGUUUAUCCAAACAAGGCCUAAUUUAAUAAGCUCAUUGGCAGAUACAAAGAUAGUUUUCAUAGAUGUAGGGUAUUAUAUUUCCUUAGCAUUUUCAUAGUUUUUAAACAGAUGAUAUACCCAAACAAGUUACUAGCUAGUGCUGACACGCAGGACCAAACCUUGGAAGUAGAAAGUGGUAGUUUGGAUAAAUGGGGUGGAGCUAGCUCUUGUGUCCGUUGCAAGUUUUGAACCUGUCAAAAUUUGAAAGACAUAUUUUAGUAAACCAAAGGUAUCCUUCAGAAGCAACUGCAGAGACUAAUCCCCUCGAGGUAACUAAGAUUCAUUUAAACGGGUUGACCUCUCCCAAAUUUGAAACACAUAUGACAACAAAUACAACAACAACAAAACAUAAGGGAAUCUUCCACUCUCUAACAAAGUUUUCAAUCUUCCACUAUCUAACAAAGUUUCCCUAAGUAGAAUCCAAUAUACAAAACAAAAAAAACAAAAAAACACACACACACACAAGCAUAUACCAAACCUACCAAUGUGAACAAAGACCCUUGCUUUUUUUAACAUUGUUAACCAUUAAUAGCAAUCUCUUGAAGUCAACAAAGUACAAAAUAAGCAAUAACAAUUGAAUAAAACCUUAAUAAUAAAUAAGUCAUAUGAACAAGUUUAAAAGAACCCUAAAAUAAUAGAUUUUAGUAAAAUUAAAGAAAAAGAGACAAACCGUAGGGAACUUGUUAUUGAACUUGUGAUCCUUAGAAGAAGGAAUGUGUAAAUGACCAGUGAAUAGAGCAAGAAAAGUAAUUGAGAUAAUCGCUGCAGUUAACAACUUCCUCAACAAUACCAACGAAAUGAAUUUCCGUUUCUGCAUUCCACUAUUGAUCAAUCAAUCAAUCAGAUUCUGGGUCACUGAUUUCACACCCAAAAAUUAACCUUUUCUUAACACUUGAUUAACAAUAAUCUGAGCGAAUGAAUAAUCACGUUUGAUGAGUUUCGGUGGGAAGAACAGAACAGAACAGCAAGACAACAAAAUCGGCAGGUUGUGUUGUGUUGUUUUUGGGGUUUCUCGAAGUUUUUGAUGUUGUCGGGUUUAACAAUUGUCUGACCUAGUACUAGUACUUCUUCUACUCAUUCGUUUUCAUCUGUUCCAAAUUUAAAUUUUGUACUUCUUAUUAUUUUUAUCUUUUGACCAAUUAAUAAAAGUUUAUUACUUGGAUUAAUUAAAUUAAUAUUCUCCGAUCACUCAUAUAAACAAGCGUUUAUUAUUUGGAUUAAUUGAAUAAACUGAUAUAUUUGAUCUAUAAUAUUCUUAAUAUUUGAUCUAUAAGUGUAUCAUAUAUCAAAUGCAUCGGUUAUUAAAAAAAAAAAAGAUUAUUUAUGUUAAAAAAAGGAUUUUUAUUUAUAAUAAUGACAUGAAGGAGUACUACUUAUUCUAUUAAACACAUAUGAAAUUAUUUUGCUUAUAUUUAUUACGGUUUUUUUUAAUAAAAAAAAGAAUCUAAAAGAAAAAUUGGAAAACAAUUUCAAAUGAAAAAACUGUUAAGAUUAUAUUAGAGUAGAAAAAAAAAAUUGUCAAAAGAUUGAAGUAAUUUUAUAAUAAAAAAAUCACAUGUUGUCUCCAAACAAACUAAUUUUUUUAAAUGAUUUUUAUUAUUUUUAACAAACACAAGGUAGUUUCUACUUUUUUUUUUUUAUAUAAGAACUUAAGUCCUCGUGAGCUUAGCUCAGCGGGUAGAGACAAUGCAUAAUAUAUGUAAGAUUCAAGUUCAAACCCCGGGUACCACCAAAUAAAAAAAUAUAUAAAAACUCUAAAAAAUAAUCUCUAAAUUAUUGAAUACUUAAAUGACUUUUUUUUUUAAUAUGUAAGUAAUAUGCUCUUAGUUUUUCUUUCAUGAUUUUUUUGUGAUUUCAUUAUCUUACGGUUGUUAUUUUUUAUUUUAUUUUUCGGUUAUUGUGUGGGGGGUUUUUAUUUUCUCUUUUGAGGUGGUGUUCAUUUGAUUCAACUUGUAAGAUUAGUUUGUCUCAAUCAAAUGAAUGACUUUAGUGUUGUCAAUGUUACAAACAUGAAGGCAUGGCUAUUAUGAGCGCAUGAGUAUAAUCAUAUUUUUAGGUUUGUACAUCUUAUUGUUUUAUGUUAGUAACAUGGACAUUGUGUCUAUUUUUUUUUCUUUUUGGUUUUAUCGGCUUUUAAUUUGUGUUGUAUUAAUGAGAUUUAUUGAUUUAAAUGAAUGAAUAUUGUUUAUAUCAAGUAAAAAAAGAAAAAUAAAUCUAUAGUGAUUUUCUAACUCUAAUUAACUUUCUUGUAAAAAGAAUUACUCCUAAAUAAUUAAUGUCAAAAAAUAUCUUGAUUAAUAUUAAAAUAAUAAAUUUGAAGAUAUUUUUAUGUGAUUUUUAACAUAUAUCAUUUAUAUUUUUUUAAGAAGUUAAAAUGAAAUAUUAUUACUAUCAACCCUGAAUUUUCAAGCACAAAGAGUGCCUGAAACCCAGGAAAGAAAACAAGUUACCAUCAAAAGUCUGAGAAAAGGUGAAUCAAGAAGCUAAAACAACCCUAUUACAAAAAAUUCUCAUACUAUUUGAUGGGUUAAGUCACCACAAGUGAUAGGUAAAAGUAAGAUUGAGACGAUUUGCUUUCAGCCACCAAAACGUUUGAAGCUUAAUUUUGUCGAGAAGUUGUAGUAACGAGGUCUCCUUUUGUUUGAACACCCUAACAUUUGUUUCAUUCCAAAUCGUCCAUAUGCAAGAGAGUCAAAUGAGAUUAAAGACUUGACAAGUACUUUUAGAAAAAGCACCUAAAGUUCCAAAUUGAUGAAGGUGAUAUACCACAUGUUAUGGUUAAAUCGUAAUGAAACCCAGUUAAUGCAAAAUACCAUCCCACCCAAAAUAAUCACAAGAGAGGAACAAGUGAUCAACAUCUUCCAUCUUUCCACAUCCCCCCACACAAGGUUGAGCAUUAUGAUGUAAAACGUGUCUCCUUGCUAAAUUGUCCGUAGUUGAUAAUCGAUUUCGCAGCAGACCCCAUGCAAACAAGUUGACCUUCAGGGAAACCUCCUUGCUCCAAAUUGAUUAUGUAUGAUCGGUUGCCAAGACGUUGACCGUUGAAAUCAUGUAAUUAUAAGCACUUGUAAUAGAAUCAUUUUUGGAAGCAUGUAAGUGCCAAAACCACUUGUCAGGAAGAUUAGGCUGCAGAACAAUGUUAGAUAAAAUUUCACUACACAAUCUAACCUGUUCCUCCUCCCAAGCUAAUAAUCUACGACUCCACUGUCACGCAUCACCGUCCUUCUCCCAUCCAAGAGAGUACAUUUCAGUCACCGAUGCGAUUUUGUUAACGACUAAAUAAAAAAGGUGGCUAAAAUUACUUUUCAAAACCACACCAUCAAUCCACGGAUCCCACAAAAAAAAAGUCUGAGUGUCGUCUCCUACCUCUCGACCGAUGUUGUCAUCAAACUACCAACCCACUCCUACACCAGCCCCGCCUCUAAUACUAAUCAAAUUAUUCCACCAUACUAAAUUAAAUCACCCUCCUUUGAUACUCCAUCCCACAUCGUUGUACCUCACAAUUAGAACUUUAUACCACCAACUCCUAGUCUCACCAUUCAUCCUCCAACACCGUUUGUGAAGUAAAGACAAAUUAAAUUCCAUAAUCCUCUAUAACCUCAACCUUCAUUCUCCUUUUUUAAAAUAAAUAGUGUCCCAAUUAAUCCAAGUUAUUUUCCUAACUGCCUCACCCCUAACCCCCAAAAGAAACAAUUAAAAAUAGAUUCAAUAGAGGAAAUGAUACAUGCAAAAGCCUUGAAGAAGGAAAGAAAAUAAAACCAAAGAGAGGACAAAAAAAACUUCAGAAGUACUAAUCGACCACCCAACAGGAGAUUUUUACUCUUCCAACCUGAUAAUCCUGACUUAAUGUGAUCAAGCAACAAACGCCAAAAAUUUAACUUACGAGAAUCACCACCAAUUGGCAGCCCCAGAUAAAUAAAAGAUAAUUGGAUCAAUUUACACUUAAGAACAAAAGCUGCCUCAGCCAACCAAGAAUUAUGAAUGUUGACAUCAACUAAAAUAAUUUUGUGAAAAUUCACCUUGAGACCGGAUGACGCCUUAAAAAGAAGAAGUAAAGCUUUAAAGGCUCUUAUAUUUUCCUAGUGACAUUAAAUAGAGGAGUAGACCUUGCAAUAAUUUGUUUAAUAAUUAAUACUAUAUAUUGUUAAGUGUCAUUAUUUUAGGAAAUGAAUUUUUAAGUGUCUACAUUAUUAAAUAGGGUAGAAGACACGCGAAAGUAUUUUCGGAAGUUUGGUUGAAAGUGAGUAAAUUUUGAUGGAAGAGCAGUUUUCAAACAUUAAUGACUGAAGCCCAAAGUGACAUUUACAACAAAAGUUUGGUGGCCCAACUACUUAAACCCAUAAUGACAUAAUACAUAGACUAUUACUUUUCCCACACUAUGCCUUAUUAGCGCGUCCUAUAAAUUUUUCAAAAAUGCCCUUGUGAAAUUUGGAUUUUAAAAUCCGAACUGAGUUGUUCCUUUGUUAUAGGGUGAAAAAUUGAGUUUUUCAUAAAUUCGGAUUUUAUAAUCCAAAAACGUCAAAAAUUAUGGUGCGCUACUUGUUUUUUCGGGAUUAUAGAAUCCGAACACCCCAUAGACACCAUUUUACAAGAAAAAACAGUCGGAUUAUAUAAUCUGAACUGUAUCAGCACAAAUUAUGAACAUGUUUGAAACAUGGAUAGUCAUUUUAAGGACAAUAUUAAGCUUCCUAAUCCUCAUCCUUCACUUUUGGGUCAUUAUUAGUUGUUAUUAAUAAAAAAUUCGGUUUUCAGGCUACUUGAUCAGAUUGCUCCGAAACUUUCCCAGAAAAUCAGGAAAAAAUCAAGGAUCAAGAUUCUCGUAAGAGAAACUUCAUACUGGAUUCCGCCCCUCAAAAUCCAAAAUUCCAUCGUUUAGACCCAUUUUUCAUUUUUUCUCUUCAUAUUCUCAGAAAAAUUUGAAAAAAAUUGCAUCGGUUUUAUUUGAUUUUUAGAAUUUUUGGGUGGUAUUUUUAUGAUUUUAUUUGAUAGGUUUUUAACAUUUUUUUACUUUGUUUUUUGGUUGUUUUUAAAAGCAAAAUUUAAAACUGCUGAAAUAGAAGAGGUUGCUAAUUAUACAUAAGCGCGUAUUUCGGAUUAUAAAAUCCAAAUUAGUAAAAAAUCAUUUUAGAUUUUAAAUUCUGAAUAGCUCAUGGACAUUUUUGUAAAAUUUAUAGGACGCGAGAAAAAUGGAUAGAUUGAAAAAAAUAAUAUAUAGCCUAAUACAUAACCCUAAUUGUUUUGCUAUAUAUCUAUUAAACAAAAUCGGCUGCCACACUUCAUCUUCUUUUAUGGUUAUUUCACUUUCUGCUCCUCUUCUUUGUGUGACCUCCAACACUUAUACCUCACUUCUUUUUCUUCCAUUUUUCAUUUCCUUGUGAUUGCAUUAGCGGUGCAUUAAUGGUUUCGUGGUGAAAAAAGAAUUUCUCAAGAUGUGCAAAGUUAAAAAAAGGGUUAAUACCUCUUUUCGUCCAUGUAAUAUUAGCGAAUUUCAGUUUUAGUCUCAGUUAAAAAAAGAUUUAAAUUUUGUCCCUGUAAUUUCAGAUUCUUCCACUUUUGGUCCCUUAUUCCACCACGUCAGCAAAAUCUACAUACGGCACGUAAAAUGAGGGAUCAAAAGUGGGAGGAAUCUGAAAUUACAGGGACGUAAUUUAUGCAGAUUCUGCUGACGUGAUGAAAGAAGGGACCAAAAAUGGAAGAAUAUAAAAUUACAGGGACAAAAUCUAAAUUUUUUUUACAAGGACUAAAACCGAAAUUCGCUAAUAUUACAAGGACGAAAAGAGGUAUUACCUUAAAAAAAUUAAGAUUAUUUGUGAAUUAAGACCCUGCACACCCUCAAGUAGACAUAGAUCCGCCCUGGAGUACAACUGGUUAAAAGUGCAUUCACAUAUGCUUCUGCGUAGUUUCACCAUUUUCUCUGUAGUUCCUCUCGGAAAAUUUAUAUUUUCUUGUAGUUAAUAAUUCACCUUAUUUUGCUUUUAAAAAAAGUAAUUAACCAAAAAAAUCCGGAUAGGCACAAAUUAAAAAAAGUAAAUAACGCUAAAAUAACAUUUACAAAAAGUAUAUUCACAAAAAUAAAAAAAAAAUAUCGUAACACUAUUUUAGAUAAUCUAAAUUAUAUUCUAAGCAUGAUAAUGAUAAUAAACAAUUAAAGUAAUGGUCAUGGUCAAUUUCUGCUUGCUAAGGUCAUCGUUUCUCUAAUGCUAUACACAUAGAACGAACCUAUAUAUUUUCUUUAGGUUCCUUCAACUUUCUUUCUUUUAUCACCAAAAAACUUGAACCAAAAUCCACAUGAUCUUUUAUUUCCAUGCAUAACAUCUUUUCUUCUUGAAAACGACUUGCUCUUUAUGAUUUCAUGUUGACCACUAAGCAAAAAGAUAGAUAAAGAGGUGCUUCUUUUUCCCUCGCUAUUAAAACAAAAACAAUGCAAAGGAGAAGCACAAGAAGAAACGGAAGAUGAAGAGUAACAAGAUGAAGACAAUGAAGAAACAUAAGAACUUGAAUUAGAACCAUCAUUAAUAUUAGCAACAAAGGUUCUUGUUCUUCUAUGUGAACCAAAAGAAGAAAGUUGAAUAAGCUUUUCAUUCAAGCAAAGAGAACAAACACCAGGUGAUUGGUUGUGUUUUGGGUGGUUUUUGCAACGACCCUUUGGUUUUAUUUGACCAAUUGUGUCAUUUUCUUUUGUGAAAGUUCUUUGUAAUCGUAGGUUUCUCAUUUUGGUGGCUUAUUGAUUUUCAUUUGGAAUAUAUAUAUAGUGAAGAAAGUAUUGAGAUAUUAAUGAGGUUAAGGUGUGGCUAUGACGUGGUUGGUGUGUGUAUGGCUGUGUUUUCACUUUCCAUGAUACUUCAUGGUAGCUUCCUUGCGUUAUUUAUAUGAAUAGUCAAAAGUCAUUUUAGUGUUUUUGACGGUUUCUUUGUAUAUAAAAUAAUUAAAUUAAUUAAGUUGAUACUAAAGGGGUAGUAAAUAGACGUGUUUGAAGGGGGCAAGAUGGGGCCCACAAGCUGAGUCGGUGCCUCUCAUGUUUAUGUGAUGAUCGCAAUCUCAAACAAUCCUUAAGGAACUAAAAAUUAGUACCAAUUUUUUUCGAAAAUAAGUGAGGUAUUGGUGUUGUGGCAUGAGAUAAUGAAGGUGUUAUUGUAGCUACGUAGCUACUAACUGCUGGUAAGUCUUUUCUUUGCCAGAUUCAGAGGUUGCAGAAGCUUUAGCUAUGUGGAAGGGUUUGAAGUUUGCGAAAAACAUGUGUUUUAUGAAUCUUAUAGCAGAAUCAGAUACUUCUAAUUUGAUUUUGGCGUUGAAUACGCAUGAACAUUAUUCCAUCUAUUUUUUUGAAGGAACAUUAUUCCAUCUAUGUCGGCUUUAUUAUUGAAGAUUGUAUUAGCUUAAGUGUUUGUUUUUGUAGUUAAAUUAUAGUCAAUAAAAUAAAGUACUACGUACUCUCACUCGAACAAAAGUUUCCACUAUUCUAAUGAAUUUGAGGAAAAAGACCACAGCUUUCUGCGGGCCGCCGUGGAAAAAUCUCUCAUAUUUUUAAAAAAAUUGGUGAGGUGAGGGUAAAUAAAAGCACGCUGCAAAAGCUUCAUUGCACGAGAUUGCGAAAGUUUAAUAUGUUGGAGCCUACAUUCAAACUUGCAAUAUUCCCUUUCUUUGCAAUGUCCAUUUUCUCCACAUUUAGCUGGAAUUGUUAAAAUUUACGAACUUAAAAUAAUGAGUCAUUUAUCUUUAGUGUAAGACGUGUAAAAUGAAAAUAUAUCUAAUUGUACAAUAAAACUUGUGGAUCAUAUAAUCCCAAAUGUAACAAUGCAACAAGAAGAUAACUUAGAGGUUAAUAUUACAAACAAAAUGUUUCAUAAAUGACCAAUUUCAAAAAAAUAAAACUUAAAGGACCAAUUUAAAAUAAAAAUUAAACUUAAAAGACAGCAUAUGUAAUUUUUCCUAAUUAAUAAUAUUUGCAUCACAACCAUGUAAAUAUCUUCAAUUUUGUAUUUUAGUGAUAAAAGUUAUCAAUAUUAAGAGUGAUUACAUUCAUAAUUAAUAAGAUUAAUCUCGUGAAAUUGUUGUUUUUUUCUUCUUUUUCUCAUAUUCAUCGGAAGUAAAUGUGACCAUUGUUAUUGACAGACGGAGUACCGUUUUGUCCACGCAAGGAAUUCUAUUUAGGAAAGCUAGUCAAUUUAGUUUUCUUAUUUCUCUGUAAUUACUAAUUUUUUAUAUAAAAAGUGAUCACUAGACGAAUAAAAUAAUAAUGACCACAGUUAUACGUAAAAGGAAAGGGCAAUAUGGAUGGUUAGUAAAGCAAAAUAUGCAAAUAAGAAUGAUGAUUAAAAUAAAACCGACCAAUGAAGAAGUAGCCAUAGUAUAAGUUAUAAUUUGGACUUUUUAAUUUUUUUCAAGAGACACAAAAGAAGUAGGAAAGAAAUAUAGUGCAUGCUUGGUAUGGAUGAUAUGCAAAUUUGUGGCAGAAAGAAAAUAAAUGAUUAAAAAAUUAAGAUUAUUAGAAAAAGAAUGUUUUGUAUUUUAUUACUCAUUCGAGAGGUGGCUUGUUAGUGCGACAUUCUUUUAUGCAGCUCAUUUGGCUCACUUGUGUUUGGGUCUUGUGGACUGAACGUAACAAUGGUUUUUUCAAUCACAAGGAGAAUUUGAUUGAACAGCAGUUGCAUGAUGUAUUGGUGGAUUAAGGCUGCUAAUGGUAACUCUUGUCGUGUUCGCUUGUAUGUUUGGGCAUCGGUUAGUUCGCUUUUUUGUUAUUAAUGUGUGAGGACUAUGUUGUAAACUAGUUGUUUUAUUUGACACAUUUUACGCUAGAGAAACUUGUACUUCUGUGAAAGUCUUUACAUCGAUGACGAGAGUUGAACUCACGAACCACCAAACAUGUGUUAGCUAUUCUAUUAUUUUUGCAGCAUUAGCUGGCUGGUUGAGUUUGAAUCCUUAAGUAUAUAAUGUGAAAACAAUUUAAGGAAAAGUGUCAAAAGCAUUGGUGGAGACAACUGUGUGUACUAUAGUUUAGAAAUCUGUUGAGACAAUGGCAUUAAAAACCACUGAUUUUCCGUAUAGAGGGCCAUGCUAAAACCCCAUUCCUCACUUCUUUGCGUUGUCUUUACUACUGCCACAAAGUCAGUCAUAGCUUAUAUUAAUGUAUUGUUAAGAUUAGUUGGCACAAAUUGUUGAUGUUUCUUCCAUCUUUCUUCUGUUCUUCCUUUUUCUUGUAUACUUAUUUAAUAUAUGGAAAACAGGCAAGACGUGGUUAAGUUAGGUUGGAUGACUAAAAGUAGGUGAUCUAUUUCUAAUUUUUUUUUAGUAAAGGGAGAGAUAUAGAUCCAUACUUUCCAUGUAGUUGAGAAAUACUUAAAUAUAAAAAUUAUUUAGAGGCACAUACAUAACAAGAUAUAUUAUUUAAUUAUUUCAACCUUUUGAUAUAUUUUUCACAUUUUUAUGGCAAUUUAAUCAAGCAUAUAAUUUUAUCUACUUUUUCUUUGUAAAAAAAAAAAAACUUUAUCCACUUUUUCCUGCUAACAAAGAUUUUUUUUAAUAUGUAGAAUGUUACACAUGCUUAAUAAAUUCUAUUUAAUAGUUUAGUUUAUUUUAUUUUAUUUGAUGAAUUUAUCUUUUUCAUUUCACCAAAUGAAAAAUUAUGUAAUUCUUUUUGGUUAGGGUGCGUCACAACAAGUCUAGGCUCUAUAUCAGAUCAUUUUGCUCAUUUUAUCUCUCACAAGUUUCUCUAAGAAUCUUCAGAGAGAUAUUCUUGUUUUUUUUGGCUCAGUUGUGUGUAGAUUAUCUGAAAAGAUAUUAACAUGAGAAUUUUUCAGCACAAAAAGGAAAAUAGACAAAUAUUAUGUGAUAAAAUUAAGCUUAAAUUAUUUUGAUGGUUAAAAGCGGCAUAUACAACUUUUCAUUGUUUGACCUUUAAUAUUUGUUUCUAGUACAUUUUGUGUUGAAAGAACUUGUUUCGUGUAAUUAUUUUUAUAUAUUUGAUUUUGGUGUUUUAAAAAAAAUGUAAUUCUUUUUUAUAAGCGACUAUAAAGGGUAAAUUUGUCAAAACAUAAUCUAUAAUGAAAAUUGUUCGAUAGAAUUUCGCUUUUCCUUCCAUGCUGAUAACUUCUUCCCAAUCAUCAUGUUUAAAACCAGCUGCCAAAUUCUACUUUUCCUCGGAUUUGCUCCAACAUGAAUUCCAAAGAACUUAAUGGAAUAUUGCCAACACUACAAGAAAGAAAACCUUGAAGCUUCAUCCAUGAAAUGAUUUUCCGAGUACAAUCCAUAUAUAUUACGCUUUGUAAAAAAUUAACUUUUAAAUCUAAUACUCUGGAAACUCCCCAAGAUUGAUUUAAACCUAUCGUCCACAAAAUGUAGCAUAAGAUAAUGCACUGAGUGAGUCACAUUGUAGGCUUUAAAUAAGAACAUAUUUGAGGCAUUCCUAACCAAACCAGUUAAGCCUUCUACACCAAUUAAGAAGAGGAAAUGUGCCGGAUAAAAGAUGAUUUUAAUAUCCUCACAUAGCAGUAAGUAUUCCGGAUUUUAUCAAAAAUAAAUAUCAAAUCCUCAGGGACCGCACAUUAGUUUUGACUGUUUAAAUUUGCACUAUUCUAAAUCAAGUUUUUAAAAUGGUUCAACAUGUCCGCCAAGCAGUUUUUACUCAUUUUAAGAAUCAUUUUCUGUCUCAUCAGGUGGCACGACCUUGUGUGGGGAAUCUUCAGUUCAGAAAGCUUUCGUUCAUGAAAAUGGGUAGCAUGACAAAACCUUUUUCUGUGGAUGAAGUUAAGACAGCGGCGUGGUACUGCGACAAUUUUAAGAGUCUGGGUUCAGAUAACAUCAACUUUGGAUUCAUCAAGAAUUUUUGGCCUGAAAUGAAAGAUGAUAUCUUGAGGUUUACUUCAGAAUUUCAUUGGAACGGAAAAUUGUCGAAAGGUAUAAACUAUAUGUUCAUUCAUUGCUCUUAUUCCUAAAGUAGAGAGUCCUAAGUCCUUGAAUGAUUUUCGACCUAUUUCGUUGUUGGGUAGUCUUUAUAAAAUUUUGGCAAAAAUCCUAGCAAACAGGUUGAGACAGGUUAUCGGGAGUGUUGUGUCAGAAGUUCAACCUGCUUUUGUUAAAAAUAGAAAAAUUCUUGAUGGAAUUCUAAUAGCUAAUGAGGUGGUCGAUGAGGCACAUAAAUCUAAGAAAGAUCUUAUGUUGUUCAAAGUGGACUUUGAAAAGGCUUACGACUCUGUUGAUUGGGGGUACCUAGAUGAGGUUAUGGGUAGUAUGUCUUUUCCGACUUUGUGGAGGAAGUGGAUUAAAGAGUGUGUUUGUACCGCUACCGCAUCUGUUCUAGUGAAUGGCAGCCCUACUGACGAGUUUCAUCUUGAGAGGGGUUUACUUCAAUGUGAUCCUCUAUCUCCCUUUUUGUUUUUAUUGGCAACAUAAGGCUUGAAUGUUUUGAUGAAAGCCUUGGUUGAGGCAAAUAUCUUUAAUGGGUGCAGUGUGAGUGGCGCAAAUCCAAUUGUUGUGUCACAUUUACAGUUUGCUGAUGAUACACUCUUAAUAGGGAAUAAAAGUUAGGCAAAUGUUCGUGCAAUGCGGGCUGAUCUUGUCUUGUUUGAGGCUAUGUCUGGCCUGAAAGUCAACUUCCAUAAAAUUCUUUGGUUGGGAUCAAUAUAAAUGCCUCUUGGUUGUAUUAAGCGGCUUAUGUGUUGGGUUGCAAAGUGGGUAAAGUGUCGUUCCUCUAUUUGGGCCUCCCGAUUGGGGGCGAUCCGCGUCGGUUAUUAUUUUGGGAGCAUGUUGUUAAUCGAAUUAAAUCUAAAUUAUUAUUAUUAUUUUUUUGGGGGGGGUGGUGGAAUGAGUACAAAAGAAAAAUAUCUUGGAAUGGUUGGAAUUCUUUAUGUUUGAGGAAGGAGUAUGGAGGGAUGGGUGUUAGGAGGUUGAGAAAGUUUAACAUUGCAUUGCUGGGGAAAUGGUGUUGGCGGUUGUUAGUAGAUAGGGAAGGGUUGUUGCGUAAGGUGUUGGUGGCUAGGUAUGUUGUGGAGGAUGGGGGCCGAAGUUGUUCUUCUUGGUGGAGGGAGAUAAUGAGGAUUAGAGAUGGGAUAGGCGAGGGUGGGGAGGGGUUGUUUGCGCUGUGUGUCAGGAGGAGGGUGGUUUUGGCGUGACUGUUGGUGUGAUAAUGUUCCGUUUCGUGAGCGCUUUUGUCUGCUAUAUGACUUGGUUGUCAACAAAGCAAUCACGGUAAGGAACAUGUUCUUGCUGGUGAUGGAGGUUGGUGGGGAGGGGUGGUAGUGACGUCGUUGUUUGUGGGCUUGGAAGGAAGAGUUGGUAGAGUAGUGUAGGGAAUUAUUACUCAUAGUUUAUUUGCAGGAUUUAUCUGCUGAUAGGUGGUUGUGGCUAUUGGAUCAUAAUGUGUGUGUGUGUGUGUGUGGGGGGGGGUUACUCGGUUCGUGGUGUUUAUGACAUGUUGGCAUCACAGGAACAACCCAAUUUACAUCAAAAUAUGGAAUUAAUUUGGCACCAACAGGUACCUCUAAAAGUCUCUAUCUUCGUUUGGCGAACGCUGAAGGAUCGUUUACCUAUAAAAGCAAAUUUGGCAAGUCGUGGAAUUCUUCCUUUGGAAGCGCAGUUGUGUGUGGCUGGUUAUGGGCAUGUUGAGGAUUCGACUCAUUUGUUUCUGUCUUGUCCAACUUUCGGCGCGUUGUGGCAGUUGAUGCGGGCAUGACUUGGUUUUGAAGGGGUGGACUCUCAGGUUAUUUCAGAUCACUUCUUGCAAUUUAGUAAUUAUGCAGGUGGUAUAAAAUCGCGACGAUCAUUUUUUCACCUGAUAUGGCUCCUUUGUGUUUGGGUAUUGUGGAAUGAACAAAAUAACAGGUUAUUUAGGAACCAACAAAGCUCUAUACCACAUAUGUUAGAUAAAGUAAAAUCAUAUUCUUUGUGGUGGUUGAAAGCUAGUAAUGUUAUCUUUAGUUUUGUGAUGUAAGAUUUUUACAUCUCAUAAAACUAUUUACACGUCAGUAUAAUAGGAUCGUUUCCGCAGGGAGUUGCGUAUUUCAUAAGCAUUUUCACAAUAUUUGUCACAUUAAGUGUUUGGGUAUAAAUUGUUUGUUUGUGUAAAACUAUUUUCCUAAUCGACAUAAAAGUAAAACGAGAAGAGAUAGGGCUAUUUCGCUUGCGGUCAGAGACAUCAACCAAGCGUAAAAGUUGCAAUCUCUCGAUCGAUUAACGAAUUGUAGCUUUUUAAACGAUAUUAUCACAAUCACUCGACAAUAUCAUUCGUGUCCAAAUGAUAUUGUUAUUUCUAAGGGAUCGUUUAAACAUCGAUUUCCCAAACAUUUAAACGAUCACAAAGUCGAUUGGAUAGUUUAAUCGACGAUUUCUCAACCGAUUAAAUUACCCAAAAGCAUUAAGUCCUAGAUUAAAAGUGAUUAUCAAAUAUUAACAUCCAUGUCUAGAGUGAUAACUUAAGAUAAAUUGUUAUUCUAUUUCUAGAUUCAAAAAUAUAUGUCCAUAUCAUUUUGAAUCUCAAUAAAACAUUAAAUGCAAGAAUAACAACAAUAUUGAAUAAAUAGCUAGAACCAUAUAUUAAAUGAUCAAAAGAUUACAUAAUAGUUUGUUUGAAUACCUCAAAACCACAAGAGUAGAUGUAGCUACAUAUGUCUAUGAUAGCUUUGCAAAGGAUGAAGAAAAGAUGAAGAUUCCAUGACAAGAUCCAUGAUGUCCCAACAAAUCUUGGCUUGAAUCUACUCCUAACUACCUUGCUUUGUGUUUCUCUCUCUAGAAAAGCCAUAGUCUCUCUCUAAACCAGAAAAAUGUAAGUAAAACAAUAAUGGAAUGGUUGGAAAGAGAAGAGAAAACUAUUUAUAUGAGCCACUUCUGCGAAAUUUCGCUAAUAGCUAAAUAUUUCGCUAUUAGCGAAAUGUGUGAAAUAUGCCUCUACACCAAUGGAGUUGCUCCAUGUGGCCCUUAUCCACUUGAUCCUCCUGAGUUUUGCCUCCAACUACGCUGAUAGCGAAACUCCCUGUGAGCUUUUCCAUCAAUAAUUUGUACAACAACUCAUCAAACAUGCCUAAACUAACACAUGAAUUAGAUCAUUUUGAGCACUUAUCAUUUUGGCCCUCAUAAUUGGUGGUCUAGCCCUCUCUUAUGUAUGGGCAUCGACUAGCUUUUUUGUAUAAUUGACAGGAUUGUGUUUCUUUCUGUGAUUGUUUUGGCACGCCUUGUGCUGAAGCAAUGACGCUGUCGGUGUUAGUAUAAUUCAUUUUCGCUUGUUAAAAAAAAAGUUUUUAAAAUGAUUUAUUUUAGGAAACAAUUUGUAAAAUAAGUUGCAGAUAUGAAUAAAAAGAUUGUGAUGGUAUUAGACAUUGUCAGUAGAGCUGUUAAAUGGACUGGUCCGACCCAACCUGCCUUAGCCCGAUGGGCCAACACAUAUUAAUGAGCUGAAGGGGUUGGCCCACUUUAUUCAUGGGUACCAAAAUUGAGUCCAACCCAAUUAGUAGUGGGCUACAUAGCCUGAUGGGCCGGCCCGACCAAUAUUUCAAAAUGUAUUAUUUUAUUUUUUUAUUUUUUUUUUAUGAAAAAUGCUAAGAACAAUAAAGCUACAUAUCACAUAAUUAUUUUUAGAAACAUCACAAAUUGUCAUCCAUCAAAUAAUCACAUGUCUUCAUAAACUUAGUUAAAUGACAUAUAAAACAUCUAUUAAAUCAAUAUCCGUAAUAGAUAAAUACCACAAAAACAUCCAUGCAAAAGUACAGAGUAUAAAUACCACAAAAACAUCUAUUAAAUCAAUAUUCAUAUAAGAUAAAUACCACAAAAUACAUCCAUGCAAAAGAAGAUAAUAUUUAUCACAACUCACAAAGUGCAAUGUUGGAGUAGGAAACAACAAGUUAUGUCUUACAUAACAAAAUAAUUACCAAUCAAACAACUCAAAAUAGAAGACAAAAUAAAUUAUAAAAUUGACAACUUUUAGAGCUAAGUCUCUUGAACACUUGGUACUGCAGACAAUAAUAUAUCUUCUACUUGUGGUAUAUCUCUUACCAAAGUCAACCAAAAUUGUUUUAUAAUUUUUUUAGUAUUUUUAAUGGGCCAGCAGGCAAGCCCGACCCGGCCCAACCCUUGAAAAAUAUAGGCCUGGCCUAAAAAUAUAAAGUCGCUUUUUUCAUGCUUUUUUACGGCUCGUUCCGUACUAAAAUAGUGGGUCGAGGGGUUGGGCAAAAUUUUGAUUGCAAAUUCACAUUUGACAUAAUAUAUAAAUAGUCAUAAAUCGAAAUAAUAGAGACUCGUCAUUUUAUCCAUAAAAGUAUAAUUUGAAAUAAGAGAGAUGAAACAUAACCAUCCAAUAGUGUGCUAAAUAAAAUUAGGAGGUAAAUGCCCUUUAUGAGACCUCAUUUCGGUGAAUGUUCGAAUAAUAUCAACAUUAUCAAGUGACUUGAAUAUCUCCCGCUCGGUGUAACAUAUUAUUGAACCACACAUCGUUGAUCUUGUUUGUAACAAUUAUUUCUCAUGGGCUUAUAAGAUUAUUUUACUAGCUUAUUGACAAGACUUGAUAACUGGUGGACUUCCAUCUUUUGUUGAUGUUGGUAAUAGCUUUGGUACACCCGCUAUUAUUGAAGAUUCACAAAUUAGAAGUUAAAAUCUGAUUUAUUAUGCCCUGUUGUAGAAGUGAUUGUAAACUUUUUAAGGUAUGAAGUGAUUGUAAGUUGUAACUUGAUAUUAUGUCAUUUUGUCUAAUAAGCUAUUAUGAAUAGUGAUUCAAAUUUUGUUACCAUAAAUUAAAUGAGCAACAUAGUAUAUAUUGAUUUUGAUUUAUGUGAGUAUUGAGUAUUGGUUUGGGUGAAUGGUAUAAUAGUUCAUAGUCAGGUAAAAUUAUUCUAGUUAAGUCACUUCAAGAAUUUAUUUUAAAAAUUGAUUAUAGUAAUCAAUUUCAAAUUCCAAUGAUAUUGAUUAUAAUAUUUUAUUAUAUUGAUCAAACUAAUUUAAGUGGUAAUUUUAUGAAUUAUUCAUUUUUAGAAUUUAUAGUAGAAUAGAAAAUAUAAAAAAUAAAAUAAAACAAUGAUAAGUUUUAGUGACAGCCGCAAUCGUAGGUAGAAGACCAUAAUGUUUUUAAAAUGGUCUCCUUAGAGUUACAUACGUUUUGUUUGUAGGUAAAAGUGGAAAACAUGCAGUGACAACCAUUUGACAAUGACAAACGAAUUUAACUACGAAAAUUUUCCCUGAUUUUGGCCGUCACUAUAAGUCAAAUUUCUUGUAAAUUGCUUGUAGCGAUACAAAGAAAGUAUGGGUUGAGCCCGGGUGUGUUCCCAAGCUCGCCGGGCAGUAAAUUCGCCCAUGCCUCUUAGAUAAAAAAAGUCUAUGUCUCGCAAUUUCUAAAUCAAAAUAUAAUUCUCGGAGUGCACGUCGGGAAAAGCUUUAAAAAUAAUCAUUCUUAUAUUUUUUUUUUGUUAAAAAGAAACAAUAACUUUUUUGGUUGGGACGUUGGUGGGUUUCGUGGUGUGUUGCUGGAUGCUUUCCGAUGGUUGUUUGGUUUUCGUGGGUCUCAGGCUAUUUGAUUCGUUUUUCUCUCUUGGUUGUGGUGGAGGUUAUGUUUGCUCGCAACGUAAGUGGUGAUGGAUCGGUCACGAUGGUGGUAAUGGAUCAUAUUUGGCUUUACUUACGAACUGUUAUGGUUUCGAUGGAUCUUUGGUUGUGUUGGUUUGUGGUGCUUCAUGGCGGUUUUCAUGGUGGUGCUAAUUUUGGGUCUUUUGUGGCGGGGCUCAUGGUGGUUUUUGGUGGUGCUGCGCGUGGUGGCUGGUGUUGCUUUUUGGUGAGGAUUAAUGGUGGUUUUUGUGGUGGUUAAUGGUAGUUUUCGUUAUGGUGGUGGUAGUGGUGUUGAUUUAUGUGGUGGUGUUUAUUGUGGCUAGUGGUGGUUAGUGAUGAUUAUGUUUUUUCCUUGAUGCAUGAGGGUACAAGGAUUUUUGGUUGGCUUUUGCGGUUCUUUGUGAGGUGUGUUUUCGGUAAAGGUGCUUGGGAGAGCUAAUGGUGGUGUUUGGGGUUUUAUUCCCGACUGUUUUUCAAAGAUUGUCGGCUGUUGUGUAGGUUUUUAAGUUGGUGUUCUGGUGCUGUGUGCGAGUAGUGGAAUGUGGGUGGUGGAAGUUAUUUUUGUGGCAGUUGUGACGAUGUUUGAGGAUUUUGGUACAACUUUUGUUUAUGUUGUUUCAUUGAUCGUGGUGUUAGCUUUGUUUUGGUGUUUCUAUUUAUUGGUUUCGGAGAUAGCCAUUUGUUAGGAGGCGUUUCCUAUAGGUUUUUCGGAUUUUUUCUUUGAUUCUUGGGUGUAUGUAUGGGUUUUCCAUUGAGGGCUCCCCAUCUAUCCUUUGUAUGUUGCUAUUUAAGACUCCUAGCCUAUCACUCCUUGUGCUGGUUAAGAUUCAUUGCGAUUUUAAUAAAUUCAUUUUAACUUUUUCAAAAAAAAAAAACCUUUUCCAAAAAAAAAAUAGCUAUAAGAACUAUACGUAAAGAAAUAAUGCUUCUAGAAAAUUGCUAAGCAAGCAGUAAAUUAAAGGGAGAUAGAUACGAUUAAGAGAUAGAUUCAAAUUAACCGCUUUCAAAACAAAAAAAAAAAAAGAUAGAUUCAAAUUAACGCAAUAUAAAAGAUUUAUCAGCAAAUAUAGAGAUACAUUCUAAUGCUCAAUUUGUUACGCUAGUUUGUUACCUCACUUGUAUAUUUAUUUAUACCAUAACUUUGUGAAAAUCACAACACAAUUUUUAUCCUCGUAAAGUUUUUGACAGUAUGGGAAAUCGGUGCUCCAACCCUAAAGCAAAUACAACCGAAGAAGAAUACAGAAACAACAUUAAGAUUGAUUUUGCUUCAAGACUUAAAGAGCUUCACAAGACGUAUGAAGUUAAAGAUGUUUCAAAAACAAAGAAUGAUGAUGCGCAAGUCUUUAAAGCUAGAGAUGGUGGAAGUCAUCAUGGUGGAGGUUGUGGAAGUGGAGAGUCUUAGGAUUAUAGUUACUGGUUUGUAAUAUACAAACCUUAGAUAGUUAGUUAUGGUUUUUAAGAACUUGUUUACUUUUAUUUUAAGUCGCAAAUUACUCUAGAGUUUUGUUUGUUAUGUUGUUCGAUGUAAUUUGAGUAUCACAACAACUCUUUCAAAAGAUUCACCAUUACAUAUGUUCAUAUUUGCUGCUCAUCUUUUAAUUUAAGUAUAUUCAUGUUUGGGUCUCUUCCCAUGAUGGACGAAAUUCUGUUGUAAUUUUGUGAUAUUAUCAGCAAGAUGGUUGGUUCCCUUUCCUAUUUAUGAGUUGUCAAAAAGUUCAUGCUCCUUAACAUUAAUUGACAGUUGGCCCAUUUGUUUCUUGUAUUCCAAGGUAUUAAAGAUUUUGAACUAAAAGCUAGCUAAACUAACUUUGUAUAUGUUUCCAAUCAUAAAUUGGCCCAAUUUUUCGUAUAGGCUGUCUCAAUGGCUCUCACAGCAACACAAAGCUCAGCUAAGAAUGUUGUGCAGGUUCCAAAAUUUUCAGCAAAGAAAACCACAAAUUAACAUUACAAUUUCUAAAGAUACCUCCACCAACAGAUGAAGUUGAAGUUGAAGCUCCGUUUGUGUUGCACUUCAUCCAAUUGGAGAUGAGGGGAAUGCCAUAGGACCUCUUUCACUACAGAGGCCCUAGGGAGAUGGAUAUCAUUUUGCUUAUUUUAUGUCUCUCACAUGUUUCUCUAAGAACCUUCAGAGAAAUAUUCAUGUUUUUUUGGCUCAAUUGUGUGUAGAUUAUCUGAAGAGAUAGAAGCAGGAGAAUUUUUUAGCACAAAGAAGAAAACAUGCAAAUAUUAUGUGAUAAAAUUAAGCUUCAAUUAUUUUGGUGGUUAAAAGCGGCAUAUCCAACUUUUGAUUUCGACUAUCACAAUUGAUGAGUUAAUCCUCUUCACUGCCUUGCUUCUUUUUCUUAGGCGAAGUUUAUUGUUUCUGUUUUUGUUUGGUUUGCUGAGAAACUUUUCAUUGUUUGACCUUUAAUGUCUGUUUCUAGUACAUCUUGCGUUGAAAGAACUUGUUUCGUGUAAUUAUUUUUAUAUAUUUGAUUUUGGUGUUUUAAAAAAAAUGUAAUUCUUUUUUAUAAGCAAGAGAAUUUCAUUAGUGGGACUAUAGGGUAAAUUAGUCAAAACCUAAUCUAUAAUUACAAUUGUUUCUCCAAUAGAAAUUUGCUUUCCCUUCCACACUGAUAACUUCUUCCCAGUUAUCAUGUUUAAAACUGGCUGCCAAGUUUUACUUUUCCUCAGUUUUGCCCUAACAGGAAUUCCAAAGAACUUAAUGGAAUAUUGCCAACACUACAAGAAAGAAAGCUUGAAGCUUCCUCUAGGGAUUGUCCCUACUACCAUCUCCUAGUAAACAUGAAUAUAGGAGAGAAAAGCUUGGAAAACUAUUCUAUUGAUGAUAGUUGAAAUGAUACAAGAAUGGAAAAGAUAGUUACAAAUGAGUCACCUAAUGACUUAUAUAGUAACUAAACUAGUAUCCUAACUUACUAUAUCAUUAUUCUUAAUAAUUUGAACUAAGCCAUAAAGCUUAAACCACAUUCAGUUUAUUCAUUUAGAUUUGAAACGCAAAAGAAACAAUAAAGCACGAAAUUAAACAUAAAAGUAUAGAUACUACCUUUACAUAAAAACUAAAGGCAAAAGAUUAUUCUUAUUGAUAUUGAAACUAUAUCAGUUUGUAUGCAAUGUCAUAUCCAAUAACCUUCAUCAUCACAUCUCAAGAUGAAAACAAGAAAAGGAAUUACAUAUUUAUUCCACCAAUUGGAAGAAGGCCUUCCUUGUAAACUGCUAUAUCACAAUAUUCUCCUUUAAUAUCAAGCUCCUCAAUCAUUUGGGUUCUUAAGUCAAACCAAUUUAUUUCUCUGUCUUUCUUUUUGAAGAUUAUUUUACCCUUUGCCAUUCCAAAAGGUUCUUCAACGCAAUGCAACGGUCCAACAAUGAAGAGUUUAAUCCAUGAUUCUUUUACACUUAGUUCACUCAAAAUUGAUAUGUUACAAGUAGUCAUUUGUUCUUCAUAUGUGAUCAAGGCAAUAUAUCCAUUUAACACCACCAAUUGUUUCCAUAUACGUUCUUCUCUGGGAGAGCCAUCAUAUAUGUCUGAGGGUAUAGGUGUGGUAAAAAACACCUCGUUGUUCAAAUCAAAGGACACCAACUUUGAUUCAAAUUCAAAAUAAGAAUCAGAAUCAGAAUUGAUUGUAAUACACCAAUGACACAUUCCAUUCAUAUACACCUUGGCUUCCAUACCUGCGAAAACUUGUGUUAUAGGAAUAACAAUAUCAAGUUUCCUCCAAGAGUUACUUUUUAGGCUGUAUAUCUCCCAGAAAGGUUCAGGUGUAUCUCCCAAUGGCUCAUAACCGAUACAUUCUAAGAACGGUGGGGCUGAAAAUGUCACAUAACUAAUCAUCUUAUAGUCAUCUGUACAAGAAUCAUAGCCAAAUCCAAAAACAUGACUACUUGAGUGAAAAUUCAUCACAUCAUGGCUAGCAUUUGCACCAAACGGUUGAAACCUAUUAUGACUAUGAGGAAUGACCUUGAAUUCGUCUGUAGUUGGAUUCCAUAGUGCAAAUCUUGCAUCCCAUUUGGAGUUAUGACGAAGAUGACAUUGGACACAAAUAAAGUUAUUAAAAUCCCCCAGAUUUAAAAUAUUAAAACGGUGAAAACGAUAAGGAGCUUCAGAUCCUUCUUGAAAUGGAUUUGGCAGAUUUAAUUUGGCUCUAUUUUCAAAUCUCUCCCCAAAAAAAGAAUACAAAACUCCCUUAAAUAUAUCUCUGUUUGGUACAUCACGCACUAGGACGAGAGAUACAUUGUGGUGAUAAGAAGGGUUGUCAGAUAAGAAAUUGUUACGGACCAUGUUCAUGAAAAGAGGAUUUUCAAAUAAAAGUGAUCAUGAUUUGCGUACGCAUCCAAAUCGCUUCAAAGAUUUCAGAGGUAAUUUUGAUAGAUUUGAGAAGGUAAUAUCAUCAUGUAUAUAGGUACCAACCUUUUCUUUUGUGGAAAAAACAUAUUUCUUCUCCAUCUCCGAUGACCUCAAAUGAAAGAGACGAGCUUUGAUUGCAAUUGGUACGUAGCCUGACUAACCAACCAGCGACGGAAGAAUGAAAGUGUGCAAAAUCACACACUCAAGCGAAACCUAGAAACAAUAGAAGUUGUGAAAUAUUAUUUGAUUAUGAAAUUGGUUUAUUUGAUUUGUAAAGUAAGAUAAUGUUAUAAAAUAAGUUUAAGUGAAGGGUAAAAUUAGAAUAAAAAUAUUAUACUAAAAAUUGAUCUUUUUGUAGUAUAAAUAUUUAAAAUAUUUAAUUAAAAAAUGGUUAAAUUUAUACUAUAUAUAAACAAAAGUCCUCGUGAGCUUAGCUCAGUUGGCAAGGACAAUGCAUAAAAUAUACAAGGGCAGGGAUUCAAACCCUGCCACCACCAAAAAAUAUAUAUAAACAAAAUAACAUGUUUUAGCUCUUUUGAGCUUCUUUCAAAAAAAAAAAACUGAUUUUUCUCUUUUCAAAAUUACCUUCAAUUUUCAAUACAAAUAGCACAUAUAACAAAUAGAUAAAAGUAAAUUUAAAUAUUAAAAAUAUGUAACAAACUGUUCAUGAACAAUAACUAAGAACCUCAAAUAUUUUAUCUAUGCUAUUCUAUAAUAUAUGGGAUUUUGGGCUGGAUUUUUUGUUAUUCCAAUUAUACCAUUAAACAAUGUUUUCUAUAAUAAUGUUAUAUUGUUGGUGUUAUUAAAAAAGAUAAGAAUUUUUGUUAUAUUUGUUAUAUUAUUAUUGUCAUUGAAAAAGAUAAAUAUGGUUUGUUGAGUUUGUUACAUUUAAAAUUAAUAAAUAUCUAUACUUAUAAUUUUAAUCUAUAUAAUUUUUUAUAUAAAAUAUUGUGGAUAAUCUACACACGUUAACGCAAUAAAAAGAGUGAAAAGACGAACACGUGAAUACCCAUCUUUACACUCAUCUAAACCCAUAAAAAAAAAUAUACUCACCUAAAAUCACUAAUGAAUAAAUUAGCAACUUACACUCACUUAACUUUGACUAAAAAAUCACUAACCUUUGUUAUUUAAAAGUUGUAGUUGAGAGUUAGUUGUGUAAGUUUGUUUAAAUUAUUAUCAUCCACAUUGCUAAUUUACACCUACUUUUUUUAAAUAUUUAACACUCAUUUUAUUAAUUUACACCCACUUUAUUUUGUUUGUUUAUAAAAAAUAAAAAAAAAAAUUAGUGUGUGUUAUUUUAGAAUGAUGAAAGUGGGUGUAAAUAACUAGUAAGGUAGGUUUCUUCAACAAAAAAAAAAAAAAGCAAAAGUAGGUGUAAAUAAUUUGAUAAAACUUAUAAAAGUGAAGGUAAUUAAGUGAGUGUAGGUUGCUAAGUUACUCUUUAAUGGUUUUAGGAAGAUGUAGGUUGCUAAUUUACUACAUAGAGUUUUUAAACAGAUGUAAAUUAACAGCCCUAUAUAUAUAUAUAUAUAUAUAUAUAUAUAUAUAUAUAUAUAUAUAUGUGAAGAAUGCUAAGGAAACUUGCUCACACACUCUCCUUUAAAGUUUAAACACACUUGAAGUUGGACUCCUUUCGAACGAGAGGCCAACAUUUUGAUUUUUGCCAAACGGCCAGUUUUAGAAAUUAGUCCAAUGGCUUUUUUAUUUGCCACGCUAGUUUUUCUUCGAUACAUUUCAUACUAAGUUUCUAUUCAUCGGUAACUUAUUGAAGAAAAAAAUAGUAUUGAUUUAUAAAUAUCUUUUUGGCCUCUAUAAAUUCAAUAGAGAAUCAAAGCAAAUCAAGAGAACAACUUAUAAACUCUCAAUUGUGAAUUUCAAUAUCACUUGCAUUUGCAUUCAAAUUCUCAUUUUUGAAAAAACUGUUUAUCUUUUUCAUUUAUAAAGAAAAGUUUUUGAACACUAAAGUACCGUUUGGUCAGGCUUUUUUUCAGUCUAAAAGGUAUUUUAAAACAAAGUUAAAAUAAAGCUCUUUAAGAAAAAGGCUAAAGCUGUUUGGUUUCUUUAUUUUUUUUUAGUUCUAAAGUUAUUUUUGAGUUAAAAGCUAUUUGGCAAAAUAUUGUACAAAACUUUGAAUUUAUUAUUUUUUUGGUGGUGUCUGGGGUUCGAACUCGGGACCUUGCAUAUAUUUAUGCAUUGUCUAUAAAUAAAAAAACUUUGAAUUCAUUAUGAAUUAACAUAAUAAAUAAAAAAAUGUCUAAAAUAUUUUUUGAAGGGAAAAAAUGUUUAAAAUAUAAAAGAUAUAUUUUUAUCAAUACUAUAUUUACUCAAUGACGUUUAUUUUGUGUAACAUGAAUACAAAUUUGUAUCAUCAUAUAAACGACUUGUUAAAUAUUUGAAUAGGAGAAAUAAUUUAAGGAGGCUCAAAUAAUAACAUAAAUAAUAUCAAAGUAGUUUGGAAAAUUAAAAACAAUAAUCAUCUUUUUUUUUUUAAAAAGAGAUAAAUCAUCACAAACUCAAACAUUUCUACUCUCCAUCAACGCAACUCCUAUUUGAUUUCUAACUUUAUUCAUGUAGCCUCCAUCUUGCACUCUUCCUGGAUUAUAUGAACUGAUUUCUUCAUUUAUAUUGCUUUCUUCGUCACGCUCAAUCAUAUAUUCAGAGAUAACAUCACAUUUAUUAAACUCUUCAUCUUCAACUCCACACAUUCGAAUAAAGUUGUGGAGUGCUGUUGUUGCAACUAUGAUCUUUUGUUGUUUGAUUAGUGAAAUUGGUCGCAUAUCACAUAAGAUAUGCCACCUUUUUUUCCAAACUCCAAUUGUUCUUUCAAUGACAUUUCUCAAUGAAGAAUGUGCAUGGUUGAACACUUCAUGGAUACCUACCUUCUGCUUGACUACCAUCUCUAAAAUCAGGAAUGUAUAUGUGUGUAUAUAAUGAGAAUAAUUGGUUUUUUCUUUUCCAAUUAUACUCUAUAACAAAUUUUGUUAUAAGAAUACCAUAUUUUUAGUGUUGGUCAAAAAGAUAAGAAUUUAUAUUAUAUAAUAUUAUAUUUGUUACAUUGCUGGUGUCAUUGAAAAAGAUAUGUUUAGUUUUUUUAAUAAGAAAAAGAUAUGCAUAGUUUGUUCCAAUACAAAUGUGUAAAUUAUAUAUAAGUAUAAUUUUUUUAGGCAACUACACUUGUACUUUUAAUUAAAAUCAAAAUUUUAUAAAAAUAAUUAUACGCAUUACACAACAUUAACAAAAAUUAUACGCAUUAGCAUAACAAAAAAAAAAAACAGAAAGAGAAACAUAAAGUAUUACUCUAUUGACAGCGUGAAUACAAAUAUUUGCGAGGUUGUGAUGAUCAAAAGAUAUUGAAAUUAAUAUAUAAGUGAUAAGAAGAUAAUAAAAUUCCUUAAAAAAAUAGAUAAUAAACUUAAAUGGAACCUCAUUAAAAAAUUAAAUGGACCGGUUAAAAUAAAUAAAUAAAUAAAAUGGAUGAAAAAAACAUAUUGAAAAAAUAAAACAAAAGGUUGCCGGCGGGGGUUGAAGAGAGGUGCUUGUGAAAUAAAGUGGGGAGAAAUAGUUUUUUGAAGUGGCAUUCAACAACUUUUGGUUAAAGCUCAUUCCAUUCAAUUUUAUGCAUUCUAAAAAAAGUACUUUUAUCGAAGGUACUUUAUUGAUAUUGUGUUUGGCCUAACUUCUCCUUAAAAACGUAGAAAAGCUGGAAAAAAAAAGCUGGACCAAACGGUACUAAGUCCAUAUUAUUAAAGUGAUAUUAAUCAAGAUAAACACCCAUACAAUUUAUUCUUCAUUUCUUUUGUAAAAAUGGUGAGAAUUAUUUUAAAGAUAGUUGAGUGAUAUCUUGUGAUUGUUGUAAAAUGUUCUUUGACUCAGGGAGAUUUAAAGUCCAUCAAAAGUGUUUGGUGUUUGUGUUAUAAUCAAGAGAGAGGGUUUCUUUCUUGUGUUUAUGUUAGAAAGAUUGUUAGGGAAUCUUGAGGUGAGAUUGCUUGUAACAAAGAUUAUAACAUAGUGAAUUCAUUCACGCGGUGUGAAGGGAAUGGAUGUACCUAUAAGAGAAGCACUAUAAUUUUCCUGUGUUCUUUAUAUUUUCCUUACUCUAUUUAUUUUUCCGCAUUUUCAUUCAAACCUACAUAAUAACUUUCUGAAAAAAUAUCAAAAACACUAAACUUGCAAAAAAUAUCCUAAAAAUCCAAUAACCUAAUUCACCCUCACUCUUAGAUUAUAAUCUAAACUUACAAUAUCCCACAUUUAUUAUUAGCCUAAAACUAGGGGAUUACAAAAUUACAACGUCGGUUUAAGCCUCUCUCGUGUUCCCUAACCUUCUCCUACCUUUGUCUAGUUUCCAUUAACAAGCCGUCACAAAAUGGUAAUAAUUUCAAUGAUCUUUGAUUUUCUUAUUUUAUAUCCUCAAUCAAUUUUGCUGAAUAAACAAAAUUGAUUUUGUCGUUAUAGGUUUGUUUGAUUUCUUUGAUGCCUCUCUUUCUCGUUUUAAAGUAGCAUGUUCUUGUAACUUUUUUCACAAAGAUGAUGAUGAAAAUUUACAAGCCUUAUGGAUAUGGUCUUUAUAAAUCCAAGACCAGUACAUUAAACAUAUGAUAAAAAAUACACUCAAAACAACACACCCAUGUAAAAAGGAAUUAUAUGAACCAAAAUUUGGUCCUCAUGACUCCAAGUGAGAUCCUUUCUGACCUCUUAUACCAGAUAAAAUAGGUGAAUAUUAACACUUAAGUUGAUGUAUCUAAUUGAAUGAUUUUAAUUAGUUGAUAGUGUAAAAUUAUUUUACAUUGUCAGUCCGUUUUGAUUAAUCUCAUGAUUUAAAUAAUUAAUUAGUUAAGUAACAUUGAAAUAUAAAUUGUUUUAUCGUAAUAGAAACAAGGGUUUAUUUUUUAAUUUUUUUUUUUUUAACUAGAGAUAUAUUUCAUUAAUCAAAACAGAUAUUACAAACUUCAUAGAAUCAAGAAACAAAAAAAAAACAGAAUCUCUAGUCAUGCUCUCUGUCAAAAAACAAAAAGAAAAAAAAAAUCAAAAAAUGCCUACAGCCUUACAAACUCAACACUAUGUUCUUUAGUUUUCUAAAUUGCAUCCAUCUAGUGUAGACAAUCAUCUAGAUCUGGCGAAGAAGCUUUUGCACGUUCUGAAAUCUUCUUCUAUUUCUCCCUUUCAAAAUCAAACACCGAGUCACACUCACAACCAUUCUUCUUAAUUGAUGCAUACCACUGUUCCUAUUGUAUUGUCUUAGGAUACACUGCAUCACUAACUGCUAGUUGCUAGUAUUAAUGCUAACAUUACUCCAUUGCAAGAUACGUUUCCAAACAGCUUCAAAAUAUUCACACUUGAAGAAAAGGUGAGAAUGAAUUUCACUCUCUUUUUUACACAAAAUACACAAUUGGUCACAAAGAUACCAACUUUAUUUAACCUGUCACAAGUUGGUAAUCUAGCAUGAAUAGCUAACCAAGAACCAAACAAACAUUUUGGAGGGGCAGGGUUAUUGCAAAUCAUUUUCCUCCAACAAACUUUUGUAAAAUCUCCUCGACAUUAUACAUUUUCUUAAUAGAAAAGUUUGGUUGUUGAAGAACAUUACCAUAAGUACUUGCAAAAUUAUUUGCCGUAUCAAAGACUUUUUUUCACUACCCAUGAAGCCUGAGAAGGAGCGAGCUUCAGUAAGUAGCACAUUCCUCCCUUUUAUGUAGUAUUCAUGUACCCAUUUUACCCAUAAAACAUCCUUCUUGUUUGCCAAGUUCCAUAAAUGCUUGAUGAUAGCAGCUUGGUUCCAACAUUUCAAAUCAAUGACAUUCCAUCCACCAACUGUCUUAGGCAAACAAAUAUUCUCUCAAGCAACAAGAGAUCUUUUUGAAACAACAGAUCUAUCAGUCCCGAGAAACACUCUACAAGCAGUCUGAAUUAAUUUAAGGACUUUCUCAGGAAGAGCAAAUACUUGGCUCCAAUAUGUUUGCACACCAAACAACACUAACUUAAUAAGUUGCAAUCUACCAGCAUAGGAUAACAACUUAAAGGACCAAUUUUCAAUCCUACUAAUUAUUCUCUUCACUAAAAGGCUGACACUGCAUAACAAUAAAUUUUUUGGAGGAUAAAGGUGCUCCAAGAUAUCUAAAAGGGAGCAUUCCUUUGGUAAGAUUAAAUUUAGUGAGAAUAACCUUUUGAACACUCAGUUCUACUCCAUCAAAGUAGAUUGAGCUUUUAGCCUGGUUAGCUUUGAGUCCAGACACAAUAGAGAAUUGUUCAAAAGCUUCGAAUAACUGAGUGAUAGAUCCCACAUCACAUCUAGAAAACAACAGUAAGUCAUCAGCAAAGCAUACAUGAACUAAGUUCAACUUCUUGCACCUCGGGUGAUACAUGUAUUCUAAUAUGUUCUUUAGUAGCAGAAGACACUUAUUCAAGUAUUCCAUACAGAUUAAAAACAGGUAAGGAGAUAUGAGGUCUCCUUGUCUAAGUCCUUUCUUCGUCAGAAAAGGACUAGUCAGAUCACCAUUUACAUUGAACUUAUAAGAUGUAGUGGUAAUACAAGCCAUCACCCAAUUUACAAACUUUUAUGGAAAACCCAACUCAAACAUACUUAACAAAAGUUCAUUCGAUAGAAUCAUAGGCCUUUUGCAAGUUAAUAUUUAGCAUACAUCUUGGAGAUAUACCUUUCUUACCAUAACUUUUUACAAGUUUAUGACUUAACAUGAUAUUAUCAAAGAUUACCCCACCUUUGACAAAAGCAGACUGAUUCUCACAAACAAUGCUACUCAAGACACCUUGCAUUCUAUUUGUUAUAAUUUUAGAGAUAAUCUUAUAAAUCACAGAGCAACAAGCUAUAGGUCUAAAGUUCUUAAUAUAGGUAGCAUUUGGUACUUUAGGAAUCAGUGUCACAAAAGUAUUGUUUAUAAGUCUAGGCAUAAAUCCAGUCUUAAAGAACUCACCAAUAGCAGUAGUGACACUAUCUCCUAUAAUAUUCCAAGUAGUUAUGUAAAAAUGAACAUUGAAUCCAUCAAUACCUGGAGCUUUGGCAGAAUCCAUACCAAACAGAGCAUUUUUAACUUCAGUACUUGUGAUCUCUGAUCAAAGUAGUUCAUGUUGGUGUUGAGUUAGAAUCAUCCCUCUCAGAACGACAUUCCUAUCCAACAUAGGCAAAGAUUCAGCUGCACUUCCCAUCAACUUCAUAUAAAACCCUCUAAUCUCCUCUUUCAUGUGUUGAUAACUUUGGAUUUUAUUUCCUGCUUCUGACAUAAGAUAUUUGAUGUAGUUUUGAGAUUUUCUCUCCUUUGCAUAUGCAUUAAAGAAUUUUGUACUAGAGUCCCCCAACUGUAUCCAAUUAGCUAUUUUUGAAGUCAUGUCUUCUCUUCAAUUGUACUCCAUUUUCAAGUGAGGAUAAACAUCUCUUUUCUUCUUCAAUGAGGUCAGAGUUCAAAGGGUCUAAACUAAGAUGACUUUGGGCAGCAAUCAGCGCACUCCUACCAUCUUCCAGUUUUUUGGUAGUGCCUUGGAAAUAUAGUGUUUAGUGUAACAGCCCGAUUUUUAGCUAGAUUUAUUUUAAUUACUUUUAUUAUCUGUUUUAUGUGUUUGUGUGUGAUUAUUCAUCAUUGGGUGCAUUUUCAUGGGUUUCCAUGUUAGAAGGGUAUUUUAGUCAUUUUAGACUUAGGGGUAUUUUGGUCAUUUGGUGAGAACGGGUAAAAUUAUAAUUUUGGUGGGAAUUACUUUUAGUGAUUAGUGAGAAUAGUUAUUUUACUAAGUUACUAGAGUAAAAUUUAGAUUUUACCUUUUAGUGACCGUUAGUGACAUUUUACCGUUAUUAGUUAAUUACCGGUUAGAGUGUAGAAAUUGUGAGAUGUGAAUAGAAAUGGGUUAAGUCCACUAGAAACUAGGUUAAGCCCAUUAAGGGGUAUGCCAAAUGAGUUUGUCUUAAGAAAAUAUCACUUCAUUCAUUUCAUAAGAUAUUUUCUAGAGAGAGGUAGAGAGAGAAAGUGGUGAAGAGAAGAAAAAGGGUUGAGAAGGAGAACUUGAAGAAUCAAGAAUUGGAGUGAGCUUAGGAGCUAAAUUGAAGCCUAAGUUGGGAUUAAUCUUUACCUAAGGUAAGGGGGUUAGUCUUCAUCAUAAUCAUCAUCAUUUUGUAAAUUUUCAAAUGUUGUAUGAAUUUUUGCAUAAUGGAUAAUUGUUGCUAAAUUCAUGCUCCAACUGUGAUGAUAUGUUUGUAUGCAUGAACUGAUGAUAAUUGUAUGAUUGUUGAUGAAAUUACAUGUUCAAAUAGGAACAAAUGAUAAGUUGUGAAAAUUGUGCUCAAUUGGUGAAUUUUGCUAAGUUGUUGUUAGAUUGAGUUAUGAUUCUUGUUCAAUUGAUGUUAUGGCUGUUAAUUGAUGUUGUGGUUGAUGAAUCAUUGCUUGAGUAUGCAUAUUCAUGAAUUGAUGAUGAGAAUUUGAAUUGUUGUUGGUGUUUUGGUGAAAUUUUUGAAUUGGCCCAAUUGUCAAGUGUUUUCAAGUUUGAUUGAGUCUUUGCGAGUCUUUUUAGUCAUAUUGACCUAUAAACAUGUUCUGGAAACACAUUUGGGCAUUGAGGGAUCAAAAUUUGGGUUUUGGGGUGAAAAAUGGUUUCAACCCGUGAAAAAUUAUGUAGAAAUGAUGAUUGUUUGCUUAAGCGAAAGCGAGCUGUAAGCGAAUAGCUACUGUAAGUAGUUCGCUUAAGCGAAGACUCCUUCGCUUAAGCGAAAUGCCCUUUUGACAACAUUUCUUAUUUCGCGUUCUUGUGUCUUUUUCACAUGUUUCUGUUUUGAAUUGACAUUUGGUGUAAACAUGAAAGUUUUAGAUAAUUAUGUUAGCUUUCUAAUGGCUUUGGUUUGACUUCCAAAUGAUUUUUAGAACUUGAGUUAUGAUCAAAUUACUACACAUGGGUCAUGUGAAUUUUUGUGAAAACUUAUCAUAACUUUUUCUAUGAGUUGUGGAACUUUUCCAAACUUGAUAUUGGGUUUAAUGAAUUACUUAGAGUGAAUAAUUGAGUAUGCAUUUAUGUAUUUGGGAAUGUGAAUGUGUUGAUGGUUUGAGAUAAAUUUUGGGUGGAAUUGAAUCGGUGAAAACGGGUUUUGAGCUAAAAUGUCGUUUUAAGUGAUUACGUGAAAUAAGCUAUGUUUUAGCGAUUGAACUUGAGAUGUUAGAGUUGAAAAUGAAGUGUUAUUUUGCUGUUUUGAUUCAUAUUUUUGCUGGAACAUAUUUUGCAUGGUCAAAACUUGGAUUUUCCAAAUGGUUUGAAACAUGGUAAUUAAAACCGGACCGGACCGGCCGGUUCAACCGAUUGAACCGGGAACCGGAUCAGUGACCGAUCCGGAAGACCCUAAAAACCGUUCUGUUGUACAACCGGGAAAAGAACCGGAAAACCGGAAGAAAACCGGAAAAACCGCUCAAAACCGGCGGUUCGGACGGUUUCCUUACUUGGACCGGUUUUUUCCUUGAACAUGUCAAAACGAUUGGAUUUGGAUUAAAAAGAAUAUUAGAAGAAGAAUAAUAAAGUUCAGAUUCAUAUAUCAUAGAACCGUUCCAACCAUUAGAUUUAGAAGGUAAAACUUGAAAGAUGAAGAUGAAAUAGAAAGAAAAUAAAACGAUGAAGAUGCAACACUUGAAAGUUCAGUCUAUGAACAUAUAAUGAAAAUUGAGGGUUAGAACAAAAGGGGCUAGAAAAUGAAGAGAUUUUUUUCAAUUUAGCAAAUCGUACAAUCAGAGCAAGCACAUGAGGCUGGCGGCUCCUUAUUUCAUUUCACUGUUUCAGAAAUAGGGUUUAGAGUGGGAUUAAACCAUAUAAUGUUUUACUAGGCCCACAAUUUUAGCAAGGAAUUUUUUAUUACUUAUGUGUACC
rnacentral:lncRNA from 1 species